UAAAUUAUUCAACACCUGCUCCAUCGCUCAAGCCAACCAGCGCAAUGAAGCUGUAGAUCCCAUCCCCCCAUCUCACUGGUCUUCUUCAUUCAUCCUCCAUUCCUCCUCAUUCAUCAAUCCCACUCCCGCCUUCUUCAACCCGGCUCCCUAAUGGCGGAUGCUCUCCUUUAUAUUGUCUUAGACCGGUUGGGUUCUCUUAUCCAACAACAAAUUCAUCAGGAAGUUUCUCUGGUUGUGGGUGUUGAAACAGAUAUCCAAAGCCUCACCGACACACUCCAGAUUGUCAGAGCUAAUUUUGCAGAUGCAGAGAAGAGACAAGUGAAGGACGAACUUGUCAAAGUUUGGUUGCAGAAGCUUAAAGACAUCGCCUACCAAAUGGACGACGUGCUGGAUGAGUGGAGCACUUCCCUUCUCAAAUCUCAGAUUGAGAGAGCCGAAAGCCCUUCCAUGUCCAAGAAGAAGGUAAGCUCCUGCAUCCCCUCCCCUUGCAUCUGUUUCAAACGAGUUGCUGGCCGUCGUGACAUUGCUCUUAAGAUUAAGGAUAUUAAACGGCAAGUGGAUGACACUGCAAACCAAAGCAGUCGGUUCAAUUUUACAUCCAGAUUUAGUAACGAGGAACCACAGAAGCUUAUAACUAUCUCUGCAGUUGAAAUUUCAGAGGUAUGGGGUCGGGAUAAGGACAGGGACACCAUACUCAGGCAGCUGUUGGGUAAGAGUUGUGAACAAAACUUGGGCCUCUACACUAUCUCCGUGGUUGGGAUGGGAGGUAUCGGCAAAACAACUCUCGCUCAACUAGCCUUUAACCACGAUGAGGUGAAGGCUCAUUUUGAUAAAAGAAUCUGGGUCUGCGUCUCUGAUCCUUUUGUCCCAAUAAGAAUUUUGAGAGCUAUUCUUGAAGCCCUCCAAGGCCAGUCUUCUGAUCUCCAUGAUCCUGAAGCUCUACAACAAAAAAUUCAAGAAUCUAUUGAUGGGAAAAAGUUUCUCCUUGUGCUGGAUGAUGUGUGGACCAAAGACUAUCAGUUGUNNNNNNNNNNNNNNNNNNNNNNNNNNNNNNNNNNNNNNNNNNNNNNNNNNNNNNNNNNNNNNNNNNNNNNNNNNNNNNNNNNNNNNNNNNNNNNNNNNNNNNNNNNNNNNNNNNNNNNNNNNNNNNNNNNNNNNNNNNNNNNNNNNNNNNNNNNNNNNNNNNNNNNNNNNNNNNNNNNNNNNNNNNNNNNNNNNNNNNNNNNNNNNNNNNNNNNNNNNNNNNNNNNNNNNNNNNNNNNNNNNNNNNNNNNNNNNNNNNNNNNNNNNNNNNNNNNNNNNNNNNNNNNNNNNNNNNNNNNNNNNNNNNNNNNNNNNNNNNNNNNNNNNNNNNNNNNNNNNNNNNNNNNNNNNNNNNNNNNNNNNNNNNNNNNNNNNNNNNNNNNNNNNNNNNNNNNNNNNNNNNNNNNNNNNNNNNNNNNNNNNNNNNNNNNNNNNNNNNNNNNNNNNNNNNNNNNNNNNNNNNNNNNNNNNNNNNNNNNNNNNNNNNNNNNNNNNNNNNNNGUGGUGAAGGAAGUGGCUGAAGCCCUACAACCCCAUCCAAACUUAAAAUCUCUGCGCAUAAGAUGGUAUGAAGUCAAGGAAUGGCCCAGGUGGACGAUGGAGCCAUCAUUACCCCAACUAACACAACUUUUCCUUUCAUUUUGUGGUAAAUGUCAGUGCUUGCCUCCUCUGGGGGAUCUCCCACUUCUCGAGAGAUUGGAAAUAGAAUGGAUGGGGCAAGUGAAAUAUGUUGGUGGUGAGUUCUUGGGAUCAUCAUCAAAAAUUGCAUUUCCAAGGUUGAAGCAUCUGUCUUUUGUAUUCAUGUUAGAGUGGGAAAAUUGGGAAGUAAAAGAAGAAAAAGGGAGGAAAGUAAUGCCAUGUCUUCUUUCCUUGGAAAUAGAAGAUAGUCCAAAGCUUACGGCAGUACCGGACCUCCUGCUCCAGAGGACACCACCAAUUAAAAUAAAGUGGGAUAAAGAGGAAAUAGGUGGAAGCUCUUAACAUUUGUCCAUUGGCUUUGCACUGGUUGCCCUACAUGCAAGUAAUUAUUCUAUUUUCUUUUUAAUUUUGCUUUUCUAUAAUUAUUUAUCUCAUCUCUUUUUUUCCUUUUUCUUUUUCCUCUUUUAUAAAUUUAUUUAUAUAUUUUGGCAAUUCCCUAAUUAUUUAUAAAUGUAAAUUCAUAUAUUUGUCGUCCCUUAUUUUUUAAAAUAAGAAGUAAUAAUAACUUUUAUAUAAAAUAUAUCAUUUUUAAUACAAAAUUUUAAACUUAUCCUCCAUAUAUUCUUGAAAACUACUUUCAAUAUAAAAAUAGUAAAAUUAAUUUUUAAAAAUCAUAAAUCUUUGAAGGUAAGUAUGUAAAAGUUUCUUUAUUUUAGAUAUUAGUUACUAUUAUUUAAAAAUAAAAAAUAAAAAAAUAAAAAGUGCAUUCAAACCAUAGCAGUUUUCCAUUUUAAAUCAAUUUGUUUUUCAAAUUAAAAAUUUCUUUAAUUUUAUUUUAUUUUUUUUAUUUGAAAGAAAUUUAAUUUAAUUUCCCAAAGGCUUGAGAAAUAACGAGUUGGAAACCUCUAUUCCUUCCUCAAGUCUAAACUCAGGUAAUUGAUGCAAUGCAGGUAUGAAACGGAUCCAUCCAUGGAGCAUAUUCUAUCCAAAACAACCUUUCAAAUCAAGAGAUGUAAUUGAGUUUUUGGUACGAGAGUGAGUCCAUUAUGGUAUUGGAUUUCAUGAUAAAUAAAUGUAAAGUUGUGAUUCAUAUGUGAUGAGAACACAUUCCAUUACAUAAAAGUUUAUCUUUUUUUUUUUUUCUCCUCCCUCAUUUGUUGGUCAAAAAAUACUAUAUGUAAAUUAUAUAUUCUUUAGUCUUUCUUGUUUUUUUAUUAUUAUUUUUCAUUUUUAAAAUUUUAAAAAUAAAAUACAAUUUAGUAUAGGAAGUACUGCAAGAAGGAAAUACAAAUCCUAUUUUUUUUUGUUUGAUAUUUUUUGUCAAAUAAAAAUAAUAAUAAAUUUGAAUAAAUAUAUGAGAAAAUUUUAGUGGGUUUAAACAUUUUUUCAAAUUUUCUUUACUUUGUCUUUUCUUUCCAUUUUAUGUAUAUCACAUUUAAUUCGUUCAUAUUUUUUACUCAAACUUUCCAAAAUCUAAAUACAAUUCUAUAAUUUGGAUAAUUUGUCACAUUACAAAUUUAACAAAUUUUGUUUAUAUUUGUACAAUAGAUUUUAUUAUAAGUGAAAAUGGUUUGAUAGCUUAUUCGAGAGAAAAAAUGAAAAUACUUUUUUUCAAAACAGUUUUUAAAACAAAAAUAAUAAAUGUUUUCAUUUUUAGUCAUUUUAAAUUUCUUUUAGGCUAUAAGUACAAGCCACACUAACUAAAAAUCCACGGAAAUAUAUAUAAAAGAGAAUGAAUAUAUAAUAUUAUUAUUGAAAGGAUCUGUUACUUCAUUGAAGGGAAAGAAAACACAUAAGUUAUGUUUGUUUCCACGAAAAUAUGAGGAAAAAUGCAAAAGAAAAAAAAAUAGAGAGGGAAAGUAAAAAAAAAAAAAAAUGAAGAAAAAAAUAUAUUUAAAAUCAAUAAAUUUUUUAUAUGUUACUUUAAACUCAUUUUAUUUAUUUUUCCUCAUCUAUGUAAAGAUCACAUAAUUUAAAAAUGUAUAAAAUUAUAUCUAAUUUUAAUGAUAUUUGAUUUUUUUUUUCUCAUUUUCUAUGUUGAAAUUAAAUAUAAGAAGAUCAUUUUUCUUAAUACUUUCUAGGAACCAAAUAUAAUCAUAAUAUUUUAUUGAGAGGACCUCUCAGUUAUUAUUAUUAUUUUGUUAUAUAUACUACAAAUUAAUAGUGAGGGUAUUUAUUUUGACUUUAAAUUUUUGUUUUUGUUUUUCUUUUGAUACUUUAUAAUAUUUUUUAUUUUUUUAUUUUUACAAAUUAAAAGAAAGCGCUUUUUUUUUUUCUUUCUUUUGAUAGUUUACAAUUAUUUAAAACCUUAUUAAUUCCACUAUUUUUAAAAGAAAACACUAACUUUAGUUGAUUGAAAUGAUUGAUUUUUCAACAAUUUAGGAAAGAAUUGAAAAUGAUGACUAUCAUGAAAAUAAUGAAAGGCUCAAAAUGAAUAAAAGUAUUAAUAUUGUAAUUUUUAAUGAAAUGAGGAUAGAUAAUAGCCAUAACAAAACACUAUGCAUUCUUCUUUCAAUGUAUAUAGACAUUAAAAGUAAUUUAUAAUUACAAAUAAAUUUAAAAAUAAAUAUCUUUUAAUAAAAUAGAAAUACUAAUAUUAUAAUAAAUUUAUAAAAAUGUGUAAUUAAGAAAUAAAUCAUUUUUGAAUAUUUUUGUAUUAGUUAGUGGAGAAAGAAUAAAAAAAGUAGCUCAUGUCAUAUUUAUUUACUUUUUAAUGGAUUUUUUAAAUUAAUUUUUAUUUUUCCAUAUUUUCCUUUUAUUUUUAAAAACACCUUAAAAUUAUUUUUAAAAUUAUAUGAGAACACAUUCUAUUACAUAAAAGUUUAUCUUCUUUUUUUCUCCUCCCUCAUUUGUUGGUCAAAAAAUACUAUAUGUAAAUUAUUCUUUUGUCUUUCUUGUUUUUUUAUUAUUAUUUUUCAUUUUUAAAAUUUUAAAAAUAAAAUACAAUUUAAUAUAGGAAGUACUGCAAGAAGGAAAUACAAAUCCUAUUUUUUUUUGUUUGAUAUUUUUUGUCAAAUAAAAAUAAUAAUAAAUUUGAAUAAAUAUAUGAGAAAAUUUUAGUGGGUUUAAACAUUUUUUCAAAUUUUCUUUAUUUUGCCUUUUCUUUCCGUUUUCUGUAUAUCACAUUUAAUUCGUUCAUAUUUUUUACUCAAACUUUCCAAAAUCUAAAUACAAUUCUAUAAUUUGGAUAAUUUGUCACAUUACAAAUUUAACAAAUUUUGUUUAUAUUUGUACAAUAGAUUUUAUUAUAAGUGAAAAUGGUUUGAUAGCUUAUUCGAGAGAAAAAAUGAAAAUACUUUUUUUCAAAACAGUUUUUAAAACAAAAAUAAUAAAUGUUUUCAUUUUUAGUCAUUUUAAAUUUCUUUUAGGCAAAAAGUACAAGCCACACUAACUAAAAAUCCACGGAAAUAUAAAAUAGAAUGAAUACAUAGUAUUAUUAUUGAAAGGAUCUUUUAGGGAAGAAAACACAUAAGUUAUGUUUGUUUCCACGAAAAUAUGAGGAAAAAUGCGAAAGAAAAAAAAUAGAAAGGAAAAGUAAAAAGAAAAAAAAUAAAGAAAAAUAUAUAUUUAAAAUUAAUAAAUUUUUUAUAUGUUACUUUAAACUUAUUUUAUUUAUUUUUCCUCAUCUAUGUAAAGAUCACAUAAUUUAAAAAUGUAUAAAUUUAUAUAUAAUUUUAAUUGUAUUUGAUUUUCUUUCUUAUUUUCUAUGUUGAAACUAAAUAUGAUAAAAUCAUUUUUCUUAAUACUUUCUAGGAACCAAAUAUAAUCAUAAUACUUUGUUGAGAGGAUCUCUCAAUUAUUAUUAUUAUUUUGUUAUAUAUAUUACAAAUUAACAAAUUAAUAGCGAGGGUAUUUAUUUUGACUUUAAAUUUUUGUUUUUGUUUUUCUUUUGAUAGUUUAUAAUAUCUUUUAUUUUUUUAUUUUUACAAAUUAAAAGAAAGCGCUUUUUUUUUUCUUUUGAUAGUUUACAAUUAUUUAAAACCUUAUUAAUUCCACUAUUUUUAAAAGAAAACACUAACUUUAGUUGAUUGAAAUUAUUGAUUUUUCAACAAUUUAGGAAAGAAUUGAAAAUGAUGACUAUCAUGAAAAUCAUGAAAGGCUCAAAAUGAAUAAAAGUUUUAAUAUUGUAAUUUUUAUCAAAUGAGAAUAAAUAAUAGCCAUAACAAAAUACUAUUCAUCCUUCUUUUAAUGUAUACUGGCAUUAAAAGUAAUUUAUAAUUACAAAUAAAUUUUAAAGUAAAUAUCUUUUAAUAAAAUAUAAAUACUAAUAUUAUAAUAAAUUUAUAAAAAUAUGUGUAAUUAAGAAAUAAAUCAUAUUUGAAUAUUUUUGUAUUAGUUAGUGGAGAAAGAAUAGAAAAAACUAGCUCAUGUCAUAUUUUAUUUACUUUUUAAUGGCAUUUUUAAAAUUAAUUUUUAUUUUUCCAUAUUUUCCUUUUAUUUUUAAAAACACCUUAAAACAACUUCUAUCUAUUCUCUAAAAUUAUUUUUAAAUUUGAUAUAUUUUUAAAUACUAUUUUCAAGGAACAACUAUCAAAAGAGUCUUUAAUGUUUUCUUUUUCUAAAAACAAAACUUUUUUAUUUUUAAAGACAGAAAAAUAUUUCUUGGUUUGUUUGGUGACAAUUAUUUCACUUCCCUUGUGCGUAAAAAAAAAAACUUUUAAAGUAAUUUUCCAUAGUAGACUAAAGACCAACUUUAUAUUAAUUGAAAUAUUUCAAAAUGUUGUAUUUUAUCAUUUUUUUCAUUUCACAUUUUUUUACAUUAAUUCUGAAAUUUAUUGUAACCCAGUAUUUAUUUGGAAUUUUUAAAUAUCAAUUUUCCUUAUAAUUUCCUAUUGGAAUAUUUCCUACAAAUUAUUAAAAUUUUUAGAAUGAAAUGUAUAGUUGAAUUAGAAGGCAAAUGAUUAAUGAUAGUCUUGAUAUGUACAUUAAAAAAAAUGUUUAAUGGAAAUAAUAAAUGAUGAUAAGAUCAAAAUAUAAAGGAUAAUAGAAGUACAAAUAUGUAAUUUCCACCUACUGCUUACUACCUACUAGUAGAAGUUAGAGGAGGAAAAUCUAGUGUAACUAGUAAAAGAUAACAAUCUAAACAUUCAAACCUGCAUGCAAAUGAUAAGGCUUUGUUUGAAACAUGACAACUUCUGAAACUCCAAGGUGAUAUUUGAUACAUUGGAAUAAGAAUGACUACGUUGUUUCUAUUCCCGUGUUUCCUUGGAUUUAAAUGAAUUUGCUGAUUCUAUUUUUUUUUUUUUUUUGUGUUUAGAUGUAUAUAAGAAUGUAAAGUUAGAAUGAUAUUUUGUUUCAAUUUCAAUGUUAAGUAAAAUUAGGAAUGAAAACAAAAACAAAUAAUUAAAUAGAUAAUAAUAUCUGUACUUAUAGUCUAAAAUAAUUUUUGUUUAUUUUUUUUAAAAACUCUCACACUCUUUAAAAUAUCCUUUUAUUUUCGUUUAAAAAAAUCCUUGAGAGUUUUUUUGGUUAAAUGAUAAAAACCUAUUUGGCUGUGUGAUUUAAAAAUAAAAUUAUUUUUAAAAAUUUAAACCAUUGUUUAGUUGUUCUUUAGAAACAAUUUUUUUUUUUUAUAAAAAAAAGUAAAAUAGAUAAUUAUUUUUCCAUUUUUUUUCACUAGAGAAAAUGAAUUUCAAAUCAAAUGAGACUUUGUAUUAAAUUUACUAAUAAGUUUAAUAACUUUAAAAAAUAAUUUAAAACUCAUAUAUAUAUAUAUAUAUAUAAAUAAUGACUACAGAAAAAUAAGAAACAUUAUUAAUGCUUUAAAUUCUUUAAUAAAUUUUGUAUUUUUUAAGAAUAAUUUAAAAUUUUAAAAAUUGAUUAAUUAAUUAUAGAUUAAUAAAAUAAUUCAAAGUGUUAUCUCCAUAAUUGAGUAAUAAAUAUAUGCAUAUAAUGAAAAUUUUGACUCAUUUAUAUUUUAAAAAUUAGAUUUGAUUUUUUUAAAUUGAUUAAAAUAUAAUAGUAUUAACUAUUAUUAAUUUUGAAUAGUUAUUCUUUAUUUUUGACAAAAUAAAUUAAUUAUGUUUUUAUAAGACGUCAAUAUCCAUAUUUUAAUAAUAUUUAUGAAAUAUAUAAAAUAGUAUUAGAAAUUAUUAAUUUCAAAUUGUUAUUAUUUAUUUUUAACAAAAUAAAUCAAAUAUUUGUAUAAUAUUUAUUAAAAAUAUAAUUUAUAAUUUUAUUAUAUUAUUAAUAUUCAUAUUUUAUUAAAAACUAUUUAUUUUUUAAUUUAUUUUCAAUUAUAAAAUUAAUUUUAUUUUUAACAAGACAUGAAUUAAAUUAAGGUUCUAUUACAUAAAUUGAAUUUAAAAUUUCAAAAUUUUAAAAAACUUAUCUAAAAAGGUUUUCAGUUGUAUAAUUUUUAAAAACUAUUUUUAAAAAUAGGGACUGUCAAAAGCUAACUUAUUGGCCUGACAAAAUCUAAUAGCACCCCAAAGGAGGAUAAGUUAAAAUUAUUUUCUUUGUUGCUAAAAAAAAAAAAGAAUAAGAAUUCAAAGAAAUGGCAUUUUUCUUUCCAUGGAAAUGAUGCCUUAAUUAUCAUUCUGUCUCUGUUUCCAUUUAAAAUGAAUACAAAGAGAGACAGGUGAGAUGCCCUUUCUUCAUAUUAUUAAAACCAAGGAUAUUCCAAAAUAUGAGAAGAAAAGGGCUAGUGAGGAAUAGACCUUCUUUCUCCUUUCUUGCAAUAGCAUCAGCAGUCGUAGAAAUCAUCCAAGGUAGAACAAGCUCCACUUGUCUCCAAUAUGUCAAUUGCUGAUGAAUAACACUUCUACAACUCAUCUCCCCAUUCAUUAACCAAUAAAGGCUUGUCUUCUUUGCGAUUGAAGGUAACAUCCUGCUGCAAUGCACUCUGGAUUGACUUCAAGCACAGAAUGAGAAGCUUUGACGGACAAUCUGAGUUUUCACAGUGUUGAGAUAUUAGGAAUGUUUUCUUUAUAUCAUUCUUUCCUUAUAUCAUUUAGUGUUGAGAUAUUAAGAAUGUUUAAAUAUUAGGAAAGUUAAGAUAUUAGGAUAUUAGUUGUUAUUUUUUUAUAUCAUUUUUUUCUUAUAUCAUUCUUUCCCAUUCUUAGAAUGGUGAUUACCCUCUAUAUAUAUUCUGUACAUGAACGAAUGAAAGAAUGAAUGAAAAAACUAUUAUUUAUCAAUUUUAAGACUCCAGACUGCUGUUGUUGACCAUGACAGAAGAAUCUUACCUUUUCCUAAUUUCUCUUCCACAUUAUCAAUGGAUGGAAGAACCUCUGCUCAUUCUUUAUAUUUUUGAUGAUUUACAUUUACAUGAUUCCCAUCCAGAGUUCUAUUUUUCAGAGCAGUAUUGUUCCCAUUGGAUUUGAAUUAAUUCUUUUCCCAAAUUUUUAAACAAGAAAAAUGGAGUUUCGAAAUGUAAUAAGUUUUUCUCUAAUUUCCAUUAUAUCUUCAAAAUUUACAAACGCUUACACAUGUAAAAUGUGACUCAGGCUUUAGGCAUGGUAAAUCAGGAGCAAUAGAAUUAGAUCAGUCGGACAAGAAUAGCCUAAGAAAUGUAAAAAACAAUAAAUAUAGCAAUGAGAGCUUAAUUGUGCUCACAUGCUGGAGCAGAACACUUUGUCCACCACAGCUUCUUGCUAAUUUUAUUGGUUCAUAUUGGUCCUGACCUAGUAGCAAAUUCCCAAAGGGGUCUCAAGCAAAUCUAGCUCUACUAUUCUAAGAUGAAUGAACUGAAGAUAGCAUUAUUGCAGAAACUGGCACGCUGUGUAUCAUUAGUUACAGCAAGGGUGAAAAAUCUCAAGACUUCAGAAAAGACACUCAAACGAUCUGGAGAGAGUUUCAGCUAGAACGGCUAAAACUCCAAACACUUUGUUGUGUCCUUCAAGUCCUAAUAAUCAAACUUAGCACUCUUCUUUUUCUGCAGACUAAUUGCAGUGCUACCAGUUCCAGCAUCACAGAAAUUAGGCAAUUCCAAGGGUAUUGCACUGUGUAUUAUAGCCCCAUUCAAGCCUUCGAAGAAAGAGUGUUUCUUCAUAUCUAUGACCCCUUUAAAUGUUUCCAAGCAAUCCUCUGGCUCCUUUACUAACAGCCCCCUGGUCAAAUCUCUUGCAUGAAAACUAACCAUAGGGCCUUUUGGGAAUUUGAGGCUAUGUGAUACCACACUGGCUAAUGUAUCUUCAUUUCCUGAACCCUUCAAGGUUUUCUUACUAUAUAAAAAUUUUGCACAAAGGAUGAUCUUGACGGGAUUGGUACUUUUUAGUACAUGAUCAUUAUUCAAUCAUAUUGUGCUACCCAUAAAAAACCAUAGUUUUCCAGUUUCCUCAACUUAAUGAAUUUCAGAUUCAAUCAUCUUUCUGCCUUCCACUCCUAUUUCAAAUAGUAUCAACUCCCUACUUCUAAGUGUCUUUGUUCCACAUAUUUAGACUACCUAUGGGCCUUUUCAUCUACUAUCUAAACCUUACUUUUAUAGUAUCUUCACACCAUUCCCAACUCAUAAAUCUUAACCUCUAUAUAUCUCCUUUAAAUCCUCAUUCCAUUUCAUAUGAUCCAUUUCAGUCCCUCUCUUUUAUUAUUGACAGUUCCCAAAAUUAUAAACAUAAAGGUAGAGAAAAAAAGGCUACUUUGAGGUAUAUCUUAGUGAUCAACUCUUUCCUACUAUCCAAGUUUGAUUCAGGCUCUCACCAGGGUUGCAAUUUAUACAACUCUAGUUGUGUGUCUAUCAUGCUCACAAACCAAAACCAUUGUAGUUUGCAAAUAACAAACACCUUGGCUUGUUACAACAAUGGAGCUCAUAUAUAAACUAUCAAUUAAUUUAAAUCAAAAGUGCCUUAUUUGCUUGUUAAACUACCAUGAAAAUCAAGAUUGCCUACAAUCAAGUUUUUGCCCUCACCAAGAUAGGCUUGUAUAACCUUUGUAAGCGGGUGGAAACACAAUCAAUACAAGAAUGGUGCAAAUAAAAUUACAUGGAAUGUACUACGGAAAUAAAAGUCUUGUAAUUAAUAAAAUGUUGGUUGGUUUAACGAGGGAGGAAGCUAAUACUCGUUCUCUUUAAUAUUGCAUUGAGAAACUAGAUGAGGUAGCCAGGUAUUAGAACUCUUUUCCAAAUACAAAUCUUGAAGUCAAUACAUAUGAGGCUGAUUGGAGACAUGUAAGUGAUUUGCCUCUAGCCAAAAGUAACAUUAUGCAUCCACACCCAGACAUUCAUCAAAGAUUUUGCUACCAGCACACUUCAAUAAAGAUUUUUCCUGAUAUAAAGCUUUUUCCUGAUAUAACUCAGACCAACAAGAAGCUCAGUGGUUAUUGCCUCUGUUCUUUCCUGAUUUGCAAAGUAAAUAGUUUGUACUAGAAGCAAAUUUGUCUUUGAAACCAAGUUUUUUUUUCUUUUUUUGGACCUAGGUAGUAACAUCUGUUUAGUUUUGUUGUAAAAGAUUCUCUUUGUGGUAGGAUAUUAAGUUUCAACACUUCCAAGUGAGGAAUUUCCAAAUCUGUUCAAUGUCACUGUAUAUCCUAAUGAUUUUGUCAGGGACCCUUUCUCUUCUUUUGAGAUCUUUGCACAGGUCUAUGGAUUACACUAGAUGGUAUGGUAUACAUCUAAAUGAUGCAACCAAAUUGACUAUGACGAAUGCAAAUUGUUGCUUCUUGCUAAUUUUAUCGGUUCCAGAUGUUGAGCCUGAUUCUGUUGCAGCAGAGGACCUGAAUAGAUAUUGUUGGUUUUAUUGAUCCUCAAGAUUGGUCUUGCCCUAGUAGUCAAAUUCCCAAGUGGACAACUUUAGAAUUGACUCUGUAUAAACAUAUCUGGUAUUUGCAAUUAGUUAAUACACGGUUAGUAGAUAAGCAAUAUAUAUAAACAUACACUGUUUCUUGGAGUGAUAUGAUAGAUAGAUAAACGAUUUUUUUUUUUUAAAAAAAGGAAAAUUACAAAUCAUAUUAUAAUUAAAAAAUGAAAAAUAGCAAUAGAGAAAGGGAGAUAGAAGGGAAUGGCAAUGUUUCUAUUAACAUUCAAUAUAAAUUAAAUUUCUACAUAAUCAGCGAAAAAAAGAAAAAAAAAAAUCAAUUUAGUGACAAUUAUUAUCCAGGGAGGUUUAUCAUCUUCUACUAAAUAGUAAAUACACUUACCCUACCUAUCCUUGAUAUCCAUAUCAGCUAUCCAGGAUGCCCCUUAAUGAACGAUUCCCUGGAUCAUCUUGUAGUCUUCUCUUUACAAGAGCGAAACCCAACUUGGAGUUGAUUCGAAAAGACUAGUGCUGCACCGUUUCAUCUUCCCUCAUGCGAUUCUUCCAUGCAACCGAAUUCCAAUUAGGCACCAACACAUACAUUGAGGUAGAAUUUUCGAAAGCUUUCUUCACUAAAGAAAAUGAAUUUCAAAUUAAGUGAGCCUUUGUUUUGAAUUUAUUAAUAAGUUUAAUAAUUUUAAAAAAUAAUUUAAAACUCAAUAUAUAUAUAUAAUGACUAUAAAAAAUAAUAGACAUAAUUAAUACUUUAAAUCCUUUAAUAAAUCUUGAAGUUUUUAAGAAUAAUUUGAAAUUUUAAAAAUUGAUUAAUUAAUUAAUUAAUUAUAGAUUAAUAAAAUAAUUCAAAAUAUCAUCUCUAAUUGAGUAAUAAAUGUAUACAUGUAAUGAAAAAUUUAACCUUAAAAAAUUAAAUUUGAUUUAAAAUAUAAUAGUAUUAGCCAUUAUUAAUUUUAAAUAACUAUUCUUCAUUAAUUUUAACAAAAUAAAUUAAUUAUGUUUUUAUAAGAUGUUGAUAUCCAUAUUUUUAUAAUAUUUAUAAAAUAUAUAAAUCAUAUAAAAUAGUAAUAGAAAUUAUUAAUUUUGGAUUAUUAUUAUUAUUAUUAACAAAAUAAAUCAAUUAAUGUUAAUAUCCAUAUUUUUACAUAUUUAUUAAAAAUAUCAUUUAUGAUUUUAUUAUAUUAUUAAUAUUCAUAUUUUAUAAUAAAAAAAACUAUUUAUUUUUAAAUUUAAGAGGUGAUGCACUGCAAUUUCUACUAGAUUGACCAAAUGCAUGAACUGACUGUGGACAAACCCAUGACUUGUAUCUUCUAUGCAACUCUUAAUAUAUAGGAGUCAUGUACAAUGUAAGAGACAUGAACUGAAUAUUCAAAUCAAUGUCAAUACACUAAAAGGAUAGGAAGGAGAUAAUUAAGUCUUACUUUAUUACGUCACAUCUUGCUUUUAGGGGUUCAAUCCUAACAGAAAUGGUAUUAGAAUCCCCUAUCUUGUAUCAAAAUAAAUUAUUUUUAUAUGUUUCUUUAAAUUUAUUUUACUUAUUUCGCUCUAAUAUAGUAAGAUUAAAUAAUUUAAAAAUACAUAAAUUUUAAAUUAAUUUUAAUUAUAUUUGAUUUUUUUUUAUAGUGAAACCAAACUUGAGAAAACUAUUUUUUAAACAUUUUUUUUCUUUCCCUGGUAUUUUCCGGAACCAAACAUAGCCUAAAAAAUUGCAAUUAAAUUGAGAAAGAUUUACAUUUUUUUGCUUUGUCCAAUGGUGUGUUUAGUUAACUGUGAAUGACAACAAUAACAAUAACAACAACAACAACAACAAUAAUAAUGAUAAUGAUUAUGUCCACAUUAUUGUUGAUUAGAAGUAGUUGUAGUUUGUAUUAGUGGUAAUGGUAUUAUUUUGACUCUUUUUCUGCAGACUAAUUGCAGUGCUACCAGUUCCAGCAUCACAGAAAUUAGGCAAUUCCAAGUGUAUUGCACCGUGUAUUAGAGCCCAAUUCAAGCCUUCGAAGAAAGAGGGUUUCUUCAUAUCUAUGACCCCUUUAAAUGUUUCCAAGCAAUCCUCUGGCUCCUUUACUAACAGCCCCCUCGUCAAAUCUCUUGCAUGAAAACUAAUCAUAGGGCCUUUUGGGAAUUUGAGGCUAUGUGAUACAACACUGGCUAAUGUAUCUUCAUUUCCUGAACCCUUCAAGGUUUUCUUACUAUAUAAAAAUUUUGCACAAAGGAUGAUCUUGACGGGAUUGAUACUUCUUAGUACAUGAUCAUUAUUCAAUCAUAUUGUGCUACCCAUAAAAAACCAUAGUUUUCCAGUUUCCUCAACUUAAUGAAUUUCAGAUUCAAUCAUCUUUCUGCCUUCCUCUCCUAUUUCAAAUAGUAUCAACUCCCUACUUCUAAGUGUCUUUGUUCCACAUAUUUAGACUACCUAUGGGCCUUUUCAUCUACUAUCUAAACCUUACUUUUAUAGUAUCUUCACACCAUUCCCAACUCAUAAAUCUUAACCUCUAUAUAUCUCCUUUAAAUCCUCAUUCCAUUUCAUAUGAUCCAUUUAGUCCCUCUCUUUUAUUAUAAACAUAAAGGUAGAGAAAAAAAAGGCUACUUUGAGGUAUAUCUUAGUAAUCAACUCUUUCCUACUAUCCAAGUUUGAUUCAGGCUCUCACCAGGGUUGCAAUUUAUACAACUCUAGUUGUGUGUCUAUCAUGCUUACAAACCAAAACCAUUGUAGUUUGCAAAUAACAAACACCUUGGCUUGUUACAACAAUGGAUCUCAUAUAUAAACUAUCAAUUAAUUUAAAUCAAAAGUGCUUUAUUUGCUUGUUAAACUACCAUGAAAAUCAAGAUUGCCUACAAUCAAGACAUUCAUCAAAGAUUUUGCUACAAGCACACUUCAAUAAAGAUUUUUCCUGAUAUAAAGCUUUUUCCUGAUAUAAUUCAGAUCAACAAGAAGCUCAGUGGUUAUUGCCUCUGUUCUUUCCUGAUUUACAAAGUAAAUAGUUUGUACUAGAAGCAAAUUUGUCUUUGAAACCAAGUUUUUCUUUUUUUUUGGACCUAGGUAGUUACAUCUGUUCAGUUUUGUUAUAAAAGAUUCUCUUUGUUGUAGGAUAUUAAGUUUUCGUGGCCUUUUUUCAACACUUCCAAGUGAGGAAUUUCCAAAUCUGUUCAAUGUCAUCAAUUAAAUCACUAUAUAUCCUAAUGAUUUUGUCAGGGACCUUUCCUCUUCUUUUGAGAUCUUUGCAUAGGUCUAUGGAUUACACGAGAUGGUAUGGUAUACAUCUAAAUGAUGCAACCAAAUUGACUAUGAUGAAUGCAAAUUGUUGCUUCUUGCUAAUUUUAUCGAUUCCAGCUGUUGAGCCUGAUUCUGUUGCAGUAGAGGACCUGAAUAGAUAUUAUUGGUUUUAUUGAUCCUCAAGAUUGGUCUUGCCCUAGUAGUCAAAUUCCCAAGUGGACAACUUUAGAAUUGACUCUGUAUAAACAUAUCUGGUAUUUGCAAUUAGUUAAUACACGGUUAGUAGAUAAGCAAUAUAUAUAAACAUACACUGUUUCUUGGAGUGAUAUGAUAGAUAGAUAAAUGAUUUUUUUUUUUUAAAAAAAAAGGAAAAUUACAAAUCAUAUUAUAAUUAAAAAAAAUGAAAAAUAGCAAUAGAGAAAGGGAGAUAGAAGGGAAUGGCAAUGUUUCUAUUAACAUUCAAUCAAAAUUAAAAUUCUACAUAAUCAGCCAGAAAAAAAAAAAAGGAAAAUCAAUUUAGUGACAAUUAUUAUCCAGGGAGGUUUAUCAUCUUCUACUAAAUAAUAAAUACACUUACCCUGCCUGUCCCUGAUAUCCAUAUCAGCUAUCCAGGAUGCCCCUUAAUGAACGAUUCCCAAGAUCAUCUUGGAGUCUUCUCUUUACAAGAGUGAAACCCAAUUUGGACUUGAUUCGAAAAGAGCAGAGCUGCACCGUUUCAUCUUCCCUCAUGCGAUUCUUCCAUGCAACCAAAUUCCAAUUAGUCACCAACACAUACAUUGAGGUAGAAUUUCCGGAAGCUUUCUUCAUGUUCCACUUCCUCAGACUGAUGGUUUCUCGAUGAAGGGAGGGCUCAAUCAACAUCACUUCCAUAUCUGCACUUUUUUUUUCCGUUUCCUCUUGAGUUCAACCUCUCGCUCUCUUCAAGUGUGAGGAAACUUUGUUGUAUCUGAUUCAAGGGUAUGGAUAGACGGUUGUGACCGGUACGCACAUCAAUCUUGAAGAGAGCCUUCUGGAUUACAAAAGUGACAUCAGAACCCCCCAGAGCCCUGAUUUGAUUCCUAAUGAUGACAGGGAGCUCUGGCGUUGCAUAGGGAAAUGGACACCUUGCCUUAUCCAUCAUCUUCUUCAUCCUCCGUUUUUUUUUUCUCUUGAACACUCCCCCCCUCAUCAUCAUCGUCGUCAUCAUCAUGGCACCGUGGUGGCCGCUUCUUGAUCUUGAUCGUUUUUUGAAGACACUGAUCACCUCCAUCUUCAAAUAUCUUCAUUGUUUCUUCAAGACGCUGAUCGUGUUUCUUCUCAUCAUCAUGGCACUGUGGUGGCUGCUUCUUGAUCUUGAUCAUUUUUUGAAGACACUGAUCACCUCCAUCUUCAAAUAUCUUCAUCGUUUCUUCAAGACGUUGAUCAUGUUUCUUCUUAUCUUCUACCAUAGAAUCCAUUGAAGCGAAUGCGCAAACUAUAUAGCUUUGGGGGUUUCUUGUUCUUGGUAAUGAAGGAAGUGGCUUCUUGUUCUUCUUGGCAUGGCAAGAUGAUGACCCAGAGAGAAGUCUUUCAAUUUGGAAAGUUACAAGUGGGUUCUUGUUCUUGUUGGUAUGGCAGGAGACAACUUAUAUAUAGAUGACGUCCCUGAGAAAAAAGUCUUUCAAUUUGGAAAGUUACUAAAUCCUAAUCAAAUCCUACAACCGCCCCAUAUAUUCGGAAACUUGGACCGUUGGCCUCCAAAUUCUAUUUCUUUUAUUGUUUAAAACAAGUCCAAUUAUUCCCAUGUGUUUUUUUGUUGUCAAGAAAAACCAAAAUUAGAAGUUCCCAAACAUGUUGAAUUGAAAAGCAUUUAUGUUUCUUAUUUUUAAAAUUACUAUAUAAAUGGAAGAGCAUCCAAUGUCACCUAAGUUUUUUUUUUUUUAAAAUGUAUUAAAAAUUUAUCAUUACCUCAAAAUUUAAAAAUAAUUUUAAAAGCAUAAUAAUUCCUACAUUUUAUUUAGAACCUAUUAUUUUUAAGAGCACUAUAUGGACCUUCAAAAAUUCAAGGAAAAAAAGAGAAGAAACCUGGAAGUAAAUAAAAUGCAAAAAAUAAAAUAAAAAAUUAAUUUAAAUUUCAACAAAUUUUGAUAAAUCUAUUUUUUUUUUCCUUCUUCAAAAGUGGCGGUGCAUUUCUUUCCCUUCUAACGUGAGUUUAGCUUAUCAUUAGGAUAUUUUGUCAAACAAUAUUAUGAGAUGAGUUUGAGUCAUUCUUUAAAGAAAUGGUUCUGCAUUAUACUUUAAUGCUUUGAUACAACUCUCGAACAUAAUAGGCACUUCUUAUGGUGGGUGGGCACAAGAAGAAAUAUCUAUUGCAAUCUUGUUUAACAUUUUCAUCUUUUGCAUCUUCUUGCUAUUGAAUUCCAAUUUGGGAGCAUCUUGAUCUUCAAGAUGAAAGUGUUGUUUGAGUAUUGAAUUCUAAUUUAGUAUGCGUAAAUAUGGAGUGGGAAUGAACAUCUCAUUCAUUCUUAUGUUUAGAUAACUAAAAUACUUAAGGGAAUAAAAUUAAGAAUGAUUCCAAAGGAAAUGGAAUCAUUUGUAAGAGGUAUUUUGAUUCUCUAGUGCAAGUUAUUUCAAAAUACUUUUCAAAAUAACUUGUAUUAGAGAAUGAUAUUCUGCUUCCAUUUCAAUGUUAAGUAAAAAUAGGAAUGAAAAUGAAAAAAAUAAAAAUAAAUUGACAAUAAUAUCUAUAAAUAUAGUUUAAUAUAUAUAUUUUUAUUUAAAAAAACUCUCACAUUCCACAUAGUUUAAAAUAAUUUUUUUUUUAUUUUAAAAAAAUCCGUUUUUUUUUUUGCUAAAAAAUAAAAACCCAUUUAGGUGUGUGAUUUAAAAACAAAAUUGCUUUUAAAAAUUUAUACCACUAUUUGGUUGUUAUUUUUUAGAAAUAAUUUUUAAAAACAAAGUAAAAUAGAGAACUAUACUCUCGAAUUUUUUUUUUCACUAAAGAAAAUGAAUUUCAAAUUAAGUGAGCCUUUGUUUUGAAUUUAUUAAUAAGUUUAAUAAUUUUAAAAAAUAAUUUAAAGCUCAAUAUAUAUAUAUAUAUAAUGACUAUAAAAAAUGAUAGACAUAACUAAUACUUUAAAUCCUUUAAUAAAUCUUGAAGUUUUUAAGAAUAAUUUGAAAUUUUAAAAAUUGAUUAAUUAAUUAUAGAUUAAUAAAAUAAUUCAAAAUAUCAUCUCUAAUUGAGUAAUAAAUGUAUACAUGUAAUGAAAAACUUAACCUUAAAAAAUUAAAUUUGAUUUUUUAAAUUGAUUUAAAAUAUAAUAGUAUUAGCCAUGAUUAAUUUUAAAUAACUAUUCUUCAUUAAUUUUAACAAAAUAAAUUAAUUAUGUUUUUAUAAGAUGUUAAUAUCCAUAUUUUUAUAAUAUUUAUAAAAUAUAUAAAAUCAUAUAAAAUAGUAUUAGAAAUUAUUAAUUUUGGAUUAUUAUUAUUAUUACUAUUAUUAACAAAAUAAAUCAAUUAAUGUUAAUAUCCAUAUUUUUACAUAUUUAUUAAAAAUAUCAUUUAUGAUUUUAUUAUAUUAUUAAUGUUCAUAUUUUAUUAUAAAAAAAAAAAGCUAUUUAUUUUUAAAUUUAAGAGGUGGUGCACUACAAUUUCUACUAGAUUGACUAAAUACAUGAAUCGACUGUGGACAAACCCAUGACUUGUAUCUUCUAUGCAACUCUUAAUACAUACAAGUCAUGUACAAUGUAAGAGACAUGAGUUGAAUGUUCAAAUCAAUGUCAAUACACCAAAAGGAUAGGAAGGAGAUAGUUAAGUCUAACUUUAUUACGUCAUAUCUUGCUUUUAAGAGUUCAAUCCCAACAGAAAUGGUAUUAGAAUUCCCUAUCUUGUAUCAAAAUGCUUAUUCCUUCCUUCUUUCAUCUCCUCUUAUGCAUCUAGGCUUCUCCAUUUUGUUUCUAUCAUUUUUGUUUCUUUAGGUCGCCAUGCACUCACAUUUGCACCCAUUUUAUUGUUUUUUUGCUACAUUCUCCACUGGAUAUAAACAUUAGUCCAACAAUAAAGGCUUAAUGUAUAUUUAAGUUAAAAUGGUAGGGUUGAGGUCUUCAACGGAUUUGAACCUAGAAAUAAGACUCUAAGGUGUCAUAUAUUUCCUAAUUUCAAUUAGGUCACUUAUGACUGAGGCAUGUGACAAUAGGUAUUCAUAAGAUAGACACUCUAAUAUUGUUGGAAAUUCUAGAUUACUUUGUUUCCUAGCCUUAGAUCGGAUAAAAUGCAUGCAUCUAUCCUUAGGCUUCUCUUAAUCCAAUCAAAGUGGUUAUGAAAACCAAUAAGAUUAAUUGAUCUAGAGAAAAAUAGCUCAUACCUAUGAUCUGGAUGUUCUUAAAUCAAUUAUGGUGAAGUUGUCCAAGAAGUCGUAAGUCUCGUUUACCUGGUGUCCUUCCACCUAAUCUUUCCUCACAUGGAUCUAAACAUGUAAGAGAAGUGUGGGCUUCUCUUCCUGAUUCGCUUGAAUUCCCAGCCGGGUCUUUUAAUCAAAAAUAUUUAUAAAACCUAUGACCUUAUACUGGCGUAGCAAAGCUACUAUAGUAUAGCAGUUCUAGGGUCGAACUCAGGGAUGGGUUUUCACUCUAUCAGUGACAGACUCUAAAUUAGAAAUUGAUUUUGAUGAUUUCCUUUAGCACAAACUUGAAAUUUAAAAGAAACUAAAAUUGUUUUGAAAGUGGUGAUUUAAACUAAACUCACAUAGAACUAAGUAAAAAGUGGAAGAAAGAAAGUCUCCCGGAGCUGAAGGUUGCUAGGUUCAAGUACCAAAUGCAAAGUGGAAAAUUCCGGAUUUUUCUCCUCGCAUUGGGGAUUUAACCUAUAGUUAUUUCCCGAACCGGUAUAGGUUUGACAAAGAAGUUUUAAUCCAUAAAAAGUCACUAGAGAUGGUAGUCAAGGUCCAUUAAUGGCUUAAGACACUAUGGGCUAUCACCUUGAAUCACUUUCCAAUGGCUCGUACAUGAUAACUAAUGGACUGAUAUGGAUCUAGUAAUAAGCAUCCACAGAGACCUUAAUCUUACCAUGUAUUGGCCAGUCAAAGUGAUUCUAAGGGAUUUAAGGCAAAACCUUGGCUUUAUAAACCAUUUAUGGACUCCAACUACCUGAAUUUAAUGCACGGAAACUUUCCAUGUUUUAAUCUGGACUUUUCACCUAGCUUCCUUUACUCCAAGAAACUAAAUGUUUAGCCUCUCAUCCUCUGGGAAAACAUCCUCAGAGGGUGUUUGGCUUGCAAGAAAAUAGAAAAUAGAAGAGAGAAAAAGAAAGCAAAAGAGAUCUCUGUAUUUCACUAAGUAUCAAAUUUACAUCAUUUGGUCUCCUGGAGAAAGCUCCCCGAAAGAUACAUUUUCAGUGAUUACAAGAGAAAUUAUAUAGGAAGGUAGUUUUACCCUUCCUUGGAUACUUCCUAGCUAAGGAAUUACAUGGUUGGUUGAAUACAAGGAGAAAAUGGAAAUUUGGACACAAAAAUAUCAGAAGAAAAAGAGUCGGCAAAAAUAUCCAAAUUUCGCACUUCUGGAGUUCCAAUUUCGCACGUUGAUUUGAGGUGUGCGAAAUUUUCGCACAGUGGACUGAGGAUUUCGCACCUUGAUUUCCAUCGUGCGAAAUUUUCGCUCAGCCUGAUGCAGUUGUCUUCCAAAGGCCAUAUCUUUCUCAUUUCAGCUCCAAAUCAUACAUGGUUUGAACCGUUGGAUUCUUGACUUUCUGAGCUUUGAAAUGGUAUAUAGAAUGUAAAAAAUGGACUUCGGUAAGUACUCCAAAAGUGCAAUGAAAGACUGCAGCUGUGUCCCCUGUUUUCAUCCCCUGUUUUCCUCUUCUCCAUUGUUUCUUCCUUGUAUACUUUGAACCACUAAGGCAAAGGAUUAUGAGGCUCCAUAGCUUGAUUUAUUCAUAAAUUUAAGCUUUCAAAAGCUUUGCCCUGAACUAUAAAUAGCUCUCCCUCAUUCUUAAAUUGCUUUGGUGAGCAUAAAGCUAUCAAAAAGCACCAAAACUUAACACAAUUGUUAGAAACGAUUGCAAGGGCUCCUAACAUGCUAAUUGGAUUAAAAGGUAAUAAUUACUACUCAAUGGUGUUUAAAAGAGCUAAUUACAAGCUACAAAAUAGCAUGUUUUGAGUAGUAAUCACUCCCCCCAACCGACAUAUUGCUAGUCCCUUAGCAAUUAAGGAGAGAAAAACUAAGCAAACGUAAUAAUAUACAUAAAAGAAGUCAUGCAAUUCAUUCCAAAAAAUAAUUGAGUGGCAUGACUGAUAUCCAAACACAUCUCUCCUGGUGAACUAAAGAUAUGAAGAUUCAAAAUGCAAUAGGAGUUGUCAAAGCUUAAACUUAAACAAAAAGUACAAAGAGUGGAGAUUAUGCAAUUAAGUAUCAAAAGAAUCUCUACUCUCAAGGUUUCAAAUCAAACUCUUCCAUAAUAAGCUAAGUGUUAAUGAAAUUAGCUUCCGGAUAUAGUAUAUACAACUAUCCUCACCUUCCAACCUAAGCUUUUCUCGAAUAUUGGCAAAAUUAACCAACUCUUAAUAGGUUAGGAACACACCUUCUUAUUCACAAUUCUUUUUACUCACUAAACUUAACCAAUUCACCUAUGUAGCAAGCAGAGGAUCGAUGACUCCCAACCAAUCAAGGUUUAGGGCAUCGGGUUUUAAAGGCUUUCGCCACCCCUUCGGAUCAUGCUUAGGUUUCAAGGAAAGAAUAGAGGCUUAUUCUCUUUUUUUUUUUUUUUCAAAGACUCAUUGGUCUUUAUGAGGUGUCCCAACACUAUUAAAGAGAGGUUAAGUAAUCAACCAAGUCAAAAUUUUCCUAAGCUUAGAAAGUGAGAAAGUUUUACAUCUUAUAUCCGGGAUCUAAUGUGCACAGUGUGUGUAAAGCUCGAAAUGGAAGAAGAAAGUUCAAAAUCAAAGAGGUUUCAAUAGAUUAUCAACUUUGAAAGCAUAAAACAAACUCUAAGACUUAAAUAAUUAAGUUAAAACUCGACUUAUCCUAUUUUAUUUUUGAGAAAUUAUCUUUAACAACCAAAGAGAAUGAUUCAAAAAACUUUUAGCAAUUUUAAAUUUUAAGGAAAAAUCAACUAAAAUACCAAAAUGACUUAAUAUUAACAACAAAACUUCCUUUCUCAACUCUCCCCCCAACCAAGUUGAACAUUGUCCUCAAUGUUUCAAAAGCGAUUAAAAAUAAAGGGAGGAAGUGGUACCUCCUGAGUGAGACAAAGUCUGAGUGUAAAGGAGGUAUGGAAUACCUUAAACCACAUGUUCCAAAGACAAAAGAGUAAUGAGAAAAGGGAAUAUAAUCAAAAAGGAUAUAUAUAUAUAUAUAUAUAUAUAUAUAUAUAUAUAUAUAUAUAUAUAUUACUUGGAAAAGAAAUAUACAAUGUAUGAUUUCAAGUACUAUUUCCAAUCCCAGUUUAUAACACAUGCAAAAGAUGGGAUUUACAAGUCUAAUAUAUAAAGUAAAACAUAAAAAGAUCAGAUAUGAGUGGGGUCAUGUGAUGGCUCUGCUCUGAUCUCCUCCUCUGGUAUAGGCUGCUCAGCUGGCAAGCUCUCCUCAUCUGGCACUAGAGGCUCGGAUGGUGCAGACCUAUCAUGCCUAAGAGGUGUUUGCAUACUCAAAUGCUGCUGAAUCUGAUGAAGGAUCGUGGUAUGCUGGGCCUGAGUAGUAAUGAUCUGAUCCUGGUGUGCCCGAAUAGUGGCCAUCUGGUGGAUAAUAGAAUCCUGAGCAGUACUCAGUGUCCACAAUGAGCGCUCUAAGCCUCUGAAUUCCGUAAGAGAAACGGUGACAGUGGGAUCAGAUGAAGGAGGAGGUGCUGGGGUAGCUGGUACGACUGGUGGAGCACCCUGAGUGAUAGGGGAGGUAGAAUGUAUAGCCUCGGGCAUGUGAACUGAGGUGGGUGCUGCAGGGGCAGGAGGUGGUGUCUCUGUGAGAAUCUCAUCCUGCUGGGCCUGAGGCAUCUGCUCAUCUCGGGGUAGCUCUGGAGGUGCAGGCACAGCUGGUGCUCCCUCGGGUGCAAAGUAGGCUACCAAGUGAUGCCAUUUGUCGAGAGAGAAGUCCUCUCGGCAAUGACGGCACCUCUCAAGACGGGGCUCUUCAAGAUAGCCCAGGUGCUCUAAAAUCUGGCAGAGGAGCCUCGGAAAUAGUAAUGGGAUGCCAUCUGCCCUCUGAAGCUUCUUCUGAUGGACUUUUUCUUCAAAAUGAAGAAGAGAAGUCAUAAUCAAAUGAUAAGGGCCGAAGAAAUAGCCCUCAGAAAUCCUGAAUAAUGCCUCAAGUAUAGCUCCUCUCCUCUGAACCUUAUGCUGAAGUGGGAAGAUGUUGGCACGCAGGAGCACAUCAAUGAGGAGCAUCCCAGAUGGAAGCUCUCUCCUGGUCAAUACCGAGGCUGUAGAAGUCCCCCUGGACAAAAUGCGGACCAUGUCACUCUAAGAGAAUGAGGACCACUCCCUGAAGUCUGCCUGAAACACGGGCUCAUAAGGUAUAUGGAGGGCCUCAGCAAUGUGGCGAGCUCCAAUGGCACCCUGGCGUCCGUCUAUGGUAAAUUGGAUGAGAGUAGGAUUGUGGAGGCCUCGAGUAGUCAUAGAUUGAUAAAAAUCUAAAACUACUCUGGGAUAGUAGAAUUGCCUAGGAGUGAGAAGAUCCUCCAUGUGAUACCUCUGCAGCAGUCGGAAUGAAUCUCUGAGCUCUGGCUGCUGUUUGAGGGCCUCUAUAUCAAAAUAGGUCUCGGAGUGGAAGGAUCGAUCUCUGCAAUCCAGGUUGCCCUCUAUCGGUGGUCCAGCUAUCAUGGGACACCUGAUAACGGUUUCGGGAGGAAUCCCCACAGGAAUUCGAGGUUCCUCUGUAGGCGGCUCUGCCUGAGGCGCAUGGGAUGACUCUCCAGGACCCGAGAACUUGGUUCUCUUGGCAGGGGGUCGAGGAGCCGGUCUCUGAGCUCGGUCGGUGGGUGGCACAGGGUUCGUGGGUGGUCUCCUAGUGGGGUAUCGGCGCUGAGAAAGGGCUUCCCCCUCAGAUGGGGGAAUGGCCGGGGCCUGAAGAGGGGGCGAAGCUGCGGCUCCCAUGGCAGAUUGAUGUGGUCGCGGUGUCGGUGAGGAUGGGGAGCCGGAAAGGCCUCCUCUGGUCUUUGCCAUGGCCGAAAUGAAGGGAAGUGGGUGUUCGGGAUUCCAGAGGUGUCUUAGCUUGUGCGCGGGGGAGACUGUUGAGUUCCUUGGCUUCAAGGGCUUAUAUAGGAAUGGGGUUUGGGGGGGUUUAUGAUGUUUUAAAAUUUUCCAAGGCAACCGAAAAGUCGUUUUUGGACGUUAGGCACAAUUUCGGGGGUAAAAUUUUAAUUUAAAAGUCCGUUUUAAAUUUUUUGAACUUAAAAUUUUACCGUGCGAAAUUUUCGCACCUUGGUCUGGAAAUUUCGCACCUUGGAUUUAGGUGUGCGAAAAUGGCCCCCUUUGGACAAUAGAAUUCGCACCUUGAAAUGAGGUGUGCGAAAUUUUCGCACCUUGAACAGUGGUGUGCGAAAUUUUCGCACACCGUUUCGCACAGUGCGAAAAUUAGCUUGAGGUGUGCGAAAUUGGCACACGUGUGCUAGGAGAGGAUUUCGCACAGUGCGAAAAUUUUCGCACCUUACACAGUGGUGUGCGAAAUUGGAUUUUAGGCAAUUCGCACCUUGAAAACAGAUUUCGCACCUUGAAAUUGGGGUGUGCGAAAAUUGCUUCCUUUGGCCCAAGGAUUUCGCACCUUGGUUUUGGGGUGUGCGAAAUUUUCGCACCUUGAAAUCAGGUGUGCGAAAUUUUGGCACCUUGAAAUCAGGUGCUCUGCUUCCCUGGUUUUACUCCCCUGUUCUGCUUUUGAAGAGCUCUCCUCACCUUUCAUGAUUUUUUUCUGAAAUUUAUCAUCAAAAUUGACUUGAAUUAAGACAAAAUAAACUAAGAUUGAGGAAAAAUUAUAAUAAAAAGAAAUAGAAUUAAUGAUAUAACUAUAAAACUAUAACAAAAAAUUCAUGGACUUAUUUAGCCCAUGAUACCCUACUUUCCCUCAGAGUUGUGGUGGUUCAAGGAGGUUGAUCUCCUCCUUGUCUGUACUGUAAGGCUCUAUAAAUGGCUUGAGACGAUGGCCAUUGACUUUGAAGAUUUGAUUGCCUGUGGGAUUGAAUAUUUCCACCACUCCGUUGGGAUGCACUUCAUGAAUUAUGAAAGGACCCGUCCACCUGGAUUUCAAUUUUCCUGGAAAGAGAUGAAGUUUAGAGUCAUAAAGCAAAACUUUUUGUCCUUUGGUAAAAUUUUUCUGAUUUACCAACUGAUCAUGCCAUUUUUUCAAUCUUGCUUUGGCAAUUUUUGAAUUGAGGUAUGCAUCAUUCCUCAUUUCCUCCAAUUCAUUCAAAUCCAAACAUCUCUUUAACCCGGCUCUUGUCAAAUCCAUGUUGAGCUUUUUGAUUGCCCACCAUGCUUUAUACUCAAUCUCUACUGGAAGAUGACACGCUUUGCCAUAGACAAGGCGAUAGGGAGACAUUCCUAGAAUGGUCUUGUAAGCGGUCCUAUAAGCCCAUAAGGAAUCCAGGAGCUUGAUAGACCAAUCCUUCCUAUUCACAUUGACUACCUUCAUCAAUAUAUUCUUGAUCUCACGGUUGGCCAACUCAAAUUGGCCACUUGUUUGAGGGUGAUAAGGUGUAGCUACCUUAUGCUUAACCCCAUACUUGGCUAGAAGAGUCUCAAAAGGUUUAUUGCAAAAGUGGGUUCCCCCGUCACUUAUAAUGGCCUUUGGCACUCCAAAUCUUGCAAAGAUGUUGUCCUUGAGGAAUUUAAGUACCACCUUAUGAUCAUUGCUCCUACAUGGGAUUGCCUCUACCCACUUAGAGACAUAAUCCACUCCUACCAAGAUGUAGGAAUGUCCAAAUGACAUUGGAAAUGGUCCCAUAAAGUCUAUACCCCAAACAUCAAAGAUAUCCACUAUUAAGAUGGGGUUCAAGGGCAUCAUAUUUCGGCGUGUUAGCUUACCAAGCCUUUGACACCGAUCACAUGCCUUACACAUAGAAUGGGCAUCCUUGAAAAGAGAGGGCCACCAGAAGCCUGAUUGGAUCACUUUCAUAGCUGUUUUCUGGGAGGCAAAAUGACCUCCACAUGCAUUAUCAUGGCAAUGGGAAAGAAUUCCCGAUUGCUCUUGCUCAGGAACACAUUUCCUUAUAAUUUGAUCUGCACAAUAUUUGAAAAGAAAAGGUUCCUCCCAAUAAUACGCAUGGAUCUUAGCCAAGAAAUGCCUCUUGUCUUGAGCACUCCACUCACUUGGUACUUCUCCAGUAACCAAAAAGUUUGCAAUGUGAGAAUACCAUGGAGCUAAAUCUACUGACAUGAGAGACUCCUCAGGGAAGUCAUCAUUGAUAGGUAGACCAUGUGAGUCAUGUGCUAUCACUAGUCUGGACAAGUGGUCAGCUACCACAUUUUCUACCCCCUUUUUAUCCCUAAUUUGGAGAUUGAAUUCUUGGAGCAAAAGAAUCCAUCUUAUCAAUCUUGCCUUGGCAUCCUGCUUGGUUAGCAAGUACUUCAAAGCAGAAUGGUCAGUGAACACUACUAUAGAGGACCCUACCAAAUAAGCACGAAACUUAUCCAAGGCAAAAACUACUGCCAACAACUCCUUCUCAGUAGUUGUGUAGUUCUUUUGAGCCUCAUUCAAAGUUCUGCUUGCAUAAUAGAUCACAUAGGGCUUUCCAUCUUCUCUUUGCCCUAAAACAGCCCCCAUAGCAAGAUCACUUGAAUCACACAUUACCUCAAAAGGUAAUUUCCAAUUUGGGGCUCUCACUAUUGGUGCAGUUGUGAGGAAUUGCUUCAAUUCCUCAAAACUUCUCUGACACUUCUCAUCCCACACAAACUUGGCAUCCUUCACCAAAAGCUCACACAGAGGUUUUGAGAUUUUUGAGAAAUCCUUAAUGAACCUCCUAUAGAAUCCUGCAUGUCCAAGGAAUUGCCUAAUUCCUUUAACAUUUGUGGGAGGUGGCAACUUAACAAUAAGUUCCACCUUUGCCUUAUCUACCUCAAUGCCAUUUUUGGAGAUGAUGUGUCCUAAGACAAUUCCUUUUUGUACCAUAAAAUGGCACUUCUCCCAAUUUAGCACUAGGUCUUUCUCAAUACAUCUAUGGAGAACAGCUUCUAAAUGCAUCAAACACUCCUCAUAAGAACUUCCAUAUACAGUGAUGUCAUCCAUGAAAACUUCCAUGAUGCGUUCGACCAUGUCACUGAAGAUGCUUAGCAUGCAUCUUUGGAAAGUUGCAGGAGCAUUACAUAGACCAAAGGGCAUUCUCCUAUAAGCAAAAGUACCAAAGGGACAAGUGAAGGUUGUCUUUUCUUGAUCUUCCAAAUCAAUUUCUAUUUGGAAGUACCCUGAAUAACCAUCUAGAAAACAAUAGAAAGGAUGUCCUGAGACUCUCUCAAGGACUUGGUCCAUGAAAGGCAAUGGAAAAUGGUCCUUCCUAGUCACUGAAUUCAACCUUCUAUAGUCUAUACACACCUUCCAUCCUGAGGUAGGACGUGUAGAGACUUCCUCCCCUUUCUCAUUCUGGAUCACAGUGAUUCCAGAUUUCUUUGGGACUACUUGGGUGGGACUCACCCACAAGCUGUCUGAAAUGGGAUAUAUGAUCCCAGCUUGAAGUAGCUUCAAAACUUCACUCCUCACCACCUCUUGCAUGUGAGGAUUCAGUCUCCUUUGGGGUUGCCUCACUGGUUUUGCAUCAUCCUCCAUAUAAAUAUGAUGGGUGCACACCAAAGGGCUAAUCCCUUUCAGAUCAGAAAUUUUCCAUCCAAUGGCUUUCUUACAUUUUCUGAGGACUCCUAAAAGACUAUCCUCUUGAUCACUAGUGAGGGUUGAGGAAACUACCACUGGACAUUUCUCAUCAUCCUCCAAGUAUGCAUACUUCAACUCCAGAGGAAGUGGUUUUAAAAUAAGCUUUGGAGGGUUCUCCACAGCAACUCCUUGUGAGUGUUCCUGGUUGAACAGUGGUAAGAUCUCUUCCCGUCUCCUCUAAGGAGACAUAAUGGCUAGCACAUCAGAGGGUUCAGAGAACCCAUCUUCAAGGACUUCCAGGUUUUCAUUCAAGCUCUCCUCUAAACUCUUGUCACAGUGCUCUUCAACCAAAGUGUUGAUCAAGCACACCUCCUCAAAUCCUUCCUCCUCUUCAGGGUAAAGAUGCCUCUUACAUAAGUGGAAUAUGUUUAAUUCCAAUGUCAUGUUUCCAAAUGUGAGCUGCAUCACCCCAUUCCUACAAUUAACAAUAGCAUUGGAGGUAGCAAGGAAAGGUCUCCCUAGGAUGAUUGGUACAUAAUUUUCUUCCUUGACAGAGGAAUCAGUAUCAAGCACCACAAAAUCCACAGGAUAGUAGAAUUUGUCCACUUGAACUAGAACAUCCUCUAUCACUCCCCUUGGGAUUUUGACAGACCUAUCAGCUAAAGAGAGGGUCAUGGUUGUGGGCUUUAAUCCUCCUAGUCCCAAUUGUUUAUACACAGAGUAUGGGAGCAAAUUCACACUUGCUCCCAAGUCUAGUAAAGCUUUUUCCACAUGUGUCCCUCCAAUGUUGACUGAUAUGGUGGGACAUCCCGGAUCUUUAUAUUUAACUGGGGACUUACUCUAAAUGAUAGCACUCACUUGCUCAGUGAGGAAUGCAUUCUUUGUCACCUGUAAACCUCUCUUGACUGUGCACAAGUCCUUUAGAAACUUUGCAUAUGUGGGGACUUGUUUGAUCAUAUCAAGUAAAGGUAUAUUUACCUUCACUUGCCUCAGCACUUCAAGAAUUUCUGAUGAAUUCUUGAUUUCUUUCUUUCCAUGUAAAGCUUGAGGAAAAGGGGGAGGCAUAUGUUUCUUCAUCAUAUCCUCCUUAAUCACUAUCCUUGGUUCUUCUUCAAUGCUUGAUUUGGAUGUACUUUUCUUCCCACUCUGCUCUUCUUGGUUUUUGCCCUCUUUAAUCAAGGGUCCCUUUGAUCUGAGUUCUUCAUCAGGCCCCAAGUUAGGCAAGGGUUGAUCAACCUUCUUCCCACUUCUCAAAGUGAUCACAGCUUUGAUCUCUUUCAAAUUUGAAGAAUCCCCCUCUUGGGUUUCAACUUCAUGAACACCCUUAGGAUUUUGGCUUGGUUGAGAGGGGAAUUUUCCUUUCUCAUUCACUGUGUUGAGGUUGGUAAGUCUAGAGAUGGAGUACUGAAUAUUAUCUAUCUUAUGAUAUAGAUCAUUUUGCAUCCCAUCCAUUCUCUUAUUUAGAGAACUCUCAACAUUCUCAAUCUUUUGGUGCAAUUGGGAGUUGAUUGCCCUUUGUUCACCCAAAAAGUCAUUCAUGACUUUACUUAGGUUUGCAAUGGCUUGCUCCACUGAAGAUGGUUGUUGAGGUGCUUGGAUUUGGCCUUGUGGUUGGUAUGGAGGUGGUCUUGGUUUCCAAGAGAAAUUUGGGUGGUUUCUCCAGCUUGAAUUAUAGGUGUUACCAUAGGAUGCACUGUUGUUGGGCCUAAAUUACCCCACAACAUUCACUUGAUCACCUAACAUCUCUCUCACAGCUGGCAUGGUUGGACACUCAUCUACCACAUGAUCACAUGAUUGGCAAAUGGUGCAUGGCAUGGCAUGGGCUUGAGUCUCGGAAAUGGCUUGGACUUCAUGUAUUUUUUUCAAUUCAAGUUCUUCCAACCUCCUAGCUAAUGUUGCCACUUUAGCUUUCAUGUCCACGUCUUCACUCAACAUGUACAUUCCAGCCUUUGGAUUUUGGGUUUGUUGAGAGGGAAACUUUCCUUUCUCUCUUGAGUUGGGCUCAUCCCAUCCUCUUGACACCUCAGCCACAUAACUUAAAAAGUCCAUGGCUUCAUCAGGAUUCUUACUCAUAAAAUCUCCCCCACACAUGGUCUUAAGAAUUUGCUUCAUGGAGGAAGACAUUCCAUCAUAAAAAUAGCUCACUAAGAGCCAUGUAUCAAAACCAUGAUGAGGACAAGCAUUGAUGGCUUCCAUAUACCUUUCCCAACACUCAUGAAACUUCUCAUUUUCUUUUGCAGAAAAGUUUGAGAUUUGUCUCUUCAACCCGUUAGUCCUAUGGGUGGGGAAAUAUUUCUUCAAAAAUUCAGCUUGAAGAUCAACCCAAUUCCUUAUGCUCCUUGGCCUUAAAGAAUUAAGCCAUAUUUUUGCCUUAUCCUUCAAAGUAAAAGGGAAUAGCUUUAGUCUCAUCAAGUCUAUUGAAGCUCCUCCCUCUCUAAAGGUAUUACACACCUCCUCAAACUCCUUGAUGUGAGAAUAUGGAUUCUCACUCUCCAUUCCAUGGAAAGUUGGUAGGAGGGGUACAAUAUGGGGUCUUAUAACCAACUGCUCAAGAGGGGGCAGGAUGCAUGAGGGUGCACUCAUCCUUGGGGGAUGCAUUCUAUCCCUCAUGGAUAGGUAUGCAUUGGGAUUACCCCCUUGACCUUGUUGAGAAUUCUGAUCCUCUGGUGGAGGGUCCAUGAUAUUUACACAGAUAUCCAACUUUGUGUCUUGAGGAUUCUCAAUCCUUACUAAUCUUCCCUCUUGGUCCCUAAUCCAAUAGGGCAUGCACAAGUUACAAUUCCUGUAAUAGUAAAAACAAAAAGGAAACUAAAGAAAAGGUUAAAGUUAGGAAGAAAAUGAAAAUAAAAUUAACAAAAGGAAAAUGAAAGAAAAUGAAAUUAGUGAAAAAGGAAUUCACCCUGGUUGUGAUGAAAAUCACAAGUAGCCUCUAAAAGGUUGUAUCACUGUAUUGUGGCACCAUCCCCNNNNNNNNNNNNNNNNNNNNNNNNNNNNNNNNNNNNNNNNNNNNNNNNNNNNNNNNNNNNNNNNNNNNNNNNNNNNNNNNNNNNNNNNNNNNNNNNNNNNAUGUGGUAUUUUCCACCUAUCCCACGAUUUAAAAGAAUGUUUCAGUCCUCAAAAAUUGCAAAAGACCUCAUAUGGCAUGCAGAAGGUGGAGAAUUUGAUGGAAAAAUGCGUCAUCCAUCCGACUCGCCAUCAUGGAAGGUAAUUGACCAUAGAUGGCCUGAUUUUGCUGCAGAACCUAGAAACCUUAGACUUGCCAUUUCAGCAGAUGGCAUGAAUCCCCAUAGUUCUUUGAGCAGCAGGUAUAGUUGUUGGCCAGUUGUCAUGAUCACUUAUAACCUUCCACCGUGGUUGUGCAUGAAGAGAAAAUUUAUGAUGUUAUCUUUGUUAAUAUCGGGUCCACAACAACCUGGAAAUGACAUAGAUAUCUAUUUAGCACCAUUGAUUGAGGACCUUAAAACCUUGUGGGAGAUAGGGGUAGAAGCUUAUGAUGCAUAUCAAAGAGAGGUCUUUACAUUAAGGGCUGUUCUAUUAUGGACAAUAAAUGACUUUCCUGCAUAUGGAAACUUAUCUGGUUGCACAGUCAAAGGAUAUUUUGCUUGUCCAAUCUGUGGACCGGAAAACCUAUUCACAUAGGUUGAAGCAUGGGAGAAAGAAACUCAUUUACAGGUCACAGACGUUUUCUUCCCAUGCAAUCAUCCUUUUUAAAAAACAUAGAAAGGCAUUCAAUGGUGAGCAGAGUUUCGAUCACCUCCACAACCAUUAAGUGGAGAGGAAAUACUAUUGCAAUUGAAAUGCCAUUUAGUAAAUCAUGGGGGAAAAAAAGUGGAAGACAUGAUAAAAUCCAAUGUGACUUAUACCAUUGUUGGAAGAAAAAGUCUAUAAUCUUGAACUUGAGUAUUGGANNNNNNNNNNNNNNNNNNNNNNNNNNNNNNNNNNNNNNNNNNNNNNNNNNNNNNNNNNNNNNNNNNNNNNNNNNNNNNNNNNNNNNNNNNNNNNNNNNNNGAACCGGUAUAGGUUUGACAAAGAAGUUUUAAUCCAUAAAAAGUCACUAGAGAUGGUAGUCAAGGUCCAUUAAUGGCUUAAGACACUAUGGGCUAUCACCUUGAAUCACUUUCCAAUGGCUCGUACAUGAUAACUAAUGGACUGAUAUGGAUCUAGUAAUAAGCAUCCACAGAGACCUUAAGCUUACCAUGUAUUGGCCAGUCAAAGUGAUUCUAAGGGAUUUAAGGCAAAACCUUGGCUUUAUAAACCAUUUAUGGACUCCAACUACCUGAAUUUAAUGCACGGAAACUUUCCAUGUUUUAAUCUGGACUUUUCACCUAGCUUCCUUUACUCCAAGAAACUAAAUGUUUAGCCUCUCAUCCUCUGGGAAAACAUCCUCAAAGGGUGUUUGGCUUGCAAGAAAAUAGAAAAUAGAAGAGAGAAAAAGAAAGCAAAAGAGAUCUCUGUAUUUCACUAAGUAUCAAAUUUACAUCAUUUGGUCUCCUGGAGAAAGCUCCCCGAAAGAUACAUUUUCAGUGAUUACAAGAGAAAUUAUAUAGGAAGGUAGUUUUACCCUUCCUUGGAUACUUCCUAGCUAAGGAAUUACAUGGUUGGUUGAAUACAAGGAGAAAAUGGAAAUUUGGACACAAAAAUAUCAGAAGAAAAAGAGUCGGCAAAAAUAUCCAAAUUUCGCACGCUGGAGUUCCAAUUUCGCACGUUGAUUUGAGGUGUGCGAAAUUGUCGCACAGUGGACUGAGGAUUUCGCACCUUGAUUUCCAUCGUGCGAAAUUUUCGCUCAGCCUGAUGCAGUUGUCUUCCGAAGGCCAUAUCUUUCUCAUUUCAGCUCCAAAUCAUACAUGGUUUGAACCGUUGGAUUCUUGACUUUCUGAGCUUUGAAAUGGUAUAUAGAAUGUAAAAAAUGAACUUCGGGAAGUGCUCCAAAAGUGCAAUGAAAGACUGCAGCUGUGUCCCCUAUUUUCAUCCCCUGUUUUCCUCUUCUCCAUUGUUUCUUCCUUGUAUACUUUGAACCACUAAGGCAAAGGAUUAUGAGGCUCCAUAGCUUGACUUCUUCAUAAAUUUAAGCUUUCAAAAGCUUUGCCCUGAACUAUAAAUAGCUCUCCCUCAUUCUUAAAUUGCUUUGGUGAGCAUAAAGCUAUCAAAAAGCACCAAAACUUAACACAAUUGUUAGAAACGAUUGCAAGGGCUCCUAACAUGCUAAUUGGAUUAAAAGGUAAUAAUUACUACUCAAUGGUAUUUAAAAGAGCUAAUUACAAGCUACAAAAUAGCAUGUUUUGAGUAGUAAUCACUUCCUCCUUGAGGGUGGUUAGGGUUUUUUUUGUAGAAAAUCUUUUUUGAAAGAAAAAGUGUCAAAAGUCUUAACCCUAAACCUCUAAGGGGAUUUAUAUAGGGUUCCUUAUAGGUUUAAGUGAUUGAGCCUAAAUUGGGUUGGGGUCACCAAAUUCAUCCCACCUGGGUCCUAGUUAAUUGAUUAGUCCUAUUAGGUUUCAAUUAAUUAAUUAAUUAGCCCAGUCUAAAAAAACUAAUUCAUAAGAUCUAAUGCAACCUUCACUUUUACUAAAACACUCGUAUACACACUUAUCAAUCAAAAACCCAAAUCUUUCCAAAUAAAUCGUGUUAAAUGUAAUAUUAAUAAACAUGUCAUCAAGGAAUACAAGCUAAAGCAGGGAUCACUAGGACCCACAAGAAAAUACUAACUCUCUCAUAAUUCAAUUUUGAAGUUGACUCAACAUCCCACUAUUGAGAGUUAAUUGCACUUCGAUAUCCUAUGAUAUUAUAAUGAGAUAUAAGAACCCAGAUCCAUGACCCAUGUUAUAUAUCUCAAACCCAUGAGAUAUCAUAGUGUCUAUCUUAAGUAUAUUUGUUGCCAACAACUUCUACCAAUAGUGAUCAAAUCCAUGGAGAAUAUAUGACCAUCAUAGGGUCUUAUUCACAUGUCAAAGUCAUUGAAGACUUUAGCACUAACUCAGUAUCCUUUCAUGGUUGAGAGCCCAUAUAGUAUAGCAACUUAGUGAUAUCAUAAUUACUGAUAGUUAAUUUUAUGACUCACCAUAGGUCUUGUCCAAUAUGUAAUAAUACACAUUAGUACACUUACCAUGAGAAUCCUAUCCCGAUGACUAAGACUCUUCAUCCCUUCAAUUAGAAGGUAGUGCACUACAAUCUCAAAUGGAUUGCCUAAGUCCAUGAGCGAUUUGUGAACCAAUCAUUUAUUUGCAAGAAACUCAUGACUUGGAUCUUUCAUACAUCUCCUAAUGUACCUAACUCAUGUACAAUGUAGAAGGUGUCAAGCUUAAAUGCUAAGAGAGUAUACUACUUGAAUAGGAUAGAGGAAAUGGAGAAAUUAGAAUCAUAUCAUUAAAUAAUAAAUAUGUUUAUUAUUACAUCAUGUCAUACUUUUAAAUGUUCUAUCCUAACAAUGUAAUCAUAUACACUAAUGCAAUCAUCAUGAAAAACUUAUUUUAAUGACCAUAACAAGUCAUCCUUCUAAUUAGAAGGUAGUAGAAUACAAUUUCAAAUAGAUUGCCUAAAUCCAUGAACCAGUUAUUAACAUUUCAUCAACUUACAAGAAAUCUAUAAUUUUGAUCUUCUGUAUAGCUCCUAAUGCACCUAAGUCAUGUACAAUGCAAUUGAUGUAGACCUAAAUGCUUAAAUAAAUAAUGCAAAUAUGGAUGAAAUAGUGAAAAUAAAAAUCGUAGUAUAUAGAUAUAUUAAUGAAAUCUUAUUUACUUACAUUAUAUCAUGUUUUUAAGGGCUAUAUCCCAACACUUUGCAUUAUUUAAUUGCUUAAACCUUUGGUUUUGUCCCUCAAAGGCACUAAAACGGUACUCAUAUGUCUUUUUAGUUUCAAUAAGCACCAAAACAUUCCACACGGAAAUAAAAGUCUCCUACCUUCCUUUUAACUUAAAAGUAUUUUUUACAUUUUGUAAGAAUAUUUUGUAAUAUAUGUCACCUACAUAAAAAAUGUGAGGAGGUUGGAAACACAUUCUAUAGUUCAUUCAUAAGAGCAAGUUCCCCAUCAAUGACAAGUACUCUUGGAAAGAAGUCUUCAUGCAUCAAAUUUCUCAAAUUUUGUAGACUCAUGUGUACUUAUCUUCUUUUUCACCCCCAAGAUAUGUAAAUGCAAUAUCAAAUAUCUUAUCAAUUGAUGUUAUACCAACUAUCUCAAGCAAAAGCAUUCAAUACCUGUUCAUCUUGUAGGCAAAAUCCAUGAUCAACACCAUUGGAAAGGUUAACAACAAAUAAAUGGAUAUUGACUAACAUUAAGUUUAUAAUAUAGUCAUUUUGUUCAUCCUUCUAUGUCAUUCGAUGUAGUUCAACUCCAUUAAUUUAUGCAUCAAUUGUUGCUUUUAUGACCUCUCACCAUAUUCAUUUACUUUAUGUUUAUAAUUUGCAUUAUAUAUUAUCCCAAUGUGCUACAGUUGAGUUCAUUCCUCUCCUUUUAACUAUUUAUUAUUUUCUUUGGCUUAAUGUCACUCUUUAAUAUUUUUAUUAAGAUACUCAUUUCUUCUUAAUUUAGAUGAUUAGCAAAAGAAUAUCCUUUAAGAUAUUGUGCUUUAGCAUAAUUAUGUCUUCCACAUUUAACAACCAAUAUCUAAUCAUCAUUAGUUAGUAGUUUUAUACCCUUAAGAGUAAAUGGACACCCACAUUUCUUUGUUUCUAUUAGUCUCUUUUUCUCUUUCUUUUUUACUCUCAUAUUCAAAAUUAGCCUUUCUUGAAUCCCUAUAUACUCCAUUUCAUUCUCAAGUAAAAGUAAUCCUAGGCUUUUGUCAAUGAAGUUCUCGAAUAUAUCCUUUACUAAUUAUAAUAACCAUUUCAUUUCUUUUACCGAUCUUUGACAUCCAUUUGAUUAAUGCUUUCCUAGUACAAUUAAUUAUAUAUGUUGUGAAGACAAUCGAGUAGUUUAUCACUGUCGAAGCUUAUAAAUGCUCUAUCAUAUAUAAAAAAUUAAUAAAAUUCAAUUUUAUUUUAGAUAAGAAAUAAAGAAAAAGUUGUUGGAAUGUAUAAUGUUGGAAGUCUGUACAAGUGUCCCUUAGGAAUUCCUUAAGAUUGUUUAGAACUAUACUUUUGAUGCACAUUAGGGUGUCUAGAGGUAUAGUUCUAAACAUUUUAAGGAUGUUUGAAAUUAUAGGAUUAAACAAUUGUAAUUCAUCAAACCCUUGCAACUUCGAACACCUUUAGCAAUGAAAGGAAAACUCGUUGACUUUGACCUAUAUAUUUUUGGUAGCAAACACUACCCAUAUUCUCUAUCAAUCUCCUACCAAUCUUGGCUGUAAUAUCCAUAUUCUCUAUCAAUCUUCUACCAAUCUCGAUUGUAAUUUACAGCUCACACAUAUAUUUUAUAACUAGUAUAUAAUACAAUGAAUCACAAAGGAAUGAUAUGCUCUCAUUUUUCUAUCAUUUCUAUAAACCUAACAUGGUAUCAGAGCUAUACUUGCUAUAAGCAAGCUUUGCAUAGCACGUCCAACAACCUUCAUCAUCAUUCCAUUUUUUUUUCUCUCUUUUCAUAGUUGCGAAUCAUGGCUGAUGAAUUUUCUUCAUCUUUUGCAAAUCCUGUAGUUCUCACAAUAGGAAACAAUCUCUCAUCUCAACCAAACACCCUCAUAUAUCAUUGUUGAAGCUUAUAAAUGCUCUAUCAUAUAUAAAAAAUUUAAAAAAAUUCAAUUUUCUUUUAUAUAAGAAAUAAAGAAAAAGUUGUUGGAAUGUAUGGUGUUGGAAGUCUUUAUGAGUGUCCCUUAGGAAUUCCUUAAGAUUGUUUAGAACUAUACUUCUGGAUGCACAUUAGGGUGUCUAGAGGUAUGGUUCUAAACAUUUUAAGGAUGUUUGAAAUUAUAGGAUUAAACAAUUGUAAUUCAUCAAACCCUUGCAACUUCGAACACCUUUAGCAAUGAAAGGAAAACUCGUUGACCUUGACCUAUAUAUUUUUGGUAGCAAACACUACCCAUUUUCUCUAUUAAUCUCUUACCAAUCUUGGCUAUAAUAUACAUAUUCUCUAUCAAUCUUCUACCAAUCUCGGUUGUAAUUUAAAGCUCACACAUAUCUUUUGUAACUAGUAUAUAAUACAAUGAAUCACAAGGAAUGAUAUGCUCUUAUUUUUCUAUCCUUUCUGUAAGCCUAACAUGGUAUAAGAGCCAUACUUGCUAUAAGCAAGCUUUGCACAACACGUCCAACAACCUUCAUCAUCAUUGCAAUUUUUUUUUUUUUUGCUCUCUAUUCACAGUUGUGAAUCAUGGCUAAUGAACUUUCUUCAUCUUUUGCAAAUCCUGUAGUUCUCACAAUAGGAAACAAUCUCUCAUCUCAACCAAACACCCUCAUUUCUAUCAAUGCUGCCACACAAAUGCCAUUCAAACUUAGCAAAAUGAACUAUGCAUCUUGGAGAGCCCAGUUCACUAAUCUUCUAUUUGGAUAUGAUCUGUUGUGCUUCCUCGAUGGCACAACUCCUUGUCCCCCCGAAACCAUCUUGCAAUUUGGUUCUACAACGCCUAUCUCCAAUCCUAAGUGCAAGUUAUGGAAACGAUAGGAUCGUCUCAUUCUCCAUGCCAUUCUUGCAUCAGUCACAUGGGAUGUUGCCCCACUUAUCUCCUCUGCAACAACUUCUCAUGAAGCAUGGUAGAAAAUGGAGAUGACUUUUGCAAAUCGAUCAUGAAUCAGAAUGCUUAGUUUAUGUAAUAUUUCAAUGAAGACAACAAAGGGUUCUCAAUCCAUUGCUGAAUACAUGCAAAUCAUCAAAAUCAUUAUUGAUGAUUUUGCUCUCAUGGGCUAUCCUCUCAGUGAAGAUGAAAUUAUCCUCCAUAUUCUCAAUGGGUUGGGUAAUGAAUUUAAAGAAAUCAAUGCUGCCAUUCGAGCUAGAGACUCACCAGUGACAUUCAAAGGACUUCAUGACAAAUUACAAGAUGAAGAAACUUUUUUGAAGCAAGAUGACACAAGUAAGGAAACUUCACCAAUCACUGCUCAGUUUCAUCACAAAUUCUCUAAUCAUAAAGGAAAUAGUGAAAAAUCUGGUGGACAUCCGAGAGACAAUUUCAACAAUAAAGGAUCAACCACUAACUUUGGCAAUAGGAAUAUCUUUGACAAUCAGAGAAAAAAGAUUGUUCAAGGUAAUAAAAAAUUCUCCAAUAAAGGAAAUCACCCCCAUCCCUAACACGAUUUCAAUUCUUCACAACAUUCUUGGCAUCCCAACAAUGGUACCAAUCAACGCCGAAUUAUUUGUCAACUAUGUGACAAAGCUAGCCACAGUGCCAAGGUAUGUCAUUCCUGACCACCACCACGCUUCUCAUCUUAAGCCAACUACAUGGCCAGGGAUCAAGCCAACGACAAUGACUCUUGGAUAGUUGACUCGGGUGCCUCUCAUCACAUCAUUUCGGAUCUUCAAAAUCUCUCACUACACUCUGAUUAUGGUGGUAAUGAGGACAUUAUGAUUGGCGAUGGUAAUGACAUUCCUAUAACUCAUGUCGGUUCCACCACAAUUGAAGCACCCACAACCACUUUUUCGUUUGACAAUGUUUUGUAUGCACCCUUGAUUAAAAACAACCUUCUUUCUAUUUCUCAUUUUUCCAUCAAAUAACACAUUUAUUGAAUUUUUUCCUUAUUUUUUUUACUGUGAAGGAUUUGAGCAUGGGGGCAUCCUUGGUGCGAGGUUGGAAUAAAGGAAAUGUCUAAGAGUGGCCAACAUCAUCCUCAACCUCCACAACCAAAACACAUGCCUUUCUCGCUAACAAACCCACCAUGAAGUCUUAGCAUUGUCGUCUUGGUCACCCCCCAUCUCAAGUCCUCACCAAGCUAGUUUCUACUCAAGCGUUGUCCAAUGGUGCCUUUAGUUAACUGUGAAUGACAACAAAAACAACAACAAUAAUAAUGAUCAUGCUUAUGGCCACAUUAUUGUUGUUUAGUAGUAGUAAUAGUAGUAAUAUUAGUGUUAGUAUUAGUGGUAAUGGUAUCAUUUAAAAGUAAUACAAUUAAAUGGAGAAAAGUUGAUCUAAGUUUGGAUGUUCUGUUUUCUGUUACCUACUUAAAGAUUAACCAUAAGCAUUACCGUUGGUGGGAAGUUGCUCGGCUACAUAAUGGGAUUACUCUGAUCCAAACCAUAAAUCCCCUUGCCCAAAUGAUGGUGGAAAUAGACAUGGUUUUGAGAUAACUCAUCCAAGAUUCCGUCUAUACUAAAAUCUGUUGGUCUACGUAUCCAUAUUAGACCAAAUUAAUACCAUAUCCAUAAUCGCCUGUUACUUCGAAUCAAACUGAUCUUCUGAAUCUUCGGAACUUCUGAUUUUCAUCAUAAGUUUUUGGGAUUGUGACUGAAGAUUUUGUUUUUGUGGAUGUAGAGCUUUGGUUGAGCUUCUGGAGUGAAGUACACUAUAAUUCAUUAUAUGAUGAAUCCAACAUAUAUCAUCAUGUGCACCGAGAAAAAGGCACUGGCUUUUUUAGAGUUAUCACCUGCUCAAGAUCAUUUAUUUUCUGUACCUAUUUCAUCUCCAUGCUAGAAAGUCAGUUAUUGUUUAACAUGACUUCCAGAUUCUCUCUAUUUUCAAUACUUUAGUUGAAAUUUAGAUGUCAGAAAUCUGUAUAUGAAUGACGUGUGAUAAUUACAUGCACCCUUUGCCUAUCGUUUUACACCCAUUAAUCCUAGAAGCAUGCGGGAGUCAAAUUUUUCAUGGGCUUUAUUCAGCUUCAAUACUAUUUGGUACAAAUGUCUAGCGUCAUUCCAAAACAUCCUAAGACCUUUGGGCUAUGUUUUGCAGAUGUUAUGGGAGGAAUAAGAAUGAAUAUUUUGUUUUUAUUUUUAUUUCUUUUUGAAUAGAAAAGAAUUUGGAAUGAUUAUUUGUUUUUAUGUUAAUAUUAGAUAAUAAUGGAAAUGAGAAUGAAAAAAGAAAUAAAUUGAUAAUAAUAUUUAUAGAUAUAAUCUAAAAUUAUUUUUUAUUUUCAUUUAAAAAAAAAUUUCAAGCUACACAUAGUUUAUAAUAAUUUUUAUGUUUUAUUUACAAUAAAUAUCUUUGAGAGUUUUUUUUUUUUUUUUUUUUCAUUCAGAAGUCUCCUUGGUUGUGUGUUUUAAAACCAAUGUUCCAUUUUUUAAAAGAAAAAAUUGUUUUUGAAAAUGUAUGAUACUAUUUAAUUGUUAUUAUUUGGAAAUAAUUUUGUGGACCCGCAUUUUUCACGUGCGUCCCCACUCGAUCGGCGAGACUCGCUUUUUAUUUGUGAAAAAUUGAUUUUUGAAAAAAAGUUAGAGUCGCCACUUAUUUUAUUUUUAUUUUUGAAGGGAAAAUAAAACAAGAAAUAAAACCCUAGAAAAAUGACUCCAUAAUUUUUUGAAAAGCGUGUCUUUGAAAAAACCCGAGUCUCAGUCCGGGGAUCAGGUUACCUAUUGGGAAGAUACCUCUAAGAGGUAGCACCCCUCUAAGCCCUAUAAAGGUCUCUACUGACAAAGUUAAGGGAAGUGUGGCCAUUAAUCAGUUAAUUAUGGAUACCUAAGUAGGCUAGGUGAUUUCAAAUAUUGCAUGUCUAACAAGAAAACCAACCAUAAGAGAGAGUCGAAAUGCGUACCCGAAUGGCUUCUCAAGCGCUAUCAUAAAACAUAAAAGUUAGUGUAGAAAUGUAGCACACAACUUUUGUUUUAUUUAAGCAAAUCAAGCAUAUAUCAAGACAUCCAAGAAUCACGUCAAAUAUGGAUAUGGUCAUCAAUGACAUAUGUGUCAAUAGAAUUCUCAAAAAUAGGUGUGAAGGAGUGUACCUGGAUAGCAAGCUAAAAUGCCUCUAUGGGAAACAAGAUUGCUUAAUGAUAGGUGCAUAAUAAUCUCACGUAUCUCAAAGAGAAAGCACAAUUAAUCAAAUAUCAAACAAAAAAUAUUUGAGGAAGUAUCAUGAAUGUCGGGCCCCCCUCCAAAGCCCUAAUUAAUUUUGCAUGAGUUGAUUCUAUAAAUUCCAUUAUUUGGAAUUAUGAAGUUUAUUCAUGCUUGUUGAAAAUCAAGAAAAUCAGUUGAAAAUCAAAUAAAAUAGUGAAAACGCGUGCCGGAAGGAAAAUGGCAGCAAAAGGGUGUUGAAAGCUGGAUUUUAUUCCCUAGAGAAGGUCCAAAGAUGAUUUCUCUAAAAUCAGGAUUAUUUGGAUGAAAACGAUUUUGAAAACACAAUUCAAAACACGUAAAAUCAUGAGGAAAACAAAAGGGGUGUGAAAAGAAGGGAGUAGUGUGCACCGGACUGGCCAUGGCGAGUGGGGUUUGGGGGUUUGGCUGUGACUACGUUGCUGGUGGUUGUGUGAAGAGAUCUCCGUAUAUUGCUGGCAUGAUUGGAAAAGAACCGUCCGUAUUCAUUUCAGAGUUAAAGCUCGCAGGGUUUCUCCUUUGACCCUUCAUUCCACAUCCAGCAAUCAUUAUAUUCCAGGAGCUUUGGUCCCUCAAAUUACCCAUCUGCAUAAACAAGCUUCUUGCCUUUUCUAUACAACCAGUUUUUUUUUGCAUAUGCAUCAAUUAGAGAAUUCAUAACCUGUGUUUCAGAGUUAAGUCCUAGCUUACCUAUGAAACCAUGGGCAAUUUGAGCACCACAACUGGUCAAAAUAGCUGCAGAGGCCUGAAUGAAUGAGAUCAUUGUGACUGAAUCUGGUUUGUACUGAUUUUUUUUUUUUUUUUUUGACUGCAUUUGGCAGAAAACUCUCAUGGCCAUGGCAGAUGCAAGGCCUCACAUAAACCCUUGAAAGCAUGACACGAGAAGAUAAUCUAUUCAAAUCUACAGUUCCAUCUUCCACCCUCUUGUUACAAAGGGCAUCCUUUAGAGAAAUGCGAAGAUUUUCUAUUUGUUCUUUUAAAGCUUCAGCCACAAGGACCACAUUUUUCCAUGCAUCAACAGCUUUCGAGGAAUCUGAACAAGGAUUGGUUUCAGUUAAAUGACUCUGUUCAUGGACAAGAUCAGAAUUGAGUUGUCCUGCACAAGACUUCUUCACAUUCAUACUGAAGUGAACCACAUGACUAAAUUGAAUUUUGCUAAACAUCAGAAACACAUAUGAUGUUUGAUCCAUCAAUGAGAAGGGCAUAUAUCUGAAUUGGCUAUCUCUAUCCUCUGAAAAUACGUGUUGAUGGAGAUUAAGUGGUUCAAGUUCGGCUGCAAGUUUCAAUUCAUGCACAAGCACUAUAAAAGCUGGUUUCUUCCCAAGUUUCUAACCUUUAGGCAAUUGUUCCAUGUUACUUCUUGCUUCAGAAUCAUGGUUUGGAUUUAAAGGGAGUUUUGUUGCUAUAAAACGAUUGGGAACAUCAUCAAAUUCAGACUCUGAUGUAUCAAUACUGAGAGACAAUUCAGGCUCCUGUAGUUACCUACUUCUUCGCUUCUUCAAACAACCAUAAAGUUAAUUCUUUUACCUUGCCUUCAUUUAAUAUAAAAGGCAUCAUAUCAUGUUCAGAAGAAGAAUCCACUGCCAUAGCAAUCAAUCCAAAGCUAGCACUAUCAUCCUCAUUUUCUCUGCUACAUUCACCAAUAAGCAAGGACCCAUCAACCUCAUGUUCCAUAUUACUCAAAUCAGUAUUCAACUUCACAUUCCGCACCUCAACAACAGGAACAUCUGAAUCAAAGUUAUGAAUACCACUCUGCCUGAAGACUGCAUUUAGAAUGCGUAUUUGAGUAGACUCAGAUGGAGUGGAAAUUGGAACAUGGUCUCUAGCAUUUAAAUCUUUUCCAUGAACUCUAAUUGCACAUUCUACAUUUUCAGUUGUAUGUGAUUCCCCGCACAAUUCAGCUGAAGAAGAUACCACAAGCUUACUAGAAACAUCUCCCUCGUGAUGGCUUCCACUUCCACCAUAAUUACCUUCAGAAAGUUUACUGGUUUCCUCAGAUAACAGAGAAGUGUUCAAGUGACUGGUUGAAAUCUCACUAUUCGAUUGGCUCCCACUUUCCAACAAAUAAUCAUUUUUCUUCACAAAACUGCUCUUUCCAUAAAUCAGGUGCACAUGAGAGUCCAUUCUCUGCUCUGAUAUGGCACAAUUUUCUGCACCUCUGUUGCCCUGACCCAACUCACCAUAGAUACUUGAGUCCUUGACAGUAGUCUGACCUGGAACAAUUUCUUCCUGCCCAAUAGGUUUUAAUAGCAUUUCAGCAUAUUCUGAGGAUGUGGCCUCAGACUAAACAUUGUUCCGCCUGGAUAUAGAGCAAAAUUCUGCAGCACUUGAACUAAACUCCAUCCCACUAUUUCCAGAGAGAAAUCCUCAAUCUACUGGUUGUCUUCUUGACUUUUAAUGCCAAGGAAAACCUCAAUUUCGACUAAACUAUCAAACCUUAGAUUCCCCUGGUGGCUGUCAUCAAAAUCAAACUUGGGAAGAGCAUAUGGCCCUCCAGUUUCUCCAGUUCACUACAAUACUUCGGAUUCAACUAUCUAAUAUUCGAGUGAGGUUUCUGUACACUUCAAACUUCAUAUUUUGAGGAGAUACCUGUAAGAUAAAAAGCAUGUCUCUGCAUCCUGCACCAAGAUAAUGAACAUUCGAACCAACAUUUGCCUGAGCACCACCCAGAUCACAUGAAUGCCUCUAUUUUCAUCAUGGAAGGCAAACACAACAGAAAUUCCAGCAAUAGUUGCCUUAAGAUUAGUUUCAACAUGCUGCGGUGGGGACAUACAAAGAUCCAGAUGCAAGACUGGAUGCUGCAGUUAUCGCACCCAAAAGCUACCUCCUCUUCUUUCUGGUCAUUGACAGAAAAUGGCACCCAAUCUGAUAUAAGAUGAGGUAGCAGAAUAUCUAUCACCGAUUCUUGCCCUGUUGUAGAACAAAAGUCUGCAUCAAAACUCUCACAAGUUGGUAUCACCUCACCAGUAGCAACUGAAGCAGAAGCCAAGGUUGAUGAAUGGCAAUAAGAUGCCAAAUUAGAAACAGAUUCAGUUGUCUUGUGAUGGAUACACUCUUUGCCAUCCAAUUACCAUCAGUUUUUCUUUUCCUUUUUGGAACUUCUGGAAUACGGAAGAAACCUGUGAAGAAUAUGGAGGAAUAUUCCAGUAAUGCAGUACACAGUAGGAGCCCUUUUAAGGGGAGCCCUGCAACCACUAACUUCAGCAUCCUUUCGGAGUAGAACAUCAAUAGAUGAAGAAUACAUCAAGGGAAUCGUUGUCAAAAGCUUCAAAAUGAACACAAUCUUAGCAAGAGAUGCAGAGGCUUCCCGGUUAUUGAAAUCAUUCUCUUCAGGUGUAGUAACAAUGGCUUUUCCUUUCCCCUUACUUGCGGCAACAUCAAUGUCGAUGGCAGCUAAUGGGAGGCUGUCAAAGGGCAUAUUUACCACAGUUUCAUCUUUUGAGGGAGGUACAAAACUAAUUAAUGAAUCCAAAAGAAACUCAUUCAUAUUUACAAAACUCUGAGGAGGUUUCCGAUGAACCUUGGAAUUUUUGGAGUUUGGAUCAGUAAGUUUUCCAUGCCCACCUGCAGCAGCAGCUCAUGCAUAAUAUUUCAAUACAGUUGAAAGAUCACCAGUACAUAAAUAUAUCGAUCUAUAUUGUUGAAUCAUGCUAGAUGCCUCUUGUUUCAGAUUGAUCAGUAACCUCUUCUCGAAGCAAAUUUCUGGAACAUUUAACAGCUGCUCAAACAAAGUGUAACCUUCAUACAUAAAUAGUUGGAGGAAUGACAAGGCAAGGUCUAUGCAUUUUUCCAAUACGUUUCGUGGUCCACAACCAAACACUUAAGAAUAUGUCUUUGAAGCCACUCAUAAAGCUCUGAUGGACCUUUCUUUUGACCGCGUCAUUCCAAAUUUGAAUUCAGGUCAACUAUCACGCAUGAAUUUGUAGUUGCAUGUGCACAUUGUUCUCUGAUUUCUUCUCUCAGACUGGGACUCUCAGAGGACCACUUUACUCCACCAAUGAAAAGAAGAACUGAACCAGAUUUCUCAAAAAUACAACCUUUGCUUAUAGUAACUGAACAUUCCUUAGACUAAAAGCGUCUGAGCAUCUCUAAGUGUCACCAUUCUGACUAGCACAAACGUCAUUCAAUGAAUCUCAGGCACAUUCGACAAGCAAAAAAACUGAUAGAAUCCAAACAUAUUUUCCCAAGUUGAUCUUCAUGUCCCGCGAGACUCUUGCUUGCCAAAUAUUGAACAUAUUGAAUCUCAUAAAUGACCACAGGAACUAUGCGUGGUACUAAAUCUUCUAAUGAGAUGAAACCAGAAUUUUUAUUUUUCCAUUGCAGAGAAACCAAAAUUUCUCCUCAAGGUCGGUGAUCCUUCUCCAUAUGUUGAUAAGAUCAGAGAAUGGCAACAAGGUUGCUUCCAUGAAAAUCACCAGUCGUAUCAUGAACUUCCCUUUUCCAAUCAGAAACGAAAAUCAAACUUCCAGAAUUUCUCCCAUUUUUCCAAGAUCGGUGACGUGUGAUAGGUCCGAAUUUUAAUGAUCCGCGUUCUAGAUCUCUGCAGUUCACUACCAUGCCUUGGAAUCAACUAUCCGAUAUUUGAGUGAGGUUGCUGCAUACUUCAUCCCUCACAUUGACACUUCCAUCAUUCCUCAGUGUAUACCCAAAUGCAAUGACAAGGGUUCGGAAAGCAUUCCGGAAAGGGACAGAAAGGAAAUAAAAUAAAGUAAAAGCGAAGCAAAACUCGGAUAAGGAAAAUAGCGGAAGAUGUUGAUCAGUAAACAUAAAUAGCCUCACUUCAAACAUUAAACCUGGGCUAAAAACUGGAGGGACGAUGCAGAAUGGGAUUUGAAAGAAAACAGAGCAUGCUCAAAUUCAUGAAUUUUAGAAGACAUCAACGACAUGUAAAAGAAACAUAAUCAGAACCAAAAUAGGACACACAAAAGAUCUACCAAUCUCAAUAAAGCAAUUUGUGGCCCUUAACGUCCACACCAAUCAGCAAAGAUUGAAUAUUCAAAAAUGGUCAGAGGAUCAUGGAGUAUUGAAUGUAAACGGGAAUAAAAAAAAGUAGCAAGAAGCAUACCCGGCAGCUUUGACUCAAUUCCUUUCUUCUAGAUCUGAUUCUUCUCCCAAAUCCUUUAGAAACUCGUGUACAUCAGUCCUUGUUCCUCCCACCCAAAGCAAUCCGAAGAAUCCUCUAAUACGUGCUUCUCUCCCAAAAGGAAUCUCCUCCCUCUUCCUCCAAUGCGUGCCUCCCUCUUUAAUUCUCCAACCUCUUUUUUAUAUGGCAGCCCCUUCUUGUAGAAUAUUCUGUUUCCUUAUUUUUUUUUAGCCUUCUCGUUCAAAAGCAAUCUUCCCAAUUUCAAAUUCCCCUCCAAAACCUUCCAAGGAGAGUCCCACUUUCCUUAAACUCCAAUGGUAAGUUUCCUUGCAAAAGCAUGAAAUUUUAGAAGUUAAAUAAUUGCAUGAAUAGAUAAAUAAGUAAAUAAAUUAGAAAAAGGUAAAAAUAAUAAAUAACUAAAUAAGUUAAGGAAAAUAAUAAAAAGAGGAAGAUAACCAAUAAAAAGUGAAUGAUAAUCAUAAAAUUAAAACUAAAAACAAAAUAAACAAAUAAAUGAAUAAAAUAAAAUAAAAUAAAAGUCUUCGUAGGCCUAGUGUGCCUAAACGGGCCUAAGGUGAGACUAAGUGGGCCUAGGGUGGUGUCUAAUGGGCCAAGUGUAUCUAAAAGCUAUCCUAAAAAAAAACAAGAAAAGCCUAAGUCUAAGUUAGGGCUGCCAAGGGUCACAAUAAGGGAUCAAAUAAUCCCUCAACCAAAAUCUCCGAGGUGACUAAAAAAAAAGGUAAGUGGUAUGAGUAGUCAUGGGCCAACAAGGAACUAUUUUGAAGCACUGAAAACGAACUUAAAGACAUGUGCUAAAGGGACAAAAUUGAGGGUUUACUAAUUUGUUUUUUUUUUUAAAAAAAGGUGAAAUAAAAAACAAUUUUUGGAAAACAAAUAAAAGUUAUUUUUUUACUAGUUUUUAAAAUAAAAGGAAAUAAAAAUAAUAAAAGAAAAUAAAUUCACACAAGGCAAAUAAAAUAGAAUAUGAUAAUAUUUUUCUUUCUUUGUUCUCUUUUUACCACCUAAUAUCAAUACAAAAGAUCUUCAAAUAUGAUAUUUGAAUUAUGUGUGUUUUUCUAUCUUUUUAACUUCUCUAUUUUUUUUUUUAACAAAUAGAUUCCAAAUCUAGCAAUUUUUAAUAAAAAGAUUUAUUAAUUUUUUAAAAUAAUUUGGAGCUCAAGAUUCCAUUCAAUUAGUAUUAGAAAAUUAAGAAUGCAAAAUUGAUCAAAUUAAUAUUAAAAGGUCACCAACCUAAAUUCAUUUUCAAGGGUUUUAUGAGUUUUUUCCUUAUAUAUAAUCAUAUUUAAAAAAAGAAUUAUCACUAGGUAAAUAAACUCUAAAUUAAGGAAAAUUUAAUGGGUUGGAUUUGCUAAUGAGUCUAGUGAUUUUUAAAAAUAGUUUAAAAGCCAAAUAAAUAUUAGAAAUUUAUGGAUAAAAAUUGAUUUAGAAUGACUAUAUUGUUUUAUUUUUUUAUUUUUUUUAUUUGUAUAGAAUCUUUUUUUUUUCCAAUUUUUUUUAAUAGUGAAAUGAAUUUCAAAUCAACCGAAACCUUUUAGUAAAUUAAUAAAUUUAAUAUUUUUAAAAAUAAAAAUAAAACUAAAAAAUGCAUGAUAAUUAUAAAAAUUAAUAAACCAAAACUUACAGUUAUGAGUCGUGACUUUAUUAUUUCUACCAUACAAAACUAUAUUUUUUUAUUUUAUUUUCUCACUAGGUAGAUAAAUUUAAAUGAAACAUAAUUAACAUUUUAAAUUCUUUAAAGAAUCUUUUAAUUUUUAAGAAUAAUUUGGAAUUUUAAAUCUAAUUAAUUAAUAAUGGAUUACAUAAAAAUGUUAGAAUACUAUAUUCCUAAUUGAGUACUAAAUGUGUGCAUGUAAUGAAAACUCGGUUCAUUUCUACCUUAAAAAAAUAAAAAGGUUAAACUUUACUUGUUUUUUAAUUCAUUUAAAAUGAAAUAGUAUUAGCAAUUAUUAAUUAUCUAUUUUUGAUAAAAUAAAUCAAUAAUGUUUUUAUGAGGAUGUUAAUAGCCACAAUUUUAGAAUAUUUAUAAAAAAAUAUAAUUUAUGAUUUAAUUAAUUAUGCUCUUGUGAGGAUGUUAAUAGUCGUUUCAAACGAGUUGCUGGCCGUCGUGACAUUGCUCUUAAGAUUAAGGAUAUUAAACAACAUGUUGAUGACAUUGCAAACCAGAGCAAUCGGUUCAAUUUUACAUCCGGAUUUAGCAACGAGGAACCACAGAGGCUUGUAACUAUCUCUGCAGUUGACAUUUCAGAGGUAUGUGGUCGGGAUAAGGACAGGGACACCAUACUAAGGCAGUUGUUGGGUAAGAGUUGUGAACAAAACUUGGGCCUCUACACUAUCUCCGUGGUUGGGAUGGGAGGUAUCGGCAAAACAACUCUCGCUCAACUAGCCUUUAACCACGAUGAGGUGAAGGCUCAUUUUGAUAAAAGAAUCUGGGUCUGCGUCUCUGAUCCUUUUGUCCCAAUAAGAAUUUUGAGGGCUAUUCUUGAAGCCCUCCAAGGCCAGUCUUCUGAUCUCCAUGAUCCUGAAGCUCUACAACAAAAUUCAAGAAUCUAUUGAUGGGAAAAAGUUUCUCCUUGUGCUGGAUGAUGUGUGGACCGAAGACUAUCAGUUGUGGGAACAACUCAAGAAUUGUCUCAAGUGUGGAGGUGGUGGGAGUAGAAUUUUAGUGACCACUCGCAAUGAGAGCGUUGCUAGGAUGAUGAGAAGCACAUACAUGCACUCCUUAGGAAGCUUACCAUUAGAGCAAUGUCGGGCAUUAUUUUCCCAAAUAGCUUUUUGGGGGGAGAGUACCGACAAAAUUGAAGAACUAGAAGAAAUUGGUAAAAAAAUAGCAGACAAGUGUAAGGGGUUACCUCUUGCCGUUAAAGUUUUAGGGAGUCUGAUGCGGUCCAAAAAUAAUAAAGAGGAUUGGGAGAAUGUUUUGAAUAGUGAAUUGUGGGAAUUGGAUGUUUUUGAGGAAACACUGUCCCCUGCCUUGUUGUUGAGUUAUUAUGAUCUGCCCCCGCCACUUAAACAGUGCUUCUCAUACUGUGCGGUCUUUUCCAAAGAUCACUCAAUUGAAAGAGAUGACUUGAUUAAGUUAUGGAUGGCACAAAGCUACCUCAACUCUAAGGCAGGCAGAGAGAUGGAGACAGUUGGGAGAGAGUACUUUGAAAACUUAGCAGCUCGGUCUUUCUUCCAAGAUUUUGAGAAAGAUGUGGAGGGUAACAUAGUAAGGUGCAAGAUGCAUGGUAUAGUGCAUGACUUUGCUCAAUUUUUGACCAACAAUGAAUGCCUAAUUGUGGAGGAUGAUUGUGAAAACCUAAAGACAAACUUGUCCCUUCAAAAGGGUCGUCAUGCAACUGUAAUUCUGGAUGGAAGUACCAGAUCCUCUCUCUCCGUCAAUAACUGGAGGAAUUUACACACACUUUUAGUCGUGUACGGGGGGCAUAUGUUUGACUCAUUUCCACUUGAUUCAUUCCAGCAAUUCAACUAUCUUAGAGCAAUGGAUUUGAGAGGCAAUGGCUCAAUUGUAGAACUCAUUUCCACCAUGUGAAUUCAUACAUUUGAGGUACCUUAAUCUAUCAGCUUGUUGGAGAUUGGUAACAUUGCCCGAAACAAUCAGUGAGUUAUGCAAUCUGCAAACCUUAGAUGUUCGGCGUUGUUUUCAUCUUGCAAAACUACCUCAAGGGAUAAGAAGUCUAAUUAAUUUGAGACAUCUUCAAAUUGCAGGCUGUCUUCGUAUGUGCAGAGGCCUGCCUAAGGGAGUCGGAAGAUUAACAUCUCUUCGAACCUUAUCCUGUUUUAUUGUUGGUGAUGAGAAUGGAAGUGAUGUGUGCAAAAUAGAAGAAAUGAGAAACUUGAAGGAGCUUAGAGAGCUUGAAAUAACAGGAUUGGGCAAAGUGGAAGAUGCAGGGGAGGCUGAAAAGGCAGAAUUGAAGAAUAAGAAACAGCUCUAUGGUCUGUCAUUAGAUUUCCAACCAUGCCGUCAACCAGUAGUGGUGAAGGAAGUGGCUGAAGCCCUACAACCCCAUCCAAACUUAAAAUCUCUGCGCAUAAGAUGGUAUGAAGUCAAGGAAUGGCCCAGGUGGACGAUGGAGCCAUCAUUACCCCAACUAACACAACUUUUCCUUUCAUUUUGUGGUAAAUGUCAGUGCUUGCCUCCUCUGGGGGAUCUCCCACUUCUCGAGAGAUUGGAAAUAGAAUGGAUGGGGCAAGUGAAAUAUGUUGGUGGUGAGUUCUUGGGAUCAUCAUCAAAAAUUGCAUUUCCAAGGUUGAAGCAUCUGUCUUUUGUAUUCAUGUUAGAGUGGGAAAAUUGGGAAGUAAAAGAAGAAAAAGGGAGGAAAGUAAUGCCAUGUCUUCUUUCCUUGGCAAUAGAAGAUAGUCCAAAGCUUACGGCAGUACCGGACCUCCUGCUCCAGAGGACACCACCAAUUAAAAUAAAGUGGGAUAAAGAGGAAAUAGGUGGAAGCUCUUAACAUUUGUCCAUUGGCUUUGCACUGGUUGCCCUACAUGCAAGUAAUUAUUCUAUUUUCUUUUUAAUUUUGCUUUUCUAUAAUUAUUUAUCUUAUCUCUUUUUUUCCUUUUUCUUUUUCCUCUUUUAUAAAUUUAUUUAUAUAUUUUGGCAAUUCCCUAAUUAUUUAUAAAUGUAAAUUCAUAUAUUUGUCGUCCCUUAUUUUUUAAAAUAAGAAGUAAUAAUAACUUUCAUAUAAAAUAUAUCAUUUUUAAUACAAAAUUAUGAACUUAUCCUCCAUAUAUUCUUGAAAACUACUUUCAAUAUAAAAAUAGUAAAAUUAAUUUUUAAAAAUCAUAAAUCUUUGAAGGUAAGUAUGUAAAAGUUUCUUUAUUUUAGAUAUUAGUUACUAUUAUUUAAAAAUAAAAUAAAAUAAAAUAAAAAGUGCAUCCAAACCAUAGCAGUUUUCCAUUUUAAAUCAAUUUGUUUUUCAAAGUAAAAAUUCUUUAAUUUAAAAUUUUUUUUAUUUGAAGGAAAUUUAAUUUAAUUUCCCAAAGGCAUGAGAAAUAACGAGUUGGAAAACUCUAUUCCUUCCUCAAGUCUAAACUCAGGAGAUUCUCUAUUGAAUGUGGUAAUUGAUGCAAUGCAGGUAUGAAACGGAUCCAUCCAUGGAGCAUAUUCUAUCCAAAACAACCUUUCAAAUCAAGAGAUGUAAUUGAGUUUAUGGUAUUGAAUUUCAUGAUAAAUAAAUGUAAAGUUGUGAUUCAUAUGUGAUGAGAACACAUUCCAUUACAUAAAAGUUUAUCUUCUUUUUUUCUCCUCCCUCAUUUGUUGGUCAAAAAAUACUAUAUGUAAAUUAUUCUUUAGUCUUUCUUGUUUUUUUUAUUAUUAUUUUUCAUUUUUUAAAUUUUAAAAAUAAAAUACAAUUUAGUAUAGGAAGUACUGCAAGAAGGAAAUACAAAUCCUUUUUUUUUUUUUUUUUGUUUGAUAUUUUUUGUCAAAUAAAAAUAAUAAUAAAUUUGAAUAAAUAUAUGAGAAAAUUUUAGUGGGUUUAAACAUUUUUUCAAAUUCUCUUUACUUUGUCUUUUCUUUCCCCCCCUUUUUUUUAUAUCACAUUUAAUUCGUUCAUAUUUUUUACUCAAACUUUCGAAAAUCUAAAUGCAAUUCUAUAACUUGGAUAAUUUGUCACACUACAAAUUUAACAAAUUUUGUUUAUAUUUGUACAAUAGAUUUUAUUGUAAGUGAAAAUGGUUUGAUAGCUUAUUCGAGAGAAAAAAUGAAAAUAGUUUUUUUCAAAACAGUUUUUAAAACAAAAAUAAUAAAUGUUUUCAUUUUUAGUCAUUUAAAAUUUCUUUUAGGCUAUAAGUACAAGCCACACUAACUAAAAAUCCAGGGAAAUAUAUAUAAAAGAGAAUGAAUACAUAGUAUUAUUAUGGAAAGGAUCUUUUACUUCAUUGAAGGGAAAGAAAACACACAAGUUAUGUUUGUUUCCACGAAAAUAUGAGGAAAAAUGCAAAAGAAAAAAAAAUAGAGAGGAAAAGUAAAAAGAAAAAAAUAUUUAAAAUCAAUAAAUUUUUUAUAUGCUACUUUAAAUUAAUUUUAUUUAUUUUUCCUUAUCUAUGUAAAGAUCACAUAAUUUAAAAAUGUAUAAAUUUAUAUCUAAUUUUAAUUAUAUUUGGUUUUCUUUCUUAUUUUCUAUGUUGAAACUAAAUAUGAGAAAAUCAUUUUUCUUAAUACUUUCUAGGAACCAAAUAUAAUCAUAAUAUUUGUUGAGAGGAUCUCUCAAUUAUUAUUAUUAUUUUGUUAUAUAUACUACAAAUUAAUAGUGAGGGUAUUUAUUUUGACUUUAAAUUUUUGUUUUUGUUUUGCCAGUUUAUAAUAUCUUUUAGUUUUUUAUUUUUACAAAUUAAAAGAAAGCGACUUUUUUCUUUCUUUCUUUUGAUAGUUUACAAUUAUUUAAAACCUUAUUAAUUCCACUAUUUUUAAAAGAAAACACUAACUUUAGUUGAUUAAAAUGAUUGAUUUUUCAACAAUUUUGGAAAGAAUUGAAAAUGAUGACUAUCAUCAAAAUAAUGAAAGGCUCAAAAUGAAUAAAAGUAUUAAUAUUGUAAUUUUUAAUCAAAUGAGGAUAAAUAAUAGCCAUAACAAAACACUAUACAUCCUUCUUUUAAUGUAUAUAGACAUUAAAAGUAAUUUAUAAUUACAAAUAAAUUUAAAAACAAAUAUCUUUUAAUAAAAUAUAAAUACUAAUAUUAUAAUAAAUUUAUAAAAAUAUGUGUAAUUAAGAAAUAAAUCAUAUUGAAUAUUUUUGUAUUAGUUAGUGGAGAAAGAAUAAAAAAAAGUUGCUCAUGUCAUAUUUUAUUUCCUUUUUAAUGGCUUUUUUAAAAUUAAUUUUUAUUUUUCCAUAUUUUCCUUUUAUUUUUAAAAACACCUUAAAACAACUUCUAUCUAUUCUCUAAAAUUAUUUUUAAUUUUGAUAUAUUUUUAAAUACUAUUUUCAAGGAACAACUAUCAAAAGAGUCUAUAAUGUUUUAUUUUUCUAAAAACAAAACUUUUUGAUUUUUAAAUACAAAAAAAUAUUUCUUGGUUUGUUUGAUGACAAUUAUUUCACUUCCCUUGUGCGUAAAAAAACUUUAAAGUAAUUUUCCAUAGUAGACUAAAGACCAACUUUAUAUUAAUUGAAAUAUUUCAAAAUGUUGUAUUUUAUCAUUUUUUUUAUUUCACAUUUUUUUACAUUAAUUCUGAAAUUUUAUUGUAACCUAGUAUUUAUUUGGAAUUUUUAAAUAUCAAUUUUCCUAUUGGAAUAUUUCCUUCAAAUUAUUAAAAUUUUUAGAAUGAAAUGUAUAGUUGAAUUAGAAGGCAAAUGAUUAAUGAUAGUCUGGAUAUGUACAUUAAAAAAAAUGUUUAAUGGAAAUAAUAAAUGAUGAUAAGAUCAAAAUAUAAAGGAUAAUAGAAGUACAAAUAUGUAAUUUCCACCUACUGCCUACUACCUACUAGUAGAAGUUAGAGGAGGAAAAUCUAGUGUAGCUAGUAAAAGAUAACAAUCUAAAUGUCCAAACCUGCAUGCAAAGGAUAAGGCUUUGUUUGAAACAUGACAACUUCUAAAACUCCAAGGUGAUAUUUGAUACAUUGGAAUAAGAAUGACUACGUUGUUUCUAUUCUCGUGUCUCCUUGGAUUUAAAUGAAUUUGCUGAUUCUAUUUCUUUUUUGUGUUUAGAUGUAUAUAAGAAUGUAAGGUUAGAAUGAUAUUUUGUUUCAAUUUCAAUGUUAAGUAAAAAUAGGAAUGAAAACAAAAACAAAUAAAUAAAUAGAUAAUAAUAUCUGUACUUAUAGUCUAAAAUAUUUUUUUUUUUAUUUUUUUUAAAAACUCUCACACUCUUUAAAAUAUCCUUUUAUUUUCGUUUAAAAAAAUCCUUUAGAGUUUUUUUGGUUAAAUGAUAAAAACCUAUUUGGCUGUGUGAUUUAAAAAUAAAAUUAUUUUUAAAAAUUUAAACCAUUGUUUAGUUGUUCUUUAGAAACAAUUUUUUUUUUUUUAAAAAAAAAAAGUAAAAUAGAUAAUUGUUUUUUCAUUUUUUUCACUAGAGAAAAUGAAUUUCAAAUCAAAUGAGACUUUGUAUUAAAUUUACUAAUAAGUUUAAUAACUUUAGAAAAUAAUUUAAAACUCAUAUAUAUAUAUAUAAUGACUACAAAAAAAUAAUAAACAUAAUUAAUGCUUUAGAUUCUUUAAUAAAUUUUGUAAUUUUUAAGAAUAAUUUAAAAUUUAAAAAUUUGAUUAAUUAAUUAUAGAUUAAUAAAAUAAUUCAAAGUGUAAUCUCCGUAAUUGAGUAAUAAAUAUAUGCAUAUAAUGAAAAUUUUGACUCAUUUAUACCUUAAAAAUUAGAUUUGAUUUUUUUUUAAAUUGAUUUAAAAUAUAAUAGUAUUAGCUAUUAUUAAUUUUGAAUAAUUAUUCUUUAUUUUUGACAAAAUAAAUUAAUUAUGUUUUUAUUAGAUGUCAAUAUCCAUAUUUAAUAAUAUUUAUGAAAUAUAUAAAACAGUAUUAGAAAUUAUUAAUUUUGAAUUGUUAUUAAUUAUUUUUAACAAAAUAAAUCAAUUAAUGUUAAUAUCCAUAUUUGUAUAAUAUUUAUUAAAAAUGUAAUUUAUAAUUUUAUUAUAUUAUUAAUAUUCAUAUUUUAUUAAAAACUAUUUAUUUGCAAUUAUAAAAUUAAUUUUAUUUUUAACAAGACAUGAAUUAAAUUAAGGUUAUAUUACAUAAAUUGAAUUUACAAUUUCAAAAUUUAAAAAAACUUAUCUAAAAAUGUUUUCAGUUGUCUAAUUUGUAAAAACUAUUUUUAAAAAUAGGGACUGUCAAAAGCUAACUUAUUGGCCUGACAAAAUCUAAUAGCACCCCAAAGGAGGAUAAGUUAAAAUUAUUCUCUUUGUUGCUCAAAAAAGAUGAAUAAGAAUUCAAAGAAAUGACAUUUUUCUUUCCAUGGAAAUGAUGCCCUAAUUAUCAUUCUGUCUCUGUUUCCAUUUUAAAUGAAUACAAAGAGAGGCAGGUGAGAGGUCCUUUCUUCAUAUUAUUAAAACCAAGGAUAUUCCAAAAUAUGAGAAGAAAGGGGUUGGUGAGGAAUAGACCUUCGUUCUCCUUUCUUGCAAUAGCAUCAACAGCAGUAGAAAUCAUUCAAGGAAAUAGUUAAGUCAAUACACAUGACUUGACCAAAUGCAUGAACCGACUGUGGACAAACCCAUGACUUGUAUCUUCUAUGCAACUCUUAAUGCAUAAAAGUCAUGUACAAUGUAAGAUAUAUGAGUUGAAUGUUCAAAUCAAUGUCAAUACACCAAAAGGAUAGGAAGGAGAUAGUUAAGUCUUACUUUAUUACGUCAUAUCUUGCUUUUAGGAGUUCAAUCCCAACAGAAAUGGUAUUAGAAUCCCCUAUCUUGUAUCAAAAUGCUUAUUCCUUCCUUCUUUCAUCUCCUCUUAUGCAUCUAGGCUUCUCCAUUUUGUUUCUAUCAUUUUUGUUUCUUUAGGUUGCCAUGCACUCACAUUUGCACCCAUUUUAUUGUUUUUUUCCUACAUUCUCCACUGGAUAUAAACAUUAGUCCAACAAUAAAGGCUUAAUGUAUAUUUAAGUUAAAAUGGUAGGGUUGAGGUCUUCAACGGAUUUGAACCUAGAAAUAAGACUCUAAGGUGUCAUAUAUUUCCUAAUUUCAAUUAGGUCACUUAUGACUAAGGCAUGUGACAAUAGGUAUUCAUAAGAUAGACACUUUAAUAUUGUUGGAAAUUCUAGAUUGCUCUGUUUCCUAGCCUUAGAUAAGAUAAAAUGCAUGCAUCUAUCCUUAGGCUUCUCUUAAUCCAAUCAAAGUGGUUAUGAAAACCAAUAAGAUUAAUUGAUCUAGAGAAAAAUAGCUCAUACCUAUGAUCUGGAUGUUCUUAAAUAAAUUCUAGUGAAGUUGUCUAAGAAGUUGUAAGUCUCGUUUACCUGGUGUCCUUCCACCUAAUCUUUCCUCACAUGGAUCUAAACAUGUAAGAGAAGUGUGGGCUUCUCUUCCUCCUUGAGGGUGGUUAGGGUUUUUUUUGUAGAAAAUCUUUUUUGAAAGAAAAAGUGUCAAAAGUCUUAACCCUAAACCUCUAAGGGGAUUUAUAUAGGGUUCCUUAUAGGUUUAAGUGAUUGAGCCUAAAUUGGGUUGGGGUCACCUAAUUCAUCCCACCUAGGUCCUAGUUAAUUAAUUAGUCCUAUUAGGUUUCAAUUAAUUAAUUAAUUAGCCUAGUCUAAAAAAAUAAUUCAUAAGAUCUAAUGCAACCUUUACUUUUACUAAAACACUCGUAUACACACUUAUCAAUCAAAAACCCAAAUCUCUCCAAAUAAAUCGUGUUAAAUGUAAUAUUAAUAAACAUGUCAUCAAGGAAUACAAGCUAGAGCAGGGAUCACUAGGACCCAUAAGAAAAUACUAACUCCCUCAUAAUUCAAUUUUGAAGUUGACUCAACAUCCCAUUAUAGAGAGUUAAUUGCACUUCGAUAUCCUAUGAUAUUAUAAUGAGAUAUAAGAACCCAGAUCCAUGACCCAUGUUAUAUAUCUCAAACCCAUGAGAUAUCAUAGUGCCUAUCUUAAGUAUAUUUGUUGCCAACAACUUCUACCAAUAAUGAUCAAAUCCAUAGAGAAUAUAUGACCAUCUUAGGGUCUUAUUCGCAUGUCAAAGUCAUUGAAGACUUUAGCACUAACUCAGUAUCCUUUCAUGGUUGAGAGCCCAUAUAGUAUAGCAACUUAGUGAUAUCAUAAUUACCAAUAGUUAAUUUUAUGACUCACCGUAAGUCCUGUCCAAUAUGUAAUAAUACACAUUAGUACACUUACCAUGAGAAUCCUAUCCCGAUGACUAAGACUCUUCAUCCCUUCAAUUAGAAGGUAAUGCACUACAAUCUCAAAUGGAUUGCCUAAGUCCAUGAGCGAUUUGUGAACCAAUCAUUUAUUUGUAAGAAACUCAUGACUUGGAUCUUUCAUACAUCUCCUAAUGUACCUAACUCAUGUACAAUGUAGAAGGUGUCAAGCUUAAAUGCUAAGAGAGUAUAAUACUUGAGUAGGAUAGAAGAAACGGAGAAAUUAGAAUCAUAUCAUUAAAUGAUAAAUAUGUUUAUUAUUACAUCAUGUCAUACUUUUAAAUGUUCUAUCCUAACAAUGUAAUCAUAUACACUAAUGCAAUCAUCAUGAAAAACUUAUGUUAAUGACCAUAACAAGUCAUCCCUCUAAUUAGAAGGUAGUAGAAUACAAUUUCAAAUAGAUUGCCUAAAUCCAUGAACCAAUUAUUAACAACUCAUCAACUUGCAAGAAAUCUAUAAUUUUGAUCUUCUAUAUAGCUUCUAAUGCACCUGAGUCAUGUACAAUGCAAUUGAUGUAGACCCAAAUGCUUAAAUUAAUAAUGCAAAUAUGGAUGAAAUAGUGAAAAUAAAAAUCAUAGUAUAUAGAUAUAUUAAUGAAAUCUUAUUUACUUACAUUAUAUCAUGUUUUUAAGGGCUAUAUCCCAACACUUUGCAUUAUUUAAUUGCUUAAACCUUUGGUUUUGUCCCUCAAAGGCACUAAGACGGUACUCAUGUCUUUUUAGUUUCAAUAAGCACCAAAACAUUCCACAUGGAAAUAAAAAUCUCCUGCCUUCCUUUUAACUUAAAAGUAUUUUUUACAUUUUGUAAGAAUAUUUUGUAAUAUAUGUCACCUACAUAAAAAAAUGUGAGGAAGUUGGAAACACAUUCUAUAGUUCAUUCAUAAGAGCAAGUUCCCCAUCAAUGACAAGUACUCUUGGAAAGAAGUCUUCAUGCAUCAAAUUUCUCAAAUUUUGUAGACUUGUGUGUACUUAUCUUCUUUUUCACCCCCAAGAUAUGUAAAUGCAAUAUCAAAUAUCUUAUCAAUUGAUGUUAUACCAACUAUCUCAAGCAAAAGCAUUCAAUACCAAGGAUGAAAAUAUCGGUAAUCACGGAUAUAUCGGUAAUUCGAUUUUACGGAUAUAUCGGAGAUAUUUUGGAUAUAUCGGAGAUAUAUCAGCGAAUAUUAUUGGUAGGCUUAAAAUUGUUAAAAACUCAUGGAAAUGCAAGAAAAACCUCAUAAUAAUAUAAUUAGAAAUAUAAUAGACAUUUUAAAGUUGUUUUAUUGAAAAAUUUGAUAUAUAUAUAUAUAUGAUAUAAUUUGCGAUAUUAGAUGUAAUUAUAUCAUGUCGAUCUAUAAGAAAUGUUAAUUUCGUAAUUGUUCUGAUUAUAAAGUCACAUCAAAUACUUCAUUUCAUUAAAUAACAAUAAUUUGUACACAUUACAUUGCAAUGUCCCUUUAGUACCAAAAUGAGGAUCGAUGUGGUUCAAUGGGAUUGAUAGAUGAAGGAACCCCGACUUGCUGUUGGAGACAAUAUUGGUACCAAGUCAAUGAGCCUCGAUAAUAUUGGUUAUAAAUUCUAACAUGCCAUGCAUAUAUCUCUUGAGUCCUGCCUACUGCUUCUACAUGGAUAGGAUACUCAAAGUUCACCCAUGUGUUAACGCCAAAUCCUUCUUCCAUCUGAUAUGGAAUUUGGUAUGGUAUUUGUCUGGAAGGGGAAUAAUGUGACAUACCAUACUCUUCAUAUGUUGAACUUGAAGGUUGACCAUAACUCAUCACAUGAGGAGGGUAGAUGUUAGCCUCAUUCGAGGAGUCACUAAAUUGAGUCCCUAUACUCAUAGAUUCAAAACUCCCUGAAAGUAACUCCUCGUUAUAUGGUUCCAUCAUUCGUUCUUUUCCUCUAUAAGGCCUCCCAAUAGCUCCUAUGCCUGGACCAGCUCUUCUAGAGCCAUGGUCUUCAUCCUGUGUGCAGUGUGUGAAAUCAUUUUCACAAGUAAAUAGGCUGAUUGGAUAUUGACUAUGUCGACGUUCAUCAAUAUCUCCUCCCCCAUUAUCACCUCCAUCAUCAGUUCCACCUCUUGAACCAUCGUAACCAGAAGCAGAAGUACCUACAGCACUAAGUCUACUACUAUGGCCAGCACUUGUGGAGUCAAUCUCUUGGUGGGAAUGCAAUGUCGCAUGAAGUGAAUCAUCAGUACCUUUGCUAAAACUUUCAAAGUGAACUUCUUCGGACAACACACGUUCAACAUUAACUCCAAAUUCUCGAGCAUGAGCGGCAAUUCGUGGAUCAGGAUUUCCAACUUCGUCAUCCAAGUGUAUAGGCCUAACCCACUGGAACAAUUGAUUAUCUUCUUCUUCACCCACCUUGGCUAAAAUGUCAAGAAGAUCAAGGUAAUCUUUUUCAGCAACUCGAUCAUUUUCUGUCUCCAUAUCGCGUAACUUUAGCCUCAUAUUAUAGUAACAAAACACUAAUUGCUCCAAUCGAGGGUAAGCCAAACGAUUUCGUUGCUUUGUGUGGAUUAAAGCAAACGUGCUCCAAUUUCUCUCACAUGCAGAAGAUGACACAGUUUGUGAGAGAACUUUGAUGGCUAACUUUCUCAAUGUAGGUGUUUGAUUCCCAUACAUAAACCACCAUUCAGCUGCAACGAAUUUGAUAAUCAUAUAAAUACUUAUGUGGUGAAUUUAUAAUAAUAAUAAUCAAUUUUUUCCUAUAAAGACUCACUAGGCACCAUGGUUGACCUUGAUGCAAUUGCUGCUCGAUCACCGAAUCCUCUUUUUGCAUCUCGAAAAAGUACAAGCUAUGUAUUCAACAUUUAAUUUGUUAGUAAACGUUCAAAUAAAUUGAUGAAUGAAAUUAUUGUUUUAUUGACAAAAAUAACAAUUUUUUAUUCACCUCAUUUCCAAAUUGACCAAGCGAUUCAGUAGUUGGAUCUAAUUUUGCAAAAACAUCAUGGACAGCUUGAAGUAGUUCCAGAUCACUACCAACUCCACACCUAUAUUGAAAUCUUGGAUUUAAGAAGUAUGCUACAAUAAAAUUUAGUAGAGUUAGUAUUUUUUUUUUAAAGAAACUUAAAUACAAAGUAAAAACUUAUAAAGAUAUAUAGUAUUUAAGUACCUGCUGCAUGAAGUGGAUGUUUUAGUGUUUUCUGCCAAUGAUCUUGUAUUAUUUUGAACAUCCAAUCUCCAGCUCCUUGACGAAUAAGGUUCUCUUUCAUCACAUGCAUAAGCUCGUACACAAAUGGCAUUGUGGGAACAACUUCAGAAUCCACAAGUCAAAGCACCACGUAUAAUGGCUCAUAUAAUGAAACUAUAUUUGUCAAUCUGUCCCAAUACGUAUGGUCAAACAACAAUUGCUCCAAUUCUCGUCCAAGUUUUGUUCGACUGAGUUUGUGUUGUGCCCAUUCAUCACUCAUAAACAAUUUUUUCAAAUCAGCCAUUUUUUUUAGAAGACUGUCAAGAGCAAUAUAAUUGGUAGCAAACCUUGUAGCUCCUGGUCGAACAAUGUCUCCACCACAAUACUUUCUCAUUUGUGCUAGUAACCAACCAUGAUUGUAAAUGAAGUUAGUUAUCUUGCGAGCAUUGUUUAUCACCUCGAUAACAUUGGGUCUUUUACCGAUGUCUUCAAAGAUUAAGUCGAUGCAGUGUGCCGUACACAGAGUCUAAUAUAAGUUAUACUUCUUCAUCAAUUGUUUCCCUACUUUCAUGAAUGCCGACCCAUUAUCUGUGACAAUUUGGACCACAUUUUCCUUACCGACUUCUUUGAUAAUAGUCUUCAAAAGCUCAUAUAUAUACUUGUGGUCUUUGAUAUAGUUCGAUGCAUCGACUGACUUAAGGAACACCGUGGUCCCUUUAGAAUAAACCAUGAAAUUAAUAAUACUUAAUUUCGUGGGCCCUGUCCAUCCAUCUGACAUUAUUGUGCACCCAUAUGUCUUCCAUUUUUCCCUUUGUUGGUUCACAUAAGCUUCCAUUUCUUUGUACUCCAUUUCCAAGUAUUUGUUCUUUAUUUCAUAUGGAGAUGGAGGUUCGAUUCCCAUUCCUGCACUUCAUAUGUAAAACAUGUCAAAAAAUACUAUACUUACUAAAAGUAUAACACAAUAUAACAUUUGAUAAAUUAGUAAUUACCUGCUUGUUGUGCACCAAUAAUCAUAUUCUUGAAGUGAUGAGACUUUGCUUUUGCGGGUGCGACACUCUCAUAAAUGAAGAAUUUGCUGAUUAAGCGUCCCAUCGUUUCUUUAAUUGCACCACCCUUGAAUAUAUCUUUGAUAUUUUUUUGUUUUGCUACAGAAGACUUGUAAAGCGAAGGGGCAAUAGGGGGUGAAUGAUGCGAAUGUCGCAUACUCUGUGAUUUUCUCAUCGUUGACGGUAUACCAGUAGAAGACUCUCCCAAUUUGCGUUUGCUUCCUACAAUAUUCUCAUAUUGUUCACGUUCCCAAUUAGAUGCUUUCGAGGCACGAACUUCAGAUCGAUAUGCAUCUCGCUCAUCUAGGUGCAUAUUUGUCGGAUACAUAUACACAUCUUCAUCCUCAACAUCUUCAUCAUCAUCAUCUUCGUUUACCAAAUGUGUAUGAUGCGUCCCCAUUGUGCCACGUAAUUGACUACGAAUUUCUUCAAUAUCAACAUUUUUCUUUGCUUUUGCUUUUUGUUUGUCAUGCACCAACAAUCGUAUCUCUUCUUUCACUUCGGGCGGCACUCUUGGACACUUUUUGGUGUUGUUAUGCAGGUCCUUAUGCAUUAAAUGAGACUUGAAUCGUGUGAUACCUCCACGUUUCAUUACCAACCCACAAAAAUUACAAAUUGUUCCAUUUCGAUUACCCUCAAUUGGUGAACAAUACUUCCAAGCCGGAUCUCGCCCUGGCACGGCAGAACCACCUUCACUAGCCAUGCUAAAUCUAUUGCAAGAAAAAUACACUUAAAUUUAAAUCUAUGUUAAUUAAACUAAUUAAAUAAAUUAACUAAGUUAAUUUUUGAAAUCUAAAUGUAAUUUUAUGACAAAUUUACUAAAUAUUGAAAUUAAUCAUAAUUGAAUAUAAAAAUAAAUCAUGAUAAUAUAAAAAAAAUUGAGCAUAUUUAAUAUUUCAUAUAUAGUAGUUCAUGUUAAUUUAACUAAUUAAAUAAUUUAGCUAAGUUAAUUUUUAAAAUCUAAAUGUAAUUUUAUGACAAAUUUACUAAAUAUUGAAAUUGAUCAUAAUUGAAUAUGAAAAUAAAUCGCGAUAAUAUGAAAAAUUGAGCAUAUUUAAUAUUCCAUAUAUAGCAGUUCAUGUUAAUUUAACUAAUUAAAUAAAUUAGCUAAGUUAAUUUUUAAAAUCUAAAUGUAAUUUUAUGACAAAUUUACUAAAUAUUGAAAUUAAUCAUAAUUGAAUAUGAAAAUAAAUUGCGAUAAUAUAAAAAAUUGAACAUAUUUAAUAUUCCAUAUAUAGUAGUUCAUGUUAAUUUAACUAAUUAAAUAAUUUAGCUAAGUUAAUUUUUAAAAUCUAAAUGUAAUUUUAUGACAAAUUUACUAAAUAUUGAAAUUAAUCAUAAUUGAAUAUGAAAAUAAAUUGCGAUAAUAUAAAAAAUUGAACAUAUUUAAUAUUCCAUAUAUAGUAGUUCAUGUUAAUUUAACUAAUUAAAUAAUUUAGCUAAGUUAAUUUUUAAAAUCUAAAUGUAAUUUUAUGACAAAUUUACUAAAUAUUGAAAUUAAUCAUAAUUGAAUAUGAAAAUAAAUCGCGAUAAUAUAAAAAAUUGAGCAUAUUUAAUAUUCCAUAAUUAACCAUGUUAAUUAAAUUAAUUACAUAAUUUACUAUGUUAAUUAAAUUAAUUAAAUAAUUUAGCUAAGUUAAUUAGUUUAAUGUAAUUCUAAAUGCAAAUUUAAAUAACAAAUAAUCAUCUAAAAUAAAUAUAUCAUAACCUAAAUUAAUUCAAUAAAAAUUCACAAAAUAAUUACAAUUGAAUGUAAACAUACUAAUUAAUUAAAAAUACAUGAAUUAAUUAUUGCAAACAAAAUUAAUUAUAAUUUCAAACAAACAUACCUUAAAAUGAUUGAAUAAUUGAGCAGUCUUGGAAAAGAUUGGAGUAAUAAGAGAGCAAAUGAAGAAUCAAAGCAAAAAUGGAUGAAAUUGAUGCAAAAUUGGCUAUUUAUAGAUGAAAUUUGGGCCAAAAUAGCCGUUGGAACCUUAAGUUACCGUUUAAAAUUAAUUUUGGCCGUUGGAUCACAAUUUGGAAGCAAUCUUGCCGUUGGAUCUCUUUGUUAAUGUUGGGAUUCAAAUCUGGGCGUUGGAUCAACACGGGCGUGAUCUGGGCCGUCAGAUCACGUUGGAGAGAGAGGGACGAUUUUUCGCCAAAAAUCGCCAAAAAAUCGGCGAUAUAUCGCCGAUAAAUCGGCGACACACGGGAUUCUCAGGCGAUUUAUUGAUAAAAUCGCCGAUUUAUCCUGUGUCGCUGACAUAUCGGCGAUAUAUCGCCGAUUUUUUGGUGAUUUUUGGCGAAAAAUCGCCCCACCGACUUAUCUCCUCCAUUUGUCGUUUCGCCCCCCGCCGACACGCGAUAUAUCGGCGAUAUUUCGCCGAUUUUUUCCUCCUUGUUCAAUACCUGUUCAUCUUGUAGGCAAAAUCCAUGAUCAACACCAUUGGAAAGGUUAACAACAAAUAAAUGGAUAUUGGCUAACAUUAAGUUUAUAAUAUAGUCAUUUUGUUCAUCCUUCUAUGUCAUUCGAUGUAGUUCAACUCCAUUAAUUUAUGCAUCAAUUGUUGCUUUUAUGACCUCUCACCAUAUUCAUUUACUUUAUGUUUAUAAUUUGCAUUACAUAUUAUCCCAAUGUGCUACAGUUGAGUUCAUUCCUCUCCUUUUAACUAUUUAUUAUUUUCUUUGGAUUAAUGUCACUCUUUAAUAUUUUUAUUAAGAUACUCAUUUCUUCUUAAUUUAAAUGAUUAGCAAAAGAAUAUCCUUUAAGAUAUUGUGCUUUAGCAUAAUUAUGUCUUUCACAUUUAACAACCAAUAUCUAAUCAUCAUUAGUUAGUAGUUUUAUACCCUUAAGAGUAAAUGGACACCCAUAUUUCUUUGUUUCUAUUAGUCUCUUUUUCUCUUUCUUUUUUACUCUCAUAUUCAAAAUUAGCCUUUCUUGAAUCCUUAUAUACUCCAUUUCAUUCUCAAGUAAAAGUAAUCCUAUCAUAUAUAUCCUUUACUAAUUAUAAUAACCAUUUCAUUUCUUUUACCGAUCUUUGACAUCCAUUUGAUUAAUGCUUUCCUAGUACAAUUAAUUAUAUAUGUUGUGAAGACAAUCGAGUAGUUUAUCAUUGUCGAAGCUUAUAAAUGCUCUAUCAUAUAUAAAAAAUUUAAUAAAAUUCAAUUUUCUUUUAGAUAAGAAAUAAAGAAAAAGUUGUUGGAAUGUAUGGUGUUGGAAGUCUUUAUGAGUGUCCCUUAGGAAUUCCUUACGAUUGUUUAGAACUAUACUUCUAGAUGCACAUUAGGGUGUCUAGAGGUAUAGUUAUAAACAUUUUAAGGAUGUUUGAAAUUAUAGGAUUAAACAAUUGUAAUUCAUCAAACCCUUGCAACUUCGAACACCUUUAGCAAUGAAAGGAAAACUCGUUGACCUUGACCUAUAUAUUUUUGGUAGCAAACACUACCCAUUUUCUCUAUCAAUCUCCUACCAAACUUGGCUGUAAUAUACAUAUUCUCUAUCAAUCUUCUACCAAUCUCGGUUGUAAUUUAAAGAUCAGACAUAUCUUUUGUAACUAGUAUAUAAUACAAUGAAUCACAAAGGAAUGAUAUGCUCUUAUUUUUCUAUCCUUUCUAUAAGCCUAACAUGGUAUCAGAGCCAUACUUGCUAUAAGCAAGCUUUGCACAGCAUGUCCAACAACCUUCAUCAUCAUUCCAAUUUUUUUUCUCUCUAUUCACAGUUGUGAAUCAUGGCUAAUGAACUUUCUUCAUCUUUUGCAAAUCUUGUAGUUCUCACAAUAGGAAACAAUCUCUCAUCUCAACCAAACACCCUCAUUUCUAUCAAUGUUGCCACACAAAUGCCAUUCAAACUUAGCAAAAUGAACUAUGCAUCUUGGAGAGCCCAGUUCACCAAUCUUCUAUUUGGAUAUGAUCUGUUGUGCUUCCUCGAUGGCACAACUCCUUGUCCUCCCGAAACCACCUUGCAAUCUGGUUCUACAACGCCUAUCUCCAAUCCUAAGUGCAAGUUAUGGAAAUGACAGGAUCGUCUCAUUCUCCAUGCCAUUCUUGCAUCAGUCACAUGGGAUGUUGCCCCACUUAUCUCCUCUGCAACAACUUCUCAUGAAGCAUGGUAGAAACUGGAGACCACUUUUGCAAAUCGAUCAUGAAUCAGAAUGCUUAGUUUAUGUAAUAUUUCGAUGAAGACAACAAAGGGUUCUCAAUCCAUUGCUGAAUACAUGCAAAUCAUCAAAAUCAUUAUUGAUGAUUUUGCUCUCAUGGGCUAUCCUCUCAGUGAAGAUGAAAUUAUCCUUCAUGUUCUCAAUGGGUUAGGUAAUGAAUUUAAAGAAAUUAAUGUUGUCAUUCGAGCCAGAGACUCACCAGUGACAUUCGAAGGACUUCAUGACAAAUUACAGGAUGAAGAAACUUUUUUGAAGCAAGAUGGCACAAGUAAGGAAACUCCACCAAUCAUUGCUCAGUUUCAUCACAAAUUCUUUAAUCAUAAAGGAAAUAGUGAAAAAUCUGGUGGACAUCCAAGAGGCAAUUUCAACAAUAAAGAAUCAACCACUAACUUUGGCAAUAGAAAUAUCUUUGACAAUCAGAGAAAAAAAGAUUGUUCAAGGUAAUAAAAAAUUCUCCAAUCAAGGAAAUCACCAUCCCUAACACGAUUUCAAUUCUUCACAACAUUCUUGGCGUCCCAACAAUGGUACCAAUCAACACCGAAUUAUUUGUCAACUAUGUGACAAAGCUGGCCACAGUGCCAAGGUAUGUCAUUCCUGACCACCACCACUCUUCUCACCUUAAGCCAACUACAUGGCCAGGGAUCAAGCCAAUGACAAUGACUCUUGGAUAGUUGACUCGGGUGCCUCUCAUCACAUCAUUUCGAAUCUUCAAAAUCUCUCACUACACUCUGAUUAUGGUGGUAAUGAGAACAUUAUGAUUGGCGAUGGUAAUGGCAUUCCUAUAACUCAUGUCGGUUCCACCACAAUUGAAGCACCCACAACCACUUUUUCGCUUGAGAAUGUUUUGUGUGCACCCUUGAUUAAAAACAGCCUUCUUUCUGUUUCUCAAUUUUUCCAUCAAAUAACACAUCUAUUGAAUUUUUUCCUUAUUUUUUUACUGUGAAGGAUUUGAGCAUGGGGGCAUCCUUGGUGCGAGGUUGGAAUAAAGGAAAUGUCUAAGAGUGGCCAACAUCAUCCUCAACCUCCACAACCAAAACACAUGCCUUUCUUGCUAACAAACCCACCAUGAAGUCUUAGCAUCGUCGUCUUGGUCACCCCCCAUCUCAAGUCCUCACCAAGCUAGUUUCUACUCAAGCUUUGUCCAAUAGUGUCUUUAGUUAACUGUGAAUGACAACAAAAACAACAACAAUAAUAAUGAUCAUGCUUAUGACCACAUUAUUGUUGUUUAGUAGUAGUAAUAGUAGUAAUAUUAGUGUUAGUAUUAGUGGUAAUGGUAUCAUUUAAAAGUAGUACAGUUAAAUGGAGAAAAGUUGAUCUAAGUUUGGAUGUUAUGUUUUCUGUUACCUACUUAAAGAUUAACCAUAAGCAUUACCGUUGGUGGGAAGUUGCUCGGCUACAUAAUGGGAUUACUCUGAUCCAAACCAUAAAUCCCCUUGCCCAAAUGAUGGUGGAAAUAGACAUGGUUUUGAGAUAACUCAUCCAAGAUUCCGUCUGUACUAAAAUCUGUUGGUCUACGUAUCCAGAUUAGACCAAAUUAAUACCAUAUCCAUAAUCGCCUGUUACUUCGAAUCAAACUGAUCUUCUGAAUCUUCCGAAGUUCUGAUUUUCAUCAUAAGUUUUUGGGAUUGUGACUGAAGUUUUUGUUUUUGUGGAUGUAGAGCUUUGGUUGAGCUUCUGGAGUGAAGUACACUAUAAUUCAUUGUAUGCAAGUGGAGGUAAUGAAUCCAACAUAUAUCAUGUGCACGGGUUUCUGUAGUUCUUUUUGAUUCUUUCAGUGACAUCGGAUUUUAAUUUUUUGGUUGGAUAUGUUUGCAGACGUUCCUUCUAGAGCACCGAGAAAAAGGCACUCACCUGCUCAAGAUCAUUUAUUUUCUGUACCUAUUCCAUCUCCAUGCUAGAAACUCAGUUAUUGUUUAACAUGACUUCCAGAUUCUCUCUCUUUUCAAUACUUCAGUUGAAAUUUACUUGUCAGAAAUUUGUAUAUGAAUGAAGUGUGAUAAUUACAUGCACCCUUUGCUUAUCAUUUUAUACCCAUGAAGUCAAAUUUUUCAUGGGCUUUAUUCAGCUUCAAUACUAUUUGGUACAAAUGUCUAGUGUCAUUCCAAAACAUCUCGAGACCUUUUCGCCAUGUUUGGCAUAUGUUAUGAGGAGGAAUGAGAAUGAAUAUUUUGUUUUCAUUUUUAUUUCUCUUUGAAUAGGAAAGACUUUGGAAUGAUUAUUUGUUUUUAUGUUAAUAUUAGAUAAUAAUGGGAAUGAGAAUGAAAAAAGAAAUAAAUUGAUAAUAAUAUUUAUAGAUAUAAUCUAAAAUUAUUUUUUAUUUUCAUUUAAAAAAAAAUUUCAAGCUACACAUAGUUUAUAAUAAUUUUUAUGUUUUAUUUACAAUAAAUAUCUUUGAGUUUUUUUUUUUCAUUCAGAAGUCUCCUUGGUUGUGUGUUUUAAAACCAAUGUCCCAUUUUUUAAAAGAAAAAAUUGUUUUUGAAAAUGUAUGAUACUGUUUAAUUGUUAUUAUUUAGAAAUUUGUUUUUUUUUUUAAAAAAAAAAGUGAAAUAAAGAACGUUUUUGGAAAACAAAUAAAAGUUAUUUUUUACUAGUUUUUAAAAUAAAAGGAAAUAAAAAUAAUAAAAUAAAAUAAAAUUCACACAAAGCCAAUAAAAUAGAAUAUGAUAAUAUUUUUCUUUCUUCAUUAUCUUUUUACCACCUAAUAUCAAUACAAAAAAUCUUCAAAUAUGAUAUUUGAAUUAUGUGUGUUUUUCUAUCUUUUUAACUUGUCUAUUUUUUUUUAACAAAUAGAUUCCAAAUCUAGCAAUUUUUAAUAAAAAAAAAUUAUUAAUUUUUUAAAAUAAUUUGGAGCUCAAGAUUCCAUUCAAUUAGUAUUAGAAAAUUAAGAAUGAAAAAUUGAUCAAAUUAAUAUUAAAAGGUCACCAACCUAAAUUCAUUUUCAAGGGUUUUACGAGUUUUUUCCUUAUAUAUAAUCAUAUUUAAAAAAAAAAUUAUCACUAGGUAAAUAAACUCUAAAUUAAGGAAAACUUAAUGGGUUGGAUUUGCUAAUGAGUCUAGUGAUUUUUAAAAAUAGUUUAAAAGCCAAAUAAAUAUUAGAAAUUUAUGGAUAAAAAUUGAUUUAGAAUGAUUAUAUUGUUUUAUUUUUUUUAUUUGUAUAGAAUCUUUUUUUUUAAUAGUGAAAUGAAUUUCAAAUCAACUGAAACUUUUUAGUAAAUUAAUAAACUUAAUAUUUUUAAAAAUAAAAAUAAAACUCAAAAAUGCAUGAUAAUUAUAAAAAUUAAUAAACCAAAACUUACACUUAUGAGUUGUGACUUUAUUAUUUCUACCAUACAAAACUAUAUAUUUUUUUUAUUUUCUCACUAGGUAGAUAAAUUUAAAUGAAACAUAAUUAAUAUUUUAAAUUCUUUAAAGAAUCUUUUAAUUUUUAAGAAUAAUUUGGAAUUUUAAAUCUAAUUAAUUAAUAAUGGAUUACAUAAAAAUGUGAGAAUACUAUAUUCCUAAUUGAGUACUAAAUGUGUGCAUGUAAUGAAAACACGGUUCAUUUCUACCUUAAAAAAAUAAAAAGGUUAAACUUUAAUUGUUUUUAAAUUCAUUUAAAAUGAAACAGUAUUAGCAAUUAUUAAUUAUCUAUUUUUGAUAAAAUAAAUCAAUUAUGUUUUUAUGAGGAUGUUAAUAGCCACAAUUUUAGAAUAUUUAUAAAAAAAAUAUAAUUUAUGAUUUAAUUAAUUAUGCUUUUGUGAGGAUGUUAAUAGUUGUAAUGUUACUAUUCAUAUUUUAUUUAUUUGUAAUUAUAAAAUUACUUUUAUUUUUAAUAAUUGAACUAAAUUUAUAUUAUAUAAAUUGGAUUUAUAUAUUUUUUUAAAAAUCAAAAUAAAAAAUCAUUUUUUAAAUCAACUUAUAUAAAUAAGUUUUUGGUGUUUUAAUUUUUGAAAACAAUUUGCGCAGAGAGAAUUAAAAUACCUCUUUUGGGAGAUCGGUUGAAAUCUCACUCAUACAUAGGAUUUCAUUUCUGUUGAAAUCGUUUUUUAUUUCAUUCUUAUUAUUAUUAAAGUUGUCUAAACAUGAGAAUGAAUAAGAAAAGAAAUGAGAUUCUCAUUUAUGAAUGAAUGAGAAAAGAAAUGAAAUUCUCACUUAUAAAUGGAUGAGAAAAGAGAUAAAAUAUUAAUUCUUACUCCUAUUCUUACGUACCAAACACGGAUUAUGAGUGUUUUUAAUAUACAAGAAUAUCAAUCGGCAUAAGAAUGACACUGAAGGUGCAAGACAAUAAUAAUUUUGAUAACAAUGGGUUGUGGUUUUCGUAAGGAGUUUACUACUUAGUUUGUUUUUUAUUUUAUUAAUAUUUGAGUUACAUUGUUUGUUAUUAUUUAAUGUCAUAAUAUUGUUAUAUAUUAAAUAAAUGAACUUUAAACUUAUAAAAAUAAUUACUUAUUUUUUAUUAUUUUAUAUAAUUAAGAUAAUACAAUUGAAAACCCAUAAUUUAAAAAAAUCAAUUUAAUAUAUUUUCAAAUAUCCCAAAUUACCAAAAUUUUUUACAUUUUUAUUUUAUAUAAUUAAGACAAAAUAUUUUAAAACUAAUAUGUAAAAAUAUUGCAAUUUAAUAUAUUUCUAAAUAUUCCAAAAUUCCAAAAUAAAUUACAAUAACAAAAGUUUAUAAUGAUAAAUUAUAUAAUUAGUUGUGAAAUUGGUAAUUAACCAAUAAUGAUGGUUUCCAAAUUGUCUUUGAGUGUUAAGAAAAUACAAAAAAAAAAAAAAAAAAAGAAAUCUAGGUUUUUAAUUUCACUUAUUACUCGCUCAUUUUUAUGUAGUGGAUAUUUUGGUUAUGAAUUUAUUAUUGAAAUGUGUGUUCAAUUAUUAAAAUUAAUUCAUUAAUUUUUAGAUUUUGUAAAUUUAGAAAUUAAGAAUAUGAAAUUCUCACUUGUUUACUUAUCAAAAUUAACUAAAUUUUUUAAUUUUAUUGAUACGUACGAGUUAUAUUUUGAAGUUAUAAUUGGAGAAACUUUACCCCACACACCUAAAUUAUUCAACACCGGCUCCAUUAAUUUAAACUAAUGACCCCACACGCCUAAAUUAUUCAACGCCUGCUCCAUUGCUCAAGUCAACCAGCGCAAUAAAGCUUUAGAUCCCAUCCCCCCAUCUCAUUGGUCUUCUUCAUUCAUCCUCCAUUCCUCCUCAUUCAUCAAUCCCAUUCCCACCUUCUUCAACCGGCACCCUGAUGGCGGAUGCUCUCCUUUCUAUUGUCUUAGAUCAGUUGGGUUCUCUUAUCCAACAACAAAUUCAUCAGGAAGUUUCUCUGGUUGUGGGUGUUGAAACAGAAAUCCAAAGCCUCACCGACACACUCCAGGUCGUCCGAGCUGUUGUUGCAGAUGCAGAGAAGAGACAAGUGAAGGAGGAACUUGUCAAAGUUUGGUUGCAGAGGCUUAAAGACAUCGCCUACCAAAUGGACGACGUGCUGAAUGAGUGGAGCACUUCUCUUCUCAAAUCUCAGAUUGAGAGAGCUGAAAGCCCUUCCAUGUCUAAGAAGAAGGUAAGCUCCUGCAUUCCCUCCCCUUGCAUCUGUUUCAAACGAGUUGCUGGCCGUCGUGACAUUGCUCUUAAGAUUAAGGAUAUCAAACAACAAGUUGAUGACAUUGCAAACCAGAGCAAUGGGUUCAAUUUUACAUCCAGAUUUAGCAACGAGGAACCACAGAGGCUUAUAACUAUAUCUGCAGUUGACAUUUCAGAGGUAUGUGGUCGGGAUAAGGACAGGGACACCAUACUAAGGCAGCUGUUGGGUGAGAGUUGUGAACAAAACUUGGGCCCCUACAUCAUCUCCCUAGUUGGGCUGGUGUCGGCAAGACUAACUCUUGCUCAACUAGCCUUUAACCACCAUGAGGUGGAGGCCCAUUUUGAUAUAAGAAUCUGGGUCUGCGUGUCUGAUCCUUUUAUCCCAGUAAGAAUUUUUAGGGAUAUUUUUGAAGCCCUCUAUGAAAAGUCUUCCGAUGUCCAUAAUCCUGAAGUUCUACAGAAAAAAAUUCAAGCAUGUAUUGAUGGGAAGAAGUUUCUCCUUGUGCUGGAUGACGUGUGGAAUGAAGACUAUCAGUUGUGGGAACAAGAAGAAUUGUCUCAAGUGUGGAGGUGGUGGGAGUAGAAUUUUAGUGACCACUCGCAGUGAGAGCGUUGCUAGGAUGAUGAGAAGCACAUACAUGCACUCCUUAGGAUGCUUACCAUUAAAGCAAUGUCGGGCAUUAUUUUCCCAAAUAGCUUUUUGCGGGAAGAGCGCCGACAAAAUUGAAGAACUAGAAGAAAUUGGCAAAAAAAUAGCAGACAAGUGCAGGGGAGAAUGCUUACUUCUUGCUGUUAAAGCUUUAGGGAGUCUGAUGCAGUCCAAAUAUAAUAAACAAGAUUGGGAGAACGUGUUGAAUAGUGAAAUGUGGGAAUUGGAUGUUUUUGAGAAAAAACUGUCCCCUGCCUUAUUGUUGAGUUAUUAUGAUCUGCCCCCGCCACUUAAACAGUGCUUCUCAUACUGUGUGGUCUUUCCCAAAGAUCGCACCAUUCAAAUAGACGACUUGAUUAAGUUGUGGAUGGCUCAAAGCUACCUCAACUCUAAGGCAGGCAGAGAGAUGGAGACAAUUGGGAGAGAGUACUUUGAAAACUUAGCAGCUCGGUCUUUCUUCCAAGAUUUUGAGAAAGAUGAAGAGGGUAACAUAGUAAGGUGCAAGAUGCAUGAUAUAGUGCAUGACUUUGCUCAAUUUUUGACCAACAAUGAAUGCUUAAUUGUGGAGGAUGAUUGUGAAAACCUAAAGACAAACUUGUCCCGUCAAAAGGGCCGUCAUGCAACUGUAAUUGUGCAUGGAAGUACCAGAUCCUCUUUCUCCGUAAAAAACGCGAGGAAUUUACACACACUUUUAGUUGUGUCUAACGGGUAUAGAAUUGACUCAUUUCCACUUGAUUCAUUCCAGCAAUUCAAAUAUCUCAGAGCAAUGGAUUUGAGCAAGGAUACCUCAAUUAAAGAUCUCCCAAGCCAGGUGGGUGAAUUCACACAUUUGAGGUACCUUAAUCUAUCAUAUUGUGAGAGAUUGGAAACAUUGCCCGAACCAAUCAGUGAGUUAUGCAAUCUGCAAACCUUAAAUGUUCGCUAUUGUCUGAGGCUUAGAAAACUACCUCAAGGGAUAAGAAGUCUAAUUAAUUUGAGACAUCUUCAAAUUAGGGCCGGUUUUUCUAUUCUAAGAGGCCUGCCUAAGGGAGUCGGAAGAUUAACAUCUCUUCGAACCUUAUCCUUUUUUAUUGCUGAUGAUGAGAAUGGAAGUGAUGUGUGCAAAAUGGAAGAAAUGAGAAACUUAAAAUCUCUAUGGUCUAUGGUCUGACAUUGAAGAAUAAGAAAUAGCAGGAUUUGAGCAAAGUGGAAGAUGCAGGGGAGGCUGAAAAGGCAGAAUUGAAGAAUAAGAAAAAGCUCUAUGGUCUGACAUUAAGUUUCGAACCAUGGACGAGUCAACCAGUAGGGAUGAAGGAAGUGGCUGAAGCCCUACAACCCCAUCCAAACUUAAAAUCUCUGCACAUAGCAUGGUAUCAAGUCAAGGAAUGGCCCAGGUGGAUGAUGGAGCCAUCAUUACUCCAACUAACACAACUUUUCCUUUCAGAUUGUGAUAGAUGUCAGUGCUUGCCUCCUCUGGGGGAUCUCCCACUUCUCGAGAGCUUGGAAAUAAAACGGAUGGAGCAGGUGAAAUAUGUUGGUGGUGAGUUCUUGGGAUCAUCAUCAAAAAUUGCAUUUCCAAGGCUGAAGCAUCUGUCUUUUGAAGGCAUGUUAGAGUGGGAAAAUUGGGAAGUAAAAGAAGAAAAAGGGAAGAAAGUAAUGCCAUGUCUUCUUUCCUUGAAAAUAGAUCACAGUCUAGAGCUUACGGCAGUACCGGACCUCCUGCUCUAGAGGACACCACCAAUUAAGCUUUCUCUUACCUAACCUUGUCUUUUCUCUCUUUUUCUUCUGUCAUCACCUUUUUCUUUUCUCUUGUUAUUUUUAUUUGAAAAAAAAGUGGGGUAAAGAGGAAAUAGGUGGAAGCUCUUAACAUUUGUCCAUUGGCUCUGCACAGGUUGCCCUCCAUGCAAGUAAUUAUUCUCUUUUCUUUUUAAUUUUGCUUUUCUAUAAUUAUUUAUCUCAUCUCUUUUUUUUUCCUUUUCCUUUUUCCUCUUUUAUAAAUUUAUUUAUAUAUUUUGGCAAUACCCUAAUUACUAAUAGUAAGUUUAACCAUAUAUUUUAGUUAAUUAUUUAUAAAUGUAAAUUCGUAUGUUUGUCGUCCCUUAUUUUUUAAAUUAUGAAGUAAUAAUAACUUUUAUAUAAAAUAUAUCAUUUUUAAUACCAAAUUAUGAACUUAUCCUCCAUAUAUUUUUGAAAACUACUUUCAAUAUAAAAAUGUUAAAAUUAAUUUUUAAAACUAUUUUUAAAAAUCAUAAAUCUUUGAAGGUAAGUACAUAAAAGUUUCUUUAUUUUAGAUAUUAGUUACUAUUAUUUUUAAAAAAUAAAAAUAAAAUAAAAAGUGCAUCCAAACCAUAUCAGUUUUCCAUUUUAAAUCAAUUUGUUUUUCAAAGUAAAAUUUUCUUUAAUUUCGAUUUUUUUUAUUUGAAAUAAAUUUAAUUUAAUUUCCCAAAGGCUUGAGAAAUAAGUAGUUGGAAAAUUCUAUUCCUUCCUUAAGUCUUAAGUCAGAAUAUUCUCUUUUGACUGUGAUAAUUGAUGAAAUGCAGGUAUGAGACUCCAUGGGGCAUAUUCCAUCUAAAACAACCUUUCAAAUGAAGAGAUGUAAUUGAGUUUUUGGUAUGAAAGUAAGUCUAUCAUUGUAUUGGAUUUCAUGAUAAAUGAAUGUAAAGUUGUGAUGAGAACACAUUCCAUUACAUAAAAGUUUAUACUUUUUUUUCUCCUCCCUCAUUUGUUGAUCCAAAAAUACUAUAUGUAAAUUAUUCUUUAGUCUUUCUUGUUUGAUAAUUUUUGUCAAAUAAAAAUAAUAAUAAAUUUGAAUAAAUAUAUGAGAAAACUUUAGUGGGUUUAAACAUUUUUUCAAUUUUUUUUACUGUGUCUUUUCUUUCCCUUUUCUUUAUGUCACAUUUAAUUGGAUCAUAUAUUUUGCUCAAACUUUCCAAAAUCUAAGUACAAUUCUAUAAUUUGGAUAAUAUGCCAAAUUACAAAUUUAACAAUUUUGUUUAUAUUUGUAAGACGGAUUUUAUGACAAGUGAAAAUGGUUUGAUAGCUUAUUCGAGAGAAAAAGUAAAAAUAGUUUUUUCAAAACAGUUUUUAAAACAAAAAUAAUAAAUAUAUUCAUUUUUAGUCAUUUUAAAUUUCUUUUAGACUAUAACUCAAGCUAGAACUAACUCAAAAUCCACAUAAAUAUCAAAGAAAAUGAAUACAUAAUAUUAUUAUUAAGAGGAUCUCUCCCUUUAUUGAAGAGAAAGAAAACACAUAAAUUAUGUUUGGUUCUCGAAAAAUAUGAGGAAAAAUGUGAAGAAAUAAAAAUAGAGAGGAAAUGUAAAAGGAGAGAAAAACAAAGAAAAAUAAAAAAUAUAUUUAAAAUCAAUAAAUUAUUUUAUAUGCUAUUUUAGACUCAUUUAACUUAUUUUUCAUUUUCUAUAUAAAGAUUAAAUAAUUAAAAAAUGUAAAAAAUUUAAAAUCUAAUUUUAAUUAUAUUUUAUUUUCUUUCAUAUUUCCAUAUUGAAAUCAAAUAUGAGAAAAUUAUUUUCCUUAAUAUUAUUUUUUUCUUUCUUAAUACUUUUUAGGAACCAAACAUAGUCAUAAUGUUUUGUUGAGAUGAUUUUUCUAUUAUUAAUUUAUAUAUAUAUAUAUAUAUAUAUAUACUACAAGUUAAUGGAAAGCAUUUUUUUUAAUAGUUUAUAAUUAUUUAAAACCUUAUUAAUUCCACUAUUUUUAAAAGAAAAUUCUAACUUUAAUUGAUUGAAAUUCUUGAUUUUUCAUAAUUUAGGAAAGAAUUGACAAUGAAUAUUGUAAAACAUGACUUUUCAUGACAGGCUCAAAAUUAAUAAAUGUUUUAGUAUUGUAAUUUUUUAUCAUAUGAUGCUAAAUAAUAGCCAUAACAAAACACUAUUCAUCCUUCUUUUAAUGUAUAUAGGCAUAGAUAUAAAAUGAAUUACUAAGCUAAACAACUCCUUUAGCUUUCAUUUGGAUCUUGAAAACAUUGAGGAAAUAUACCAAAAAGGAAAAAAGAAGAAAAAAAAAAUAGAGAAACAUAGGUGGGGAAAAAUUACAAGAAAAGAAAAGAGAUAGAAAUAAGAAAUCCAAAUGGAAAGUUUGAAGUUGAGUGGUUUUAAAACUGUUUUACUUGAACCACUCUAUUUUCUUACCUAUUGGUUUGGAAUUUUUGUUCUAAGCUAUCAAAGUCCAAACGAUGUGAAAUUUACAGCCUCGAUUCCUUAGAGAGUCUAAUAUUAUAUGAAAAAUACUUUGGAGUAUAAUUUUAUUCAAAACUAAUCCUAACAAUUUUGAGAAGUAUAAUUAGUCCAAGCCAUUUCUGUGAACCUCUCCCCUAUAAUUUCCAAAUAUGUCUGGAAUUUUCUCAUAGGGUAAAUAUGGUCUAAAUGUAACAAUACUUGAAUGGUCAGACAGCUUAUUAUAGACUCCAUCAUUUGGUAAAAUAAUAAGGGAUUUUAAUACUUUACCAAAAAUUCACAAAAAUUUAAAAACUUCCAACUAGUUGGAAUUAAAAAAAGAAAACAAACAAACAAACAAAAACAAAAACAAAGUAUUCCUCAUUAUUGGGAAAUCCCCUUUUUUCAUGAAGUUACCUCCAUAAACUCAACUUAAUCUAUUAUAUUAGAUUGUUUGAACUUGAUUUGGGUCCUUCAAAACUGGAACAAAUUGGGGUUCACCUAUUAUGGGUUAAAAGGUAUUACUACAUCCCUCUUGAGUAUCAAUAUCAUAGAAUAUCAUUCUCAUCCAAUACUUCUAACAAUUUAUAUGUGAAUCAAACUUAUAAUACAAUAUUUUUCUUCACUCUCUUGUCAACCAAACAGUCCAAAAAGUAAGAAAAAUAGUUUAAAUAUAUAUAAUUAACACAUAAAAAUCUAAUUUGUAACAACACUUGCCCAAAGAAGAGGUGGAGAAGAAGAGGAUAGAAGAAGAAAAAAUAUAAGAUGAAAUUAUUUAACUCUAAUGUCUCCUUUAAGUAGAGAUGAAAAUCUCUACUCCUUAAUGUUUGACUCCAACUUUUACACCAUUUUCUCUCAACAGAUUUUCAAAGAAGAAGAAGAAGAAGAAACCUCUAGGGAAAAUGAAGAGAAAUGAUUAUUUUUUUAAUUUUUUUUUUAUAUUUUCUUUUCAAAUAUGAACUAAUAAUUACCUUUAUCUACAUUAGGAUGUGAUCAAACCGCCCUUGGUUACCACCAAAAUUUCGAGCAUACCCCCUUGUCUUGUAGUGUUCAUGUGUGACAUGUGGCAACCUUUAAGUGUGACAUAUGGCGCUUCUAGUACAUUCUCAACAAUUCUUCAUCUCUAUGUGUAACAUUUGACAACCCCUAAGUGUAACAUGUGGCGUUUUUUUGUAUAUUCCCAAAUUAAUUACUUAUACUAAUAGUCUAGUUAAUACAACGCUUUGCUGGCUUUUUUGUAUAGUUUUGCGAUAAUUUAACUUUCCUAGUUCUCUUAAAUUAUUAGGGAUUUAAUUAUUUCAUAAAGAUUUUACUUACUCUAAAUUUAAGAUACAAACAUAUGAAAAAAAUGAAAAAUUCAUUUCAUUUGAACUUCAGUUGUUAUACCAUAUUUCUUGUGUCUUAACUAAUCAUAAGUUAUAUUGGUUGAUAUCAAUAGGUUACUUUUAACGAAAUAAAAAAAAUGAAAUAUUUUAACUUUUUAUAUUUAACCAAAAAAUAAAUACCACUCUAAAUUAAAAUUUGAUAAAUAGAUGUAUCAAAUUAGGUGUUUCUUCUAAAAGUUAUUCUUUUAGUACGUAACACGUUUCAAAAUCACUUUCCACUCUCACCCGUUAAAUUUAUUGGUAAUCAUAAAGCAAUGGUUGAUUGAAAUGUCAUGAUCAUAUUCAUUGAGGUGGAUUUCCUACCAAAACCAAAAAUCAAUUACUAAUUUAUGUUAAGGGUGUAUAUGAUGAAAUAGUAGAAUUUAUUUAAGGCCAUGAAGACUUUUUACUUUAUUGGAUCGCUGGAUAUAGUGGCAGAGGGAAGCGGUUAGCGGCAAAAGUGAUCAGCUACUAUUGCCAAUAUGCAGAGGUGGACCAUGCAAAGUUUUAAUCCGAACACAUUAUACGAAUAUGCAUCUGUUGCCGUAAGUGGAUGUGGAUUAUGUUUUACUUCUACCUAAAUAACAGUACAUUUCGCAUUGAUUUUAAAAAUCGUUUUUAACCUCAAAAGUAUUCUUAAAAAAAAAUUAAUAUUUAAUAAAGUUAAGAAAAUAUUUUAAAAAAUCUGACACUUAUAAUGUUUUUUAAAAAACCAAUAUAACUAAUCAUAAGUUAUAUAAUACAAUAUUUUUCUUCACUCUCUUGUAAACCAAACAGUCCAAGAAGUAAGAAAAAUAGUUUAUAUAGAUAUAUAUAAAAUUAACACAUAUAAAAAUCUAAUUUGUAACAACACUUGCCCAAAGAAGAAGAGGUGGAGAAGAAGAGGACUUCACAUUGAUUAUGUUUUACUUCUACCUAAAUAACAGUACAUUUCACAUUGAUUUUAAAAAUCGUUUUUAACCUCAAAAGUAUUCUUAAAAAAAAUUAAUAUUUUAUAAAAUUUAGAAAAUAUUUUUAAAAAUCUGAAAAAUCACUUAUAAUAUUUUUUUAAAAACCACUUGAGGUAUGUUUGGUAUUAAUUUUAAAAAGUGUUUCUAGUAUUUUUAAUACUUAAAAGAUAAAAAAAUUUAAGUGUUAGAAAAAUUGAAAACACUUCCUAGAAUUACGAUUAAAAGCACUCUCAAAAAUUUUCCUAAAAUCACUUCUAGAUAAUUCACUUACAUUACAAACAUUUUAAGUAAAAUGACUAUAAAAUGCAAUUUAAGUCAAGCUUCCUUAAUGCACAUGCUCACUAGUUAAAUUGACAAAUUUUGACUCUGUGACUCUUUGUUGAUCUUGUAAAUUGUUCUUUUUUGGUUUUCUACAAAAAAAAAAAAAAAAAAAAAAAACUAUUAAGAUUAUGUUUGCUUCCUAAAAAAUUUAAGGGAAAUUGUGAGCGAAAGAAAAUAGAAAAAAUAGGGAUAAAAAAAGUGAAGGUAAAUAAAAUUUCAAAAUCAACAAAUUAUUUUUAUAUAUUUCUUCAAACUCAUUUUACUUAAUUUCUUAUAUUAUAUAAAGAUUAAAUAAUUUUAAAAUAUAUAAAUUUUUAAUUAAUUUUAAUUAUAUUUGAUUUUCCUUCACAUUUUUUAUAAUAAAAUUUAAUAUGAGAAAACUAUUUUUCUUAAUAUUUUUUUUCUUUAAUACCGUCCAGAAACCAAACAUGUUUGUGUAGACCCCCCCGAGGAGAGAGUUUUCUUGGAUUAUUUAUCAUUUUUUUUAUUGCUUUUCUGACUGCUCUCAAGUGGGCUGCUCUCGGGCGGCUAGAUGGGACGGGAUAGACAUGGCUUGGGCAGGGAGGCUUUUCUGGAGGACAGGGAACAGAGCAAGGCGAGGAGAGGAUUUCUCAGAGAGAGAGACGACCCAGAGCAUCCAGCUGAGGAAGAUAGCUUCACGGUUUCAGCAGUUUCGUCGACAUUGGAGGUGGAUCUAAGGCGUUUGAAGCCGAACAAGGCUUUACGGGAGAAAGGUAUUCUCGGGUAUGAAUGCAACAGGUUUAUUGUUAGAUUCGGAUCUUAGCUAUCCCUCUGCAUUUUCUUGUUGAUAUUUUGGAUAUUUGUUGUUUUGCUUGGAGUGGAUUGUUGCUUGUUGAGUUAUAACCAUGAAUUCAUGCUUGCUAUCGUCAAUCUUUAUAUGCUCUGUUUCUAUUGUGAUUGUGAAAUGCCCGAGAACCCCUCCAAUACUUGCAUUUGAUGCCGUUUUCUCACCUAGAAGGUUCACUGACGAUUCAUGACGAGAAGCCUCCUUGAUGAGCCUUUCUAUUUGUUUUCUUCUAUGCUCUGUUUUCAUGCAUUUCUCAUUAUUGAGGCCACCUAUAUCACCUCCGCCAAGCCAUCUCUCAUCAUCGGGUUGCUGGAAGCUAUCAAAGCUGCCGCCGCGAUGCGCCGAGCGCACCUCCAUGCGCUGUCUGGAGGAUGCAGACGAUCCCCCGCCGAAGACUUCGACAUUAUCACCACCGUUCGAGACGACGCCGGGGCGAGUUCCAGCAUGCCUCGUGAGGAGGCUUCUGUCAAGCACAGCCAGCUCGCGUUUUGGUGCCGCUACGUCGGCGGCGAGCCCGCUCACCGUGCCAUGGAAGCAUCUGAAGGCCGCCUUACCGCCAGCCCCGUCCUCCAUCGUCCAUUGCUUGCAGCAAUCCCACCCUCGGACCGCCAGCAACUCCUUCUCUGACGCAGGCAUGGUGCGUCUUGACCCGCUCCGGCCAGGUGGAUAGCCGCGCCAGUCAUCGGCAACGGCGGCAACGUCUCUUGGUGCCGUCGGCGGUAGGAGUUCCCUCGGAGGGUGAUUUCCAGGCGAGAAGAGGAGUUGUGGGGAAGAUGAAGUUUGGUUUUUGGGCUUGGGCUAAGGCUAGGCCCAAUUUUGUGUUUGGUUUUGGCUUUGGGCUCAGGUUUGAGUUGGGGGCACUAGGCCCAGGUUUGUGAUGGGUGUUUGCAUUGGGUUUGCUUAUGAAGGCUAUGGGCUUAGGUUUGGAUUUGGAGCCCGGGCCCAAGCCUAUGCUAAAGAUGGAGCCUUUGUCUUAAGCCCAUUUUCUAUUAUUACUAUUAUUAUUAUUAUUAUUAUUAUUGUUAAUUAUUAUUAUCAUUGAUAUUAUUAUUAAUUAUCAUUGUUAUUAUUAUUGUUACUAUUAUUAUUAAUUAUUAUUAUCAUUAUAUUUAUUAUCAUUGUUAUUAUUAUUAUUAUUAAUUAUUAUUAUCAUUGUUAUUGUCAUUAUUAUCAUUGUUGUUAUUAUUGUUAUUACUGUUAUUAAUUAUUAUUAUCAUUGUUACUAGUAUUACUAUUAUUAUUAUCAUUAUUCUUGUCAUUAUUAUUAUUAUUAUCAUUAUUAUUACCAUUAAUUCAACUUUCAAAAUCUAUUUAUUAUUAUUAUUAUAACCAUUAAUCCAAACUUUCAAAAUCCUAUUAUUAUUAUUACUAACCCAACUUUCAAAACCUCAUUAUUAUCAUUAUUAUUAAUUCACACUUUCAGCAUCUAUUUAUUAUUAUUAUUAUCAUCAUUAACCCAAACUUUCAAAAUCUCAUCAUUAUUAUUACUAUUAAUUCAACUUUCAAAAUCUAUUUAUUAUUAUUAUUAUAAUCAUUAAUCCAAACUUUCAAAAUCCUAUUAUUAUUAUUACUAACCCAACUUUCAAAAAUCUCAUUACUAUUAUUAUUACUAACCCAACUUUCAAAACCUCAUUAUUAUCAUUAUUAUUAAUUCACACUUUCAGCAUCUAUUUAUUAUUAUUAUUAUCAUCAUUAACCCAAUUUUUAAAAUCUCAUCAUUAUUAUUACUAUUAAUUCAACUUUCAAAAUCUAUUUAUUAUUAUUAUUAUAAUCAUUAAUCCAAACUUUCAAAAUCCUAUUAUUAUUAUUACUAACCCAACUUUCAAAAAUCUCAUUACUAUUAUUAUUACUAACCCAACUUUCAAAACCUCAUUAUUAUCAUUAUUAUUAAUUCACACUUUCAACAUCUAUUUAUUAUUAUUAUUAUAAUCAUUAAUCCAAACUUUCAAAAUCCUAUUAUUAUUAUUAUUAACCCAACUUUCAAAAUCUCAUUAUUAUUAUUAUUAUUAAUCCAAACUCUCAAAAUCUAUUUAUUAUUAUUAUUAUCAUCAUUAAUCUUAUUAUUAUUAUUAUCAUCAUUAAUCCAGACUUUCAAAAAUCUCAUUAUUAUUAUUAUUAUUACCUCAACUUUUAAAAUCUUAUUAUUAUUAUUACUAUUAUUAUUAUCAUUGAUAAUUCGAUUCUUAAAAUCUUAUUAUUAUUAUUAUUAAUUCACACUUUCAAAAUAUUAUUAUUAUUAUUAUCAUUAAUUCAACUUUUAAAAUCUUAUUAUUAUUAUUACCAUUAUUAUUAUUAUUGUUAAUUCGAUUCUUAAAACCUUAUUAUUAUUAUUAUUAAUUCACACUUUCAAAAUAUUAUUAUUAUUAUUAUUAUUAUCAUUAAUUCAGACUUUCGAAAUCUUAUUAUUACUAUUAUUAUUAAUUCAAACUCUCAAGACCUUAUUACUAUCAUUAUUAUAAAUUCAACUUUCACAAGUCUAUGGUCUCGCAGUUCAAUUUCCUAAAUUCCAUUUCUCAUUUUCUUUAACAAAUUCCAAUUUAAUCACGGGAGCUCUAAUAUUCAAAAUUUAAUUCCAAAUACUCCAAUUUUCAAAUAAGCUCCAAUAAUCCAGUUUUCACUCGAAUAGUUUUUAAUCACAUUUUAGUUCCUAAAUAAUCUUCUGAUCUUCUUGACCUUACAUAAGCAAUAGUGAUUCCUUCAUAAUUCCAAAACACGGGAUUUGUGGGAUUAGCUCAUGAACAAUAAAUCGGGCUUUGUUGAGGGCCCUAUGUUUGACCCCUUUUGACUGUCAAUUAUCGUGCUUGCUGUAUUUUGCUUGAGCUUCGCUUUGCACUCCGAUAUGUAUGAGCUAUGUUUUGUAUUCAUUAGUUGUGCACUUAUCCCGUUUCUUGAUAGCGCGUUGCUGUUUGCUGCCCAGGUACGCAUUCACUCAUUCUGAUCAUUCACUAUACAUAUUCUGAUUCUCAUAUAUGCAUGAUUGAUGCGAGUAUCCAUUGACUUUCUUAUUCGAUUGCCACAUCAAUUUCACUUUAUUAGUAGAGACCCGACUUUAAGGACUUAGAGGGGUGCUACGGUCUCUACCGUACCUUCCCGAUAAGUAACCUGACCCCCGAACCCGAUCCGGUUUUCACAGACCACCUCUUCCAAAACAAGGAGUCACACUUAGGGUUUUUCUUUCUUAUUUUGUUUACCCUUUAAAAAUAAAACAAAAAUAAGUGGCGACUCUAAGUCAUUUUUAAUCAACAAAUCAAUUUUUCAAAUAAAAAUCGAGCUCGAUAUCGAGUGGGAAACGCAUUGAGCCGAAAUGCGGGGUCCACAGUUUGGUUCUGAAAAAUGUGGAGGAAAGAAAAUAAGAAGAAAAAGUAGAAGGGAAAAAAAAAGAAAAGAAAAAUAAAAAAUAAAUUUAAGCCCAAAAAAUUAUUUUUAUAUAUUAAUUUAAAUUCAUUCCACUUAUUUUAACUAUUGGAUAUAAAGAAUAAAUAAUUUGAAAUACAUAAAAUUUGAAUUAAUCUUAAUUAUAUAUAUAUAUAUAUAUAUAUAUAUAUUUCUAUAUUUUUCUUAAGACAAUUAAAAAAGAAAAUCAUUUUUUAAAAUUCUUUUUUUUUUUUUUCUUCCUUUUAAGGUUUUACCAGUGUAGAAUUCAUCUUGAGCUUGGAUAUUGUCGGUGUCUGGACAUGCCUUAACUUAAACAAUAACGCUCGUAGUUUUGGGUGGGGUUGUUAAGAUACAACAUCCAAUACCCUAUUGGUAUGAUAUAAACAGGCAAAACAAGAGAGCUAGAAUGAGUAAAGAUUGUAAAAAGAUAUUUGUGUGAAUUCUGUCUUGACAAGGGAGUGAGUACAUAUACAUUUCUUUCGUUAAGCUUAAACCUUUAAUAUUUGCGAUUUUAAAUACAAUAUAUUUAUAUAUAUUUUAUCAUUAAUAAAUCUAAUAAUUUUUAAAAUUUAUCUAAAGCUAAAAAAAUCCAACCAAUAUUAGUUUCAUUUUAAAAUUCAUCUAGAAUGAUUAUAUUAAUUUGUCUAGUAUGCCCAACAAUAUUUUUCCAAUAUUUUUCACUAGUUAAAGAAACCCUAAAUAGGAGAGAUUUAUGUGUUCAAUUUAUUAAUCAUUUUUUUUAACAAAAGAAUAAUAAUUUAGAUAUCAAAAUUUAAGUUGGUUAAUACCAAAAUUUUUAUGAAUAAAACUAGAGUGGGACGAUUAUGAAAGUUUCUUCAACACAUAGUGAUAUACUUUUUCUGGUUAAUUUUAAGGGAGAAUUGUGUUUUGGGCCCAACUGGGUCCAAAAAUUAAUAUUUGGUCCAUAUAACUUCCAUAAUUGAUGAAAAGGAUAUGAGAUGUUAAAAGACCAAUAUAUCCUUCAAAUUUCUAUACAUUACCUUUUAAGGACAUAAAAUAGUGAUGGACUAAAAUACCCAAUGACCUUUCACAUAAACUUUUUUUUUUGUCUUUAUUGCACCAUUAUUCAUGCAACCAUAAUAAUUUUAUUUUAACAAUUUGGAUUUUUCAUUAUUUUAAUUUUUUUUAUAAAUAAUUGAAAAUCAACAUUAUUUUCUAUUUUAAAUUAUAAAUAAAGAAAAAUUAUGUUCGAAAGCUAUUUAAAAAAAUACUUUCUAAAAAAUAGUAAUAUGAUUUAUAUUUUUUAUAUUUUCUUUUUGAAAAAACAUUUAAUUAAAAAAUGAAAACUAUUUUAAAAAAUAAAAAUUGAAAAUCUUGUUUAGUACUAUUUUUUAUAUGAAAAUAAUAAAAAGAACUAAAUUUCAUUCAUUGAUUAUCCAUUUUUAUUUUUUUUCAUUAGUUAUUUUAAUAAUAAUAAAAAAAUAUAGUAUGUUUACGAUUAAACAAAGAAAUUGAUCAAUUAUGUGUUUUUUGUGGGACUAUCUUUUACAUGAAAAAUAAUUAAAUAACUAAAUUAUAUAUAUUUAUUACUCUUUUUAAUUUUAUUUUCUUUAUUUAUUUUUUAUCGAAAAUUUUAAUAUAUCCAUAAUUAACAAAGUAACAAAUCAAUUGUGCACAUUUUAAUCUAUUAAAAUAAAUUAAUUUCUAAUUUAAUAAAUAAAAUGAAAUAAGUAAAUAAAUUUGGGGUUAUUUCUAUUUUUUAAUAUAUCUUAUAUCAAUAUUUUUUAUGAUUAAAUAAAUUUUUUAUUUUUUAUUUCUUUAAUUCCAAAAAUAAAAUGAAAUAAAUAAAUAAAUUUAGAAUUUUCCAACUGAUCCUAUAUUCAUAUUUCUUAUGGUUAAAUAAAUUUUUUAUUCUUUUUUCUUUAUUUCCAAAAAUAAAAGGAAAUAAAUAAAUAAAUUUGGCUUAAAUAAUAGUUUUUAAGUAAUUUCUUUGUCUUAUUUUUAAUUACAUUUUGCAUUGAAAAUAAAAUAAAAUAACGUUUUUUUUUAGUCACUGUACAAGGUAUUUACACUAAGUGUACAUAACAAAUAUACUAACUGUACAAGGGUGUACAAAACUAUUAUUUGUGAAGGAUUUUAAGUGAUUCUAAAAAACUUGUUUGUUUAUUUCCCUUAACCGAUGAUAAAUGACAUUCCUUACACACAUUGGUUAAACAUACAUUCAUCUCAUAUAUUUUAUCUAACUUGUAUAUGGUCAUUUUAAUAGGUACCUCACUUAUGAUGAUUGUAAAACAAAAUUAUACAACAAUUUUUUUUCCUUUUUAAAACCAAACCGAUGCAAACAUGGUUAACCGACCUAUUGUUAGAUAUUCAUAAAAUGAUGUAUGAAAUUUGAGUUAUUGUACAAGGGUAUUACACUAACUGUACAAGGGUAUUACACUAACUAUACAAGACAAAUUUACUAAUUGUACAAGGGUGUACAAGACAAAUUUACUAAUUGUACAAGAGUGUACAAGACUACUUUUUGUUAAGGAUUUAAAGUGAUUUCGAAAAACUUUCCCAUUUUUUUCCACUCAAAUAUUUUUUCCCCACUCAAAUUCUCUCACUUAAGAAUUGUUUCGAAUUUUAUUUUUAAAUUUCAUCAUCAAAUUUUUGUAAUUGCAUAUUUUGUUUUUGUAGUUUUAGCAAUGUUCUUUCUUUCCACUAUUUUUUUUUAGUGAAAUUUUAUCCAAAUGAAUCUAUAUUUAAAAUUAUAAUCAUAUUUAUCAAAUUUUUUACUAAGAUUAUCUUUAAUUUUUUUAAUAUAUUUAUACUCAUUUAUUUAAAAAAUGAAAAACUAAUUUUUUUUUAAACAUGUUCUAUUACCUUUCAAGUAAAAAAUUAGAUAAGUUUCAAAGUCAAUAAAUAAAAAAAUUAAAUACUACUUUCAAUAAUUUUUAGAUAAAAUUUUAUAUAAUAUAUUUUAUUUGAAACUUAAUUUUUAAAGUUUAACUAAAAAAUUAUAUUGACAAUUUUCUUGUUGUGGGUCAAAAUACUUUGCAUUAGUCUAUCUAGAUAAGAAAAAUUAUUAAUAUAAUAUUAGAACUUCAUAUCUUAGUUAUUUUUUUUCAAUAAAUUUAUCUUUUUAAAAAUUUUAAAAUAAAAACAUUAAAAAUUAAAAAGCUAAAAAGAUAUAUAUAUAUAUAUAUAAUAAAGUGAAGUGAUAGUUAAUUUUAAAAUUUUUUAAAAUAUGGUUAAUGUAGAAAGUAUAAAAAAUAAGAGAAAAAUAUAGAUGAAAAGGUAAUAUAAAUUUAAAAUAAAAAAUGAAAAUUAAACUAAAAGAUAAAUACAAAAAGAUAAAAAAUAUUUGGAUGAAAAAUCCCAAAAUUUUUAUCAUUGCUUUUAAUAAGAGCAAAAAGAUUCAAUAUCUUUAAAAAUGAAAAAUAAAAAAAUAUUAUUGUUUUUUAUUUGACAUAAAAUAGAAAUAUAUAUUGGAAUAAAAAGGAAAAAAAAAAAGUUAGAAAUGAGUAAUAUUUAAUAGGGAAUAGAAAAGGAAAAAAAAUACAAAAAAAAUUAAAAUUCACACUCACUUGUAGGCAUACAAAGGAUAAGGGUAUUUUAGGAAUUAAUGAAAGACAAUAUCCUUCAUCUUAAUUUUCAUACUUUGUUUGGGUCUUGGGCUUAAAUAUGGGUGGUUGGAGGACCAAAUGUUAAUUUUUGGGCCCAGUUGGGCCCAAAACACAAUUCUCCCUAAUUUUAAUUUAGGUUAAUACACUCCAAAUCAAACAAAAAAUGAUGUAUUCAAUUUACUAAAGAGUUUAUUAAUUUGUAGAAAUUGAUAAAUUUUGGUUUAUAUAUAUAUAUAGUAGAUGUGAUAAAGAAAAAAUGGUUAUGUACAUAUAUAAUUAGAAAAAAUAAAUAAAUUGCCCUUGUUUUUAUGUUUGAAUAUCAUCACUCUAUGUUUCAUUUCAUGAUGAGGAACUCACCAUAGAAUGGAACCUAAGGCCAACAUCUCUAGCAACUUUUUUUUUCACUACAUUUUAUAUAGGUAAUAUUAUUUAUAUAUAUUUCACUUCCAUUGAACAAUUAUUUUCCUUAGUCAAGUUUGGUUCGAGAAAAUAUAGAGGAAAAGUAGAAGAAAAAAAAAAGUGAAGUGAAAUAAAAAAAGUAGGUUUAAAUUUAAUAAAUUAUUUUUAUAUAUUUUUCAAAUUCAUUUUAUUUAUUUCUUUCUAUUAUGUAAAGAUUAAAUAAUUUUAAAAAAUAUAAAAUUUUAACAAAUUUUAAUUAUAUUUGAUUUUCUACAAUAAAAUCAAAUAUGAGAAAACCAUUUUCCUUAACAAUUUUUUUUCCUCAAUAAUUUUCAGAAACCAAACAUAACCUUAAAAUACUCUUUAAAUUAAUACAAAGAGUUAAGUUAUUCUUUUUGAGUCAUUUCACUAGUAAUGUCUUAAUUAACUCUAUGUUAAUGUCCUUAUCAUAAAAUAAGAGAACAGAAGAAUAUUAUAUUAUAUUUUUUAUUUUUGCUAUGAAAAAUAUAAAAAUAAAUAAAUAAAUAUAAUGAAAAGCACAAGUCCUCCUCCUGAAGCUUGUAAAAAUAUAUUCAUGGCCAAUCAUUUUAGCUUAUGGUAGAAGAAAAGGCAAAGUUUGGAAAGAACAACACGAAUCCACUUAGUUUCUACUUUUGCUUUAUACAUCAGAUAAACUAAAAGAAAGUAUUUGGAAAAAGAAAAAGCAAAAGGAAAGGAAAAUGAUGAAAUGCAUCAAGGUGGGAAUCACUUUUUAUUAAAAUUCUAUUGUUAUAUUUACUCUUAUAUUAGAAAUAUAAAAAUAAAAUAAAAUAUUUUUAAAAUUAGUUAUUGUUGUAAAACAAUGACAAAUAUAAUGCAAAUCAAAGUAGUAGAAAUAAAAUAUAUCUUACUUUGAUAAUAAUAUAUAAUAGAGAAGAAGGAAUCAAAGAAAAGAAUUGAGAAAGUGAGUGAGUGAGAGAGAGAGAGAGAGAGAGAGAGAGAGAGAGAGAGAGAGAGAGAGAGAGAAUGAGAGGAAGAACUUUUCUUUCUUUUUCUCGGGAUGCUCUUACAUGGGGUGUAAGAAGCCUUUUAUAGGCUUCAUAAUAUGAACUCCCAUUACUUAUCUUAAAGAUGAGUAAAUGGAGUUCAUAAUGACCAUCAAUGUGGUCAUUCACUACUCUUCAUUUACAACACUCCCCCUUGGAUGACCACCAUAUUAAAAGAAUAUGUCUCAUUAAAACCUUGCUAGUAAAAAACCCUAUAAGAAAAACCUAGUGUAGGAAAAAGAGUACAAUAUUCUUUUCUUGGUAUAUUAGGACCGCCUUGCUAAAAACCUUGCCAGUAAAACCCAGUAGGACAAAACCUGAACGAAGGAAAAAAGAGUAUAGUACACUAACACCCUUUUACAAGCUUACUCACCCUCAUGUCGAUAUCCUUGAGUUGACGCAUUCCAAUCCUGUGUAUUGACUUCUUGAAUGUUGAGAUUGACAAUGAUUUUGUGAAUAAAUCUACUAGAUUAUCACUUAAGCGUAUUUGUUGCACAUCAAUUUCACCACUCUUUUGGAGUUCAUGUGUAUAAAAGAAUUUUAGUGAAAUGUGUUUAGUUCUAUCUUCUUUAAUAUAACCCCCUGUUAUUUGUGCAAUGCAUACAACAUUAUCUUCAAAUAAUAUUGUUGGGUCACCUUUGAUAGAGGAGAGUCCACAUGAUUCCCGAAUAUGCUGGAUCAUAGACCUUAGCCAUAAACCUUCACGAUUUGCUUCAUGAAUUGCCAGUAUUUCUGAAUGAUUUGAUGAUGUGGCCACUAUUGUUUGUUUGACAGAUCUCCAUAAAAUAGCAGUACCAUUACAAUUAAACACAUACCCUGUUUGUGACCUAUCUUUAUGUGGAUCUGAAAGAUAUCCUACAUCUGCAUAUCCAAGCAAUUGUUGCUUUGAUUCCCUUGAGUAAAACAAACCCAUAUCACUAGUCCCUCAAAGAUAACGCAAUAUAUGUUUGAUACCAUUCCAAUGCCUUCGAGUUGGAGCGGAACUGUAUCUUGCUAAUAAAUUGACAGAAAAAGCAAUGUCAGGGCGUAUACAAUUGGCAAGAUACAUAAGUGCACCAAUAGCACCAAGAUAUGGUACUUCAGGACCAAGUAACUCUUCAUCUUUUUCGUAAGGACAAAAUGGGUCCUUUUUCACAUCAAGUGAUUGGACAACCAUUGGAGAAUUUAAAGGAUGCGCUUUAUCCAUAUAAAAAUGCUUCAAAACUUUCUUAAUGUAUGUUGAUUGAUGUACUAAAACUCCAUUUGGAAAAUGCUCGAUCUGCAGGCUGAGACAAAAUUUUUUUUUUCCAAGAUUUUUCAUCUCAAAUUCCUUUUUCAAGUAAUUUGUUGUUCUUGUGAGCUCUUCAAGAGUUCCAACAAGAUUUAAGUCAUCAACAUACACUACAAUAAUUGCAAAUCCGGUUUCUGAUUUCUUAAUGAAGAUGUAUGGGCAUAUAGGGUUAUUCACAUACCCUUCUUUUAGUAAGUAUUCGCUCAGGCGAUUAUACCACAUACGUCCAAAUUGCUUUAAUCCAUACAAGGAUCAUUGUAACUUGAUUGAGUACAUGCUACGAGGCUUUGUACUAUUUGCUCCAGGCAAUUUAAAUCCUUCAGGGAUUUUCAUGUAUAUAUCAUUAUCCAUGGAUCCGUUUAAAUAUGCUGAAUAACAUCCGUGAGACGCAUAUCCAGUCCUUUUGAGAUUGCCAAACUAAUUAAGAAACAAAAUGUGAUUGUGUCAUUGUGUCCAUGACAGGAGAAUAUGUUUCCUCGUAAUCAAUACCAGGUCUCUGUGAGAAACCUUGUGCUACUAAUCACGCUUUAUAUCUUAUGAUCUCAUUUUUCUCAUUGCGCUUUCGUACAAAUACCCAUUUGUACCCAACAGGCUUUACAUCUUCAAGUGUUUGGACUACAGGUCCAAAAACUUCUCGUUUUGUUAAUGAGUUUAACUCUGUCUGUAUAGCUUCUUUCCAUUUUGGCCAAUCAUUUCUAUGUUGACAUUCUUCCACAUUUCAUGGUUCGGGAUCUUCAUCAUUUCUUAUAAUAUCAGAGGCCACUUGGAAAGCAAAAAUAUUGUUAAUAACAAUAUUAUUUCGAUCCCAUUUUUCUCCCAUGUGUACAUAACUUAUUGAGAUCUCACAAUUUCCAGGUAUCUAUGCCUCUUCAGGGGCUUCUCGUUCAAUAUGUAGCUCUUCAUGGGCUUCUUAUUCAAUAUGUGCCUCGUCGGGGGCUUCUUGUUCAAUAUGUACCUCUUCAGGGGCUUUUUGCAUUAUUUGUGCCUCUUCUAGGGCUAUAGAUUUAUCAAUUUUAAACUGAUCAGUCAUUUUGAUGGCCUCUUCUAGAGUGCUGAGUUUUUCUUGGGUUCUCCUCUUCCGAUGAGUUACAUCCUUUGAGCCAACAAGUCUACCACGCUUCAGGCGUAUCUUAGAUUCAUUUGUUAACUGUCCUACAGGGACAUCAAUCCGUGUUGGAGUAUUUGUAGCCGAGAUAUGUGACUUUGUCACAUUCUUUGUAUCAAUGAAUGCAUCUGGUAAUUGAUUUGCAAGAUUUUACAAAUGAAUGAUCCUUUGAACUUCUAGUUCACAUUGAUUUGUAUGAGGAUCAAGAUGGGUCAUAGUAGAUGCCUUCCAACUAAUUUCUCGUCGUUCUUCAGGAAUCGACUUUUCUCCUCCUAAUGAUGGGAAAACACUCUCAUUAAAAUGACAAUCCGCAAAGCGGGCUGUAAAAACAUUGCCUGUCAAAGGUUCAAGAUAUCUUAUGAUAGAUGGAGAAUCAAAACCUACAUAAAUCCCAUGUCUUCGUUGGUGACCCAUUUUAGUGCGUUGUGUAGGUGCAAUUGGUACAUAUACUGCACAACCAAAGAUUCGUAAGUGAGAUAUUUGGUUGUUUUCCAAGCAUAAGUUGUGAAGGGGAGUAUUCAUGGUAAGUUGUAGGUCGAAUACGGACUAAAGUUGUAGCAUGCAUAAUAGCAUGUCCCCAGGUGGAAGUAGGUAAUUUGGUUUUCAUUAGUAAUGGUCGAGCUAUUAAUUGGAGAUGUUUGAUGAAGGAUUUUGUUAAACCAUUUUGGGUAUGAGUAUGAGCAACAAGAUGUUCAAUAUUUAUCCCUACUGACAUGCAAUAGUCAAUGAAUAUUUGAGAAGUAAAUUCGUCAGCAUUAUCAAAACGUAUUGUCUUAAUUGGAUAAUUUGGAAAUUGUGCUCGUAAUCUGAUUAUUUGUGUAAGGAGUCUAGCAAAGGCAACGUUAUGUGUAAAAAGGAGACAAACAUGUGACCACCUAGUAGAAGCAUCUAUUAAGAUCAUAAAAUAACGGAAUGGUCCACAUGGUGGAUGGAUAGGCCCACAUAUGACCCCAUGUAUUCUUUCUAAAAAGACUGGUGACUCAGAUAUGACUUUAGUAAAAGAUGGUCUGAUUAUCAAUUUACCUUAUGAGCAAGCAGCACAUGAGUAUUCAUUGGGUGAAAGAAUCUUCUGGUUCUUUAGUGGAUGCCCAUGUGAGUGUUCGAUUAUUCGACGCAUCAUUGAAGACCCUGGGUGACCUAGCCUAUCAUGCCAAAGGAUAAAAACUUUUGGGUUGUUGAACUUCUGGUUCACGACAACAUAUGAUUCAAUAGGCUUUAUAGUUGUAUGAUACAACCCAGAGGAGAAAGCCGGGAGUUUUUCCAUUAUAAGCUUCUGGCUAAAUAUAAUGGAAGUAAUGUAAAGAUAUUCUACAUUAUCUUCGUUCAUAGUUUCAAUAUGAUAUCCAUUUCUACAGAUAUCUUUAAAACUGAGCAAAUUUCUUCUGGAUUUUCUAGAAUAUAAAGCGUCAUUUAUAUGGAAUUUAGUUCCAUUUGGCAACAUUAUGUUUAUUCUUCCAGAGCCUUCAACUAAGUUUGUAGUACCAGAUAUGGUACUUACAUUAGCUUUUAUUAUUGUUAAUAAAAGGAAAUAUUUUUUACCUCGAAGAAUUGUGUGCGUGGUCGCACAGUCUACGAGACAUACAUCAUCCUCAUUCAUCUUGAGACCAAAUAACACAUGUAUUUCAGAUAUAACAAAAAAAUAAGGCAUAAUGUAAAUAACAAAGUAAAUCAGAUGUAAAUAUAAGACAUAAUAAUAUAUUAUUUCAUAUAUAAAGUAAAAUCAAUCAAUGUUAAUUUUCUCAUCAUUUAUCAAAUGGUCUGUUUUUUCAUUAGGACCUCUAAAGAAAUCAAUGUCAUAGUAGGUUAGGUCCAAUCCAUCACCAUCGGUAAAGUUCAUCUCUAUCUCUUUUCCUUUAGCUUUUAUUGAUGCUUGGUAAAGGUCAACCAAAUGUUUGGGUGUACGACAGGUACGCGACCAAUGCCCCUUCAUACCACAUCUAUAACAAUUAUUCUCAUGGUUCUUAGGAGGUUUAUCUUGUAAACGCUUCCCAUUUUCUUGUAUUGUCUCAGUAUUGUUCCACUUCUGGUGGUACAAUGAGGCUUUCAUUUUUUGAGAAUUAUUACUAUAAGAACCAUGGUAUCGGGGAUUUCUUCCAUGACCACGACCACGUCCUCAUCCUCUUCCACGUCCACGAGUUUGGGACGAUAUUGCAUUUACUUCAGGGAAUGGUUUAGAUCCAGUUGGACGAGAUUGGUGAUUUCUCAUAAAAAACUCAUUAUUUUGUUCAGCAACAAGAAGACAUGAUAUUAAUUCAAAUAUUUUGUAAAUCUACGCUUUCGAUAUUGCUGUUGUAGGAGCACAUUCGAGGCAUGAAACAUAGUAAAAGUUUUCUUUAACAUGUCUUCCUCUAUGAUUUUUUCUCCACACAGCUUUAAUUGAGAGCUGAUUUUGAAAAGUGUAGAGUUGUAUUCACUAACAGUUUUAAAAUCUUGCAACCUUAGGUGCAUCCAAUCAUAUCGAGCUUUUGGGAGAAUCAUAGUUUUCUGGUGGUCAUAUCUUUCCUUCAAAUUACUCCAUAGAGUAAAAGGGUCCUUCACCGUAAGAUACUCAUUUUUUAAACCUUCAUGGAGGUGAUGGCAAAGGAAAAUCAAUGCUUUUGCGCGAUCCUACAGGGAUGCUUGAUUUCCUUGUUUGAUCGUAGCUCCAAGGUUCAUUGCAUCAAGAUGUAAUUCAGCAUCAAGGAUCCAAGAUAGAUAGUUCUUUCCCGAAAUGUCAAGUGCCACAAAUUCGAGUUUUGUGAUAUUCGACAUUGUCAAAUAACUUCAUAUAUAUAUGACAAAACAAUAUUAUUAGAAUCAGUUAUAAUAACUUGAUAGCAUUGGUAUAACUUUGAUUAUAAACAAAAUCAAAUAAUUUGUUUAUAACUUUUAACAAUAUGUAACAAAACAAAUCAACAAUAAUAUAAAUAUGUAAAAUUUUAUUCUAUACAAAUAACUUCAAGUUUAAGAUACGAUAAUUACCUUUAGAGCAAUUCGUGCUGAUAACGUGUUGUAAAACAAGGACAAAUAUAAUGCAAAUCAAAGUAGUAGAGAUAAAAUAUAGCUUACUUUGAUAAUAAUAUAUAAUAAAGAAGAAGGAAUCAAAGAAAAGAAUUGAGAAAGUGAAAAAGAGAGAGAGAGAGAGAGAGAGAGAGAGAAUGAGAAGAACUUUUCUUUCUUUUUCCCGGGAUGCUCUUACAUGGGGUGUAAGAAGCUGCUUCAUAAUAUGAACUCCCAUUACUCAUCUUAAAGAUGAGUAAAUGAAGUUCAUAAUGACCAUCAAUGUGGUCAUUCACUACUCUUCAUUUACAACGGUUAUAAAUUUAUAUAUUUUUAAAUUAUUUAAUUUUUAUAUAAAAUAUUUUCAAUUAAUAAAAUUUAAAUAACAUAUAAAAUAAUUUCUUAAUUUUAAAUUUAUUUUUAAUUUUAAUUUUCUUUUCUUUUCUUUUCUUUUUUGCAUUUUUCACACUUUUCCACAUAUUUUCCCGACCCAACAUAGCCUGUUAAAUCAACAACUUUCACCUUUGCUUUAAAUAAUAAAUUAAUUAAAAGUUUUUGCUUUUGUGCUAUUCUGUGCUGGCAUGUCUUACUGUUAGAAUGAAAUUUUUUUUUUUUUUUUUUCGGCCAAAAGCCUGCAACGCCUCAAUACCUUCAUGCCUCUACCUCCAUGCCUCUACCUCCACCAUCCUAAAGUUCCACAUCCCAUCUUUCCAUCUCACUAGUCUUUAUCCAUAUUCUUCACUCCUCCUCCUCCAUCAAUCCCACCUUCUUCAACUCCUAAUGGCGGAUGCUCUCCUUUCUAUUGUCUUAGACCGUUUGGGUUCUCUUAUCCAACAACAAAUUCAUCAGGAAGUUUCUCUGGUUGUGGGUGUUGAAAGAGAAAUCCAAAGCCUCACCAACACACUCCAGAUCGUCCGAGCUGUUGUUGCAGAUGCAGAGAAGAGACAAGUGAGGGAGGAACUUGUCAAAGUUUGGUUGCAGAGGCUUAAAGACAUCGCCUACCAAAUGGACGACGUGCUGGAUGAGUGGAGCACUUCUCUUCUCAAAUCUCAGAUUGAGAGACCUGAAAGCCCUUCCAUGUCUAACAAGAAGGUAACCUCCUGCAUUCCCUCCCCUUGCAUCUGUUUCAAACGAGUUGCUGGCCGUCGUGACAUUGCUCUUAAGAUUAAGGAUAUUAAACAGCAAGUUGAUGACAUUGCAAACCAGAGCAAUCGGUUCAAUUUUACAUCCAUAUUUAGCAACGAGGAACCACAGAGGCUUAUAACUAUCUCUGCAGUUGACAUUUCAGAGGUAUGGGGUCGGGAUAAGGACAGGGACACCAUACUAAGGCAGCUGUUGGGUAAGAGUUGUGAACAAAACUUGGGCCUCUACACCAUCUCCGUGGUUGGGAUGGGAGGUAUCGACAAAACAACUCUUGCUCAACUAGCCUUUAACCACGAUGAGGUGAAGGCUCAUUUUGAUAAGAGAAUCUGGGUCUGCGUGUCUGAUCUUUUUGUCCCAAUAAGAAUCUAGAGGGCUAUUCUUGAAGCCCUCCAAGGCCAGUCUUCUGAUCUCCAUGAUCCUGAAGCUCUACGACAAAAAAUUCAAGAAUCUAUUGAGGGAAAAAGUUUCUCCAUGUGCUGGAUGAUGUCUGGACCGAAGAUUAUCAGUUGUGGGAACAACUGAAGAAUUGUCUCAAGUGUGGAGGUGGUGGGAGUAGAAUUUUAGUGACCACUCGCAGUGAGAGCGUUGCCAUGAGAAGCACAUACAUGCACUCCUUAGGAAGCUUACUAUUAGAGCAAGGUUGGGCGUUAUUUUCCCAAAUAGCAUUUUGCGGGAAGAGUACCCACAAAAUUGAAGAACUAGAAGAAAUUGGCAAAAAAAUAGCAGUCAAGUGCAAGGGCUUACCUCUUGCCCUUAAAGAUUUAGGGAGUCUGAUGCAUUUCAAAAAUAAUAAAGAAGAUUGGGAGAAUGUCUUGAAUAGUGAAAUGUGGGAACGGGAUGUUUUUGAGAAAAAACUGUCCCCUGCCUUGCUGUUGAGUUACUAUGAUCUGCCCCCGGCACUUAAACAGUGCUUCUCAUAUUGUGCAGUCUUUCCCAAAGAUCACUUCAUUGAAAGAGACGACUUGAUUAAGUUAUGGAUGGCACAAAGCUACCUCAACUCUAAGGCAGGCAGAGAGAUGGAGACAAUUGGGAGAGAGUACUUUGAAAACUUAGCAGCUCGGUCUUUCUUCCAAUAUUUUGAGAAAGAUGAUAAGGGUAACAUAGUAAGGUGCAAGAUGCAUUAUAUAGUGCAUGACUUUGCUCAAUUUUUGACCAACAAUGAAUGCUUAAUUGUGGAGGAUGAUUGUGAAAACCUAAAGACAAACUUGUCCCUUCAAAAGGGUCGUCAUGCAACUGUAAUUGUGCAAGGGAGUACGCGAUUCUCUUUCCCCGUUAAUAACGCGAGGAAUUUACACACUUUUAGUUGUGUCUGAAAACAGGUGUAGAAUUGACUCAUUUCCACUUGAUUCCUUCCAGCAAUUCAAAUAUCUUAGAGCAAUGGAUUUGAGAGGUAAUGACUCAAUUGUAGAACUCCCAAGGGAGGUGGGUGAAUUCAUACAUCUGAGGUACCUUAAUCUAUCAUUGUGCACGAGUUUGAAAGUAUUGCCCGAAACCAUUUGUGGUCCAUGUAAUCUGCAAACCUUAGGUCUUCGUUAUUCUAUUGACCUUAGAGAACUGCCUCAAGGGAUGGGAAAUCUGGUUAACUUAAGACAUCUUUUAAUUAAGGGGAGUGGAGCUGGGGGGCUAAGAGGCUUGCCCAAAAGAGUUGUAAGAUUAACAUCUCUUCGAACCUUACCCAUUUUUAUUGUCGAUGAGGUGUGCAAAAUAGAAGAAAUGAGAAACUUAAAGGAGCUUGGAGGAGAGCUUCAAAUAAAACGACUGAGCCGUUUGGAAGAUGCAGGGGAGGCUGAAAAGGCAGAAUUGAAGAAUAAGAAACAUCUCCUUCAUUUGACAUUAGAAUUCGGACCAAAGAAGAGACAAAUAGUGGGGAUGAAGGAAGUGGCUGAAGCCUUACAACCUCAUCCAAAUUUAAAAUCCCUCGGCAUAGCAUGGUAUCAAGUCAGCGAAUGGCCUAGGUGGGUGAUGGAGUCAUCAUUACCCCAACUAAAACACAUUUACCUUUCAUGUUGCACAGAAUGUCAGUGCUUGCCUCCUCUGGGGGAACUCCCACUUCUCGAGAGCCUGAAUAUAUACUCCUUGUGGCGAGUGAAAUACGUGGGUGGUGAGUUCUUGGGAUCAUCAUCAGAAAUUGCAUUUCCAAGGUUGAAGCAUCUGGUUUUUCGAGGCAUGUCUGAGUGGGAAAAUUGGGAAGUAAAAGAAGAGAGGAGGAAAGUAAUGCCAUGUCUUCUUUCCUUGGAAAUAAUUUCAAGUCCAAAGCUUGAGACAUUACCGGACCUCCUGCUCCAGAGGACACCACCGUUGGAUUUGAGCUCCAGGAGUUGUGAUGAAGAGAAGUGGCCCUGAUUGCCUAGACAAAGAGGAUGUUUGGUAUGAUAAAUGUUAAGACGCCCCACCUAUUCUCUCUUUUAACCCCCUUUUGUUUUAAAUAAAAAUAAAAAUACUCCACUUCCUUUUUCCUAACCCUGUCUUCUUUUUUCCCUGUCUUUUCUCUUUUUUCCUUCUUCCCUCACCUUUUUCUUUUCUCUUGUUAUUUUUAUUUGGAAAAAAAUAAAUAAAUAAAGUAGGGUAACGAGGAAAUAGGUGGAAGCCCUUAACGUUUGUCCAUUGGCUCUACGCUAGUUGCCCUCCAUGCAGGUAAUUUUUCAAUUUGUUUUUCAAAGUAAAAAUUCAUUAAUUUAAAAUUUUAUUAUUAUUUGAAAGAAAUUCAAUUUAAUCCCCUAAGUGCUUAAGAAAUAUCCAGCUAGAAAACUCUAUUAAUCCUUCCUAAAGUCUUAAUUCGGAAUAUUCCCUUCUGACUUUCAAAAUUGAUGCCGUCAUCUUAAACAACCUUUCAUGUGAAGAGAAGUAAUUAAGUUUUUGGUAUGAAAGCAAGUCUAUCAUCAUAUUGGAUUUUAUGAUAAGUAAAUAUAAAGUUAUGAUUCAUGUGUGAUUAGAAAAGAUUCCAUUGGAUGUAAGUUUAUCUUUGGGAAAGUUAGGUUUUAGGUUGUUGAUUUGGAAAAUAUAUGGUUUUGAAAACCCAAUUUUACAUAUUUCAAAAUUGAUAAUGUAAUUAGAAAAUAUUUGGAGGAUCAUGCACUUUAAGCUUAUGUGUAUUUCAAUGCCAAAAAUACCCUUCACCUUGUCAGCUGCAUUCCACAUUUGAAAAUUCAAAAGAGAAAAAACCCUCUGAAAAGCCACAAAACCAAUAUCUCUCUCGUAUUCUGCUUUUCCCCUUCUCUCUCCCAUUCUCAAUCUCAGAAACCCAAAAUGCUGUAAAACCUAACCUCUUUCAUUUCUGUAACAUUCUCAUCUCCCAUUUUGUUGAUAAACAUCAACAACCCAAAACCUAACUUUCCAAAAAAAAAAGUUAUAGUGCUGCAGAGGAGAAGAAUUUAUCAGGUGGAUGUGUUGGUAAAUGAGAAACGAAUCAGGAGGAAGAGACACAGGAGGAAACCAGGAAGGGUGAUCUCCUUUUUGUUCCCAAAUUACAUGAUCCAUAAACCCUAAUUUCUGAAACGAAGAUCAGGUCCGGGGAAAAUUGGUAAUCAGAAUCAAUGGUGGGUGCAUCAAGCUUAUGGUCUCGCGCACUGGUUCAGAUCUCACCCUACACCUUCUCCGCCAUCAGUAUUGCCAUUGCCAUCGGCGUUUCCGUCUUGGGUGUCGCUUGGUACUUUCUCUUCCCUUCCUCCCCUGCAAAAUCCACCAAAAUAAAACAACAACUAAAAAUUUUGCAUUCUUGUCAAACUAGCGGAGGUUUAGGUUAAAUUGAUAAAUUAUAUUUGCUUUUUUUUUUGGGAUAACCGAUUAAAAGGGACAAAUAUCCCUCAAUAUUGCAGAACUAACCCCUCACUUAUUUAAGUCUAAAAAAUGACCCAAUUCGAACAAAAAUACCCCCUCAGCUAUCUUUUCAGCCCAUUUUCCCUCCAACUCCAAUUUUUCCUUGUAUUGUGUCUCUUCCUUACCCUGCAAACCCAUUUGUUCCAUCUGUUAACCUGCGAGAAACAAAUCACGAAGGAUUUUUCCGUUUAUUGCAAGAGAACAAAAAGGCAACACAACACAAAGUAAGUUUCACUAUUUCAUUCUUUGAUUUUAGUCUUUCGAAGUGUACAUAUGAAUCUUCAUCCAUGAAAUGAGAAAAAACCCUAAGUGUCUUAUUUUGGUUCUUUUUUUUUUUUCAAUCAAACCCUAUUUUUCAUCUUUCUGAUAUUGUGUGUUGAUUCAGUUCAUGAAAAUGGAGGAAGAAAAAAAUUCGGUGAUGAAAAAUACGAAACAGAAGAGGUAUAAAAUUUUGGGAAAAAAGAGAAGUGAAAGAAAGCCAGGUUUUGAAACCUCGUCAUCGUCAUCAAAAAAUGAGAAGAAAUCAAUUGAUUCAGUAAGCAUUAAUUUUCUACUUGAAAUUUUGAUUUUUAAUUUUUUUUUAAUUUUAUCAUUUUUAAUCGAUUAUCCUUUUUUUUAUGAAUUUAUUUUUCAUGAAUUGAUAAUGUAAUUGUUGAAAAUUUUCUCAGUGAGGUUAUAGUCCAAGGUUUAAAGCAAUAUUUGAAUGAUUAGAAAAAACUAAACUUAACUACUAUCAAGUUUACCAUCAAAAGGUUUUGAAAUUUUGUGUAAUGAAGUUAUUUGUUAUGAAUUUAUAACGUAUUUGAAUAUAAUUUUUAUGAAAUUAUUUUAUCCAAAUAUUUAGAAUUUUGAUUUAAAUAUAUAUGUUAAGAAAAAAUUGAACUUAACUGCUAUCAAGUUCAUUGUCAACAGGUUGCAAUUUCAAAAUGGGUAUUAGGAGUUGUCCACCUUCAUCGAAGGAUUAUAUAUGUAUAUGACUUAUUAAUGGGCAUCAAUAAUAAUGCAAGAUUGCAAGUUGCCAUUAAACCAUUAGCCAAAUUGUUGCCGCAUAUAUUGAAUGCAAUAGCAUAUUAUGGGUUUCAUGGUGACACAAAAGUUAACUACUAGGAAUGGGAAAUUGAACGGCUGUAAGAUAUUCCUCAACAGAAAAAUGAGUAAGUGAUCUUAAAUUUACUUUCAUAACUUAUACACUUAAUCCUUAAUAAUAUCCCUAACAUUGAUUAUCUGUGUACCAUGUAGUGGUGAUUGUGGCAUGUUUGUUAUCAAAUAUGUUGAAUACUUAAUGCACAACCAUAUUGAAGUCAUUAACAAGUGAUCGAAUGUACUGGUUUCGGGAAAAGAUUGCAGCAGAGUUAUUUUAUAUGAAAUACUUGCCUAUGUAAUGAAUUCAUGUUGAUAUUUCACAUUUUGAUAAUGUAGUUGGAUGGUUUGUUAUAUGUAAUUGGAUAGCUUCAUAUAUGUAGUUAGACAUUUUGAUAAAUGUAGUUGGACAGGUUGAUAUAUCUACUUGGAUAUUUUGAUGAAUGUUGCUCGAUAGUUAUGUAUACAAUUGGCCUUUUAAACUAAACUUGAAUGUUGUCAAGUUGUUAUGUGUACAAACUUGAAGGUAGUUAAGUCCAUAGUCUUAAUAGAACACCUGAACUUAACUACUAUCAAGUUAACUGUGAACAAACUUGAUAGAUAUUAAGUCGAAAUCUAUUCCAGAAUAACAUAUUUAAUAUGGACUUAAUAGGUAUCAAGUUGAUCUUCUAUAGACUCAUAGGAAGUUGUGUCUACAGUUGCCAUUUUAACUUGAACUUAACUAUUGUCAAGUUAUUUUAUGAACAAACUUGAAGGUAGUUAAGUCCACAGUCUUCAGACAAAACCUGAACUUAACUAUUGUCAAGUUGUUUUAUGAACAAACUUGAAAGUAGUUAAGUUCACAAUCUUCAGACAAAACCUAAACUUAACUAUUGUCAAGUUGUUUUAUGUACAAACUUGAAGGUAGUUAAGUUCACGGUCUUUAAACAAAACCUGAACUUAACUAUUGUAAAGUUGUUUUAUGUAUAAACUUGAAGGUAAUUAAGUCCACAAUCUUUAGACAAAACCUGAACUUAACUAUUGUCAAGUUGUUUUAUGUACCAACUUGAAGGCAUUUAAGUCAACGGUCUUUAGACAAAACCUGAACUUAACCAUUGUCAAGUUGUUUUAUGGACAAACUUGAAGGUAGUUAAGUCUAUAGUCUUCAGACAAAACCUAAACUUAACUAUUGUCAAGUUCCUUAUCAAUAAACGUGAGAACAGUUGAGUCCAUAGUUUGAGAAUAAAAAUGUAAUUUUCAUUCAUACUUUAUACAUAACUCAUCAUAACAUAUAUGUAUAAAAGUAACAAAUAUCUCCAUUUCUAUAGGUAUGCAAAAAAAGGGGAUCAUUAUUACAAUAUUCAUCUAUGUGCUUAUCCUAUCACCUUAUACAAAAAAAGUAACUUACAUUUCCGUUCACAUGGGUACCAAAAAAACAAAAAAGCUCACUAUUACAAUAUUCAUUCCAUGUAAGUUCAUAGAGUGCCAAAGCUAUCAUGAUAUCAAGGGAUUGGUCGUUUGCAUGUUUUACGAUUAUGCCCAUAUUGACCACAUCGACUACAACGAGAUGUGUGCUUACCCUCUCCACCAGAAGAAAUUCUUACUUUCCUUGGUCUUCCUGUUGGACGUCUCGUUUUAGGUGGUAACACAACUUUGUCACGAAUAUGAUUAGGUACUACCCAAUCUAUUUCAUUUCCAGUUGGAUAAAUACACUCUGAAUAUGAAGAUAGCAAUGUUUUAGUAAUAAAAUACUUGGAGCACAAAGUGUAACAUGAAAUGUUGUAAAAUCUACAAGCAGCAAUAGCAUGUGCACAUGGAAUAUGAUCAAGAUCAAAUUGUCGACAUGUGCAUGAACGAGUGUCUAAAUUCACUUGAGCAAUAAUGCCAGCAUAGUUAACAUUACACUCCUUGGAGUUGAUAGGUUCCACUAGAUAUGUUGCUAACAUAUUAUACCUCGAAUGAAGUUCUCCAUCAGCCCACAUGGUAAGUUCAGUUGACAUUGACAUUGCUUGUUGUUGACGAGUCACAAACCAUUUUUGAAGUAAGUUUCUCAAUUCUUCAACCAAUUGCAAAACUGGAAGAUCUCUAGCAUUUUUCAACACAGCAUUAAGGCUUUCAACGAUCCCUGUCGUCAUGAUAUUAUAUCUUUUUCCGGUAGAAUAUGAACGUGCCCAUCGAUCAACACCUAUAUCCAUCAAAUAUCUUGCUGCUCUUGGGUCAAUCAUCUCUAGUUGCCCAAAUAUAAAAUUAAACUCUGAAACAUGAUAAGCAUGGGCAGCAUCAUGGAACAACUUAUGAAUUGCAGGAUUCUUGAACUUUGUCUUCAAAUUUUGUCCAACGUGAUAAGUGCAGACACCAUGCCUCGCAUGGGGAAAUACUUUAUGUACUGCUUUUUCAAUGCUACCAUGUCGAUCUGAUAUCACAAACAAAUCAUCAAUGUGUCCAAGUGCAUCAUGCAGUUUUUGUAAAAACCACUCCCAUGAGGCAUCAUUUUCUGAAUCACCAAUCCCAAAGGCUAAAGGGUAUAUCUGAUUGUUGCCAUCUUUACACGCUGCAAUAAAUAAAGCCCCUAAGUACUUUGCUUUAAAAAAUGUCCCAUCAACUGCAAUCACAGGCCUUAUUGAUGUGUGAAACCUAACAAGAGAUGCACCAAUCGAGAUAAAAAAGUAUUUGAAUUGAUUAUCACAAUCAGUAACUAUAUCAGUAAUGGUACCAAGAUUUGUUUGCUCUAAAAUAUGGCAAUAGGAUGAUAAAGUGUUAUAAGACUCCUCAGGUGAUCCCCUAAUAGAACCUAGAGCAAGUUCUUUGGCUCUCCACGCCUUAUCAUAACUGAUUGGAACACCAUACUGCUUUCGAAUGUCUGCUACAAUGUCUUUUGGUCAAAAUUCACAACCAACCCCUUGAUAUGUUUCUUUUAUACUCUUACCAAUCAACCAACUACUUGCAUGUCGAUUGUCACGAGACAUCAUACCUAACCAACAAGUGUGUGUUGAAUAGAAUUUCAUUAUUUGAAACAUAUUGGAAAUCCCCAACUUGGUAGCACGAACUCGCCACUUGCAUUCUUUAUCAAAACAUUCAACAAGCAAUAACUUAGUAGUGGAUUUAGUUGUUUUGAACUCAAACUUCCUUUUCAGAGCCAUCAUAUACAACUUCCUUUAUAAUUCUUUCUUAUUUGAGUAUAUUUGGUGCUCUUCUAGAUGGUCAUCACUAAUUCCACUAACUAUAGGUUGUUGCAUCAUGUUUUGUCUUUCAUUUGCUACAUCUUCGAUUAUAGUGGGAUUGUCAUGUAUGAAACCAUCAUUUGUAUCAAUCAUGGUCAAGAUUUCUGCACUCUGAGUUGAACUAGUUCUGAAUAAGCCAAUUUGGGUCACUUGCUUAUCACUAGUAGGGUUAGUAUUCAUCCUAUAAUCCUCCUCAUUAAUUGCAGUCUCAUUCAUGUUCCAAUCAUGAACUUUAUACCCUUCAAGUGACUCAUUUUGAAAUCUUGGUCCAUUUUCACCAUCAACAGUAAGAGUUUCAACUUAAUCACAAUGAAUGUGUCUACUUUUUUGCAUCAACAUUGAGUCUCCAUUCAAUUCUUUAUCAAUCUCAGAAGGCAUAUGACAUUCAAAAUAAAAAUUGCAAAAUUGAUUUCUGAUUGUGAUUAUCAAUUCUCUUUUCAACUAUGAUGCACAAUGGAACAGACAGCUUACCAUUUGUACAAUUUAAACCAAUAAAGAAUUUCACAUCCCCAUCAUCAGUUAGUUGUAUAAGACUUGUGGGUAUGUUGGCAUUGAAUACAUACUUCAUUGAAAGAAAACAAUUUGUUGGAUCUAGCUUCAAAAUAUGAUGGACAACCCUUAAUAACUCUUUAUAUGAUAUAGUUUUCGGGAUCUCAAUGCCUUUACCUUUACUUCCUUCAAAAUAGAAAACAUUUCCAUCUCGUACCCAUUCUCCUUCAUAUAAAAGCAUUAUUCCUACUUCAUCAACCACUAAAAUAACAAAAUAAUUCAAUUAGUGGCAUCAACAAACAAUAUUAGAAUAUUUUUUAGUUGCAUCAUAGUAUUAGCACCAAUAAGUAGGUAUUAAUUUUAAAAAACUCAUUCAUUAUUAAAUACAUAUUAUUUCAUUACACAUAUUUAUUUUUUUAAUAAACAACAAAUAAAUAACAUUAUUAAUCAUCUUUACUACCUCAAAUAAUACCAAUAAUGCUAAAGAAAUACAAUGUAUAUAGUUAUUAAAUAAAUUCAAACAUUGUAACUCUAAACUAUUUUAAACAAUAAAAAUAUAUUUAUUUACUAAAAGAUUGGUUAUGUUAUAAUUCAUUUAAUGUCAAGGGUAAUUUGCAAAUGAUUCAACUCAAAUUGAGUAUAAUUAAAUAAAAUAACAAUAAUAUAAUGUUACUAUAAAAUAACUAUAUACAAUCUUAACUUACGUCAAGUUUAACUUAACACACGUCAAGUUCAACUUAAUAUCCGUAAGGUUUUGAUAUAUAACUAAAAAAGAUAACUUUAUAAAUUAUAUCAAAACCCUAUUCACACAUAUUUACAUCUAUAUAAAGAACAAAUAUGCAAACAAUACUAAAACCAUCAUAAAAUUCCACAAGUUUUAUUACUUACCAUCAUUUGAUUUUUUCAUAUAGACAAUGUUUCUCCACACUACACUUUUUAAGCUGAUGGUUUCCUUCUUUUAAUCCCUUUUUUCAUGGCUGUAAGUGAUAUUAAAAAAAUUAUAACAAUUUCAAACUUAUUUAAAUAUUUACUACAUCUCAUUAAAUGUUUGAAAAUAUUCAAUAAAUAAAACAUGAAAAAAAAAAUAUGGAAAAAUAAAAAUAAACGUACACUGUUUAUCCAACCACAACUUAAAGCUCUUUAAGUUGAAGAAAUCCGAAGAGAAACUGUGUGAGACUUGAAGAAAUGCACUGAAAAGAGAGAAAUGGAAUAACAGGAGAAAAUGAAAAAAAGGAGAAAGUGGAAGAAAUAAUAAAAAAGAGGUGAAUGGAGGAAAAUAAAAUUAGAAUGGGAGGGGAAAAGGAGUUGAUGUAGCUGAGGAGUAUUUUUGUCCAGAUCGGGUCAUUUUGGAGGCUAUUAAAAGUGGGGGGGUUAGUUUUACAAUAUUGAGGGUUUUUUGUCCCUUUUGAUCAGUUUUCCCUUUUUUUUUGUUGGAUCAUUGUUUUGAUGGUUGUGUUAUUGCUGCAUUUUUAGGGGAAUUUAUAUAACUGGAAGUAGUUUAAUGGGUUAUUUGUUUAAAAGUGCCAAAAUAAGGUGGUAUUUGGAAAAAUGACAUCUGCUUUUUUAAAACCUGAAGAAUGACCCAUUUUGGACUAAAUUACCCCUGAAAAAAAGAGAAACCUUUGAAAUUCAAAAGAUCAUAAAGGAAGAGAAAGAGAACGAACCAAGGGUUCUCUCUUGAAUGGUAUAUUGCAACACACUCUAUGGUCUGCUGAUAUAUAUAUUUUUUUUUUUGCAAAUUUGUGUAUUGUUGUUUAUUAUCUGUGAAAAGGAUUCUGAAAGGAUAUUCAUUUGAUUGAAGUGUGAAUUUUUUUUCUCCAGUUUCUGCAAAAUACGAGAAAGGAAGAGAACGAAAUGAAGUGGAAGAGAACCGAAAAGGAUCUUGAAAAAAAGAGAAAUUUUUGAAAUUCAAAAAAGCAUAAAUGAAGAGAAAGAGAACGAACCAAGGGUUCUCUCUUGAAUGGUAGACUACAACGGACUCUGUGGUCUUCUGAUUUUCUUUUUGUGCAGAUUUGCGUAUUGUUGUUGAUUAUCUGUGUAAAAGGAUUGUAAAAGGUUAUUCAUUUUAUUGAAGUGUGAAUUUUUUUUCUCCAGUUUCUGAAAAAACACUGGAAAGGAAGAGAACGAAGUGGAAAAGAACUGAAAAGGAUCUUGAAAAGUAUGUUUAUUACUUUCAAAUAGUUUGUUUUUUUAGAUUCUUCUCUUUGUUGAUUUCAUAUAUUCGCUUAAGGUGUGUGUUUUCUUUAUGCAUGGUUUCAGAAAAAAUGUGGGAGAAAAUAAUGGGUUUAUACGUUCACUUUUUGUUAAGCAUAAAUAUAAGGGCUUUUCUUAAAUUUGUUAGCAUAUUUCUCUUUGAUUUUGAACUCUGAAAAUACAUUAGUCUACCAAAGAAGAUAUCUAGUUGAUUUGAAAAAAAAUGUCUUUAAUUAGAUUUAUUGGCUAUUUUAUUUUGAUGUUUUGCUCUAGUUGUUAAGAUUUUGAAGCAUGAUGUUGUGGCAAAUGCUCUGUUUCUAUAGUGUAGAAAUCUACUAGAAAAGUGACAAAUGUGUUGACCAAUUUGGUCUUCUAAAGAGUUGAAUCAUAAUAAGAGAAAUAGAAUUUGCCCCCAUUUUGAUAUCUCCUCCCUGGUGAUUGGAAGAAACAUUUCAUUCGUCCCAUAGGAAAAUGAAUUUGUUUCCUUAAACACCCCAUAUGGAGAUAUUGAAGAUGUUGCUGAAGUUUUUUUCCAUGAGCAGUGUUGGAAGAAUGGUUUUGAUUUCUUUUCCAAAAUUCAAAACCCUUUUUUUAGAGUAGUUUUGGCUUCUAUCAUAAAGCGAAAACAAUCUUCUUCUAUGAGCAUUCAUGUCAUUUAUUCUCUUUUUGUGUUGCUUAACUUUUAAGUAAUGGAACCAAUAUGAUAUACAUGAAUAGUCAUUCUUUUCUAUUAAUGACAAAAUUGGAGAUCAUUGUAGUCUUUGCCAAUUGGGUGUCUAGUUUUUUAGCAGUUUGGGAAAAAAAAUCUUUUCCUAUUUGUAGUUCUUUUCCCAAGGGAUAGGAAGUUGAUUUAACUAAAAAUCUCAAUUUUCAUCAAACAAUUUGCAUCUCUUGUCUAUCUACAGUUUCCAUUGUGCUUGUAUAGAUUGAGAAGAAAAUCUCUGCUUUCCCUUGGAUGUGAACCAACAUUAAGAAACACCUCAUCAAGGUCUAAACCUAGUUUGCUUUUACUAUAUCAUAAGUGACAUUUGCUAAAUUUGGGACCUAGUUGGUCCUACAACGCAAACCACAACAUUGAAAUAGUAAUCUCUAACAAAAGUCAUGACAAAAAAUGAUCCCAACUAAGGACUGAAAUAUUAUUCACAACUAAAAUAUUAAGUUAGAUGAUGCAUAUGCAUAGCUAAAAUACUUCUACCAUAUGCUUUAUAUAAGUAAGGAUGGUUCUUUAACAUUGCUAACAUCACAUUUUUUGUGUUCAUGCAGUGGUGAUUGUGGUAUGUUUUUUUUUUUUUUAUCAAAUUUGCAGAAAACCUGAUGCACAACCAUCCAAUGGAUACACUAACAGGCGAGCGAAUGGAUUGGUUUCAUGAGAAGAUGGCAGUGGAGUUAUUUUUCCAUAAAGAACUUCCUGUGUGAUCCUACUAUUGUAAAUGGAUUGUAAUUGAAUAGUGGAAGAUGUUUUUAUGUAAUGACAUUGAAGUUUUUUGUUUAGCAAAUUCCUAAGUUAUAACACGUAUUUAAAUAGUUACAUGUUUUUCAUACAUCCAGAGAAAUGAAUGGUUGCAAUUUUUUUUUUUUUAUAAAUGUGACGAUGUUAUGAUUGUUAACAGGUUUGAAUUUAUUGUAGUAAACAUAACAAUAGAAACUUAUAUUUCAAUGUAGAGCUCAUUUUUUUUUUUGCUCAAACUUAACGAGUGUUAAGUUACUUGUAAAAGAAACUUAACCCUAGUGCAGUUCAGGUGAACAUUCUCAAUUAAAACUUAACUCCUACUAAAUUAUUUAUUAAAAAAACUUAACUACAGUUAAGUUCAGGACAUUUGUUUUAAUUCAAACUUAACGAGUGUUAAGUUACUUGUAAAUUAGACUUAACCCUAGUCCAGUUCAAGUGUAUAUCCUCAAUUGAAUCUUAACUCCUAUUAAGUUCUUUAUUAAAAAAACUUAACUUUAGUUUCGUUCAAGUAAUUUUUUUUAACUGAAACUUAACCACUGUUAAGUUCUUUGGAAAACAAACUUAACCCUAGUACAGUUCAAUUGAAUGUCCUCAAUUGAAACUUAACUCUUACUAAGUUCUUUAGUAAAAAAACUUAACUUCACUUUCAUUCAGGUAAGUUUUUAUAACUUAAACUUAACCAUUGUUAAGUUCUUUGUAAAAGAAACUUAACCUUAGUGCAAUUUAGGUGAAUAUCCUCAAUUAAAGUUAUAUAUAUGAAUGAUCUCAACAUACAUAAUGUGUCUGAUCUUAAUAUCAAUAAAAGAUUAAAACAUUUCCAAAUAUGUAUGAUCAAAUACUAAUGAGACUAGUAUUCCAAAAAAAUAAAGAGUUCACUUGUCAUUUCAAAUGAGUUGGUAUUGAGGGAUGAACUUAAACUUCAUUUUUAAGCUUUAAGUUCAUUCAAUUAAAAGAGACUGAAUCAAAGUACGAUUACAUGUUUUGUGCCCCUAUUCACAAUAUAAAAAAAAAAUUACAAUAUCCAAUCUUUUAUAUGCCCAAUCAUCAUCUACAAAAAACAACAAAAAAUUUACCAUAAAAUUGGCUUAGUGAUAGUUUCAUUCAUUCUCUGAUUGUAAGGAGUAAUCUUGCAUGCCUAUUUCAAUGUGUCCACUAUUAUCAUUCUGAUAAUGCAGGGGAAGUGGUCAUUUGCAUGACUUUUGAUUAUGACCAUAAUCACCACAUCAACCACACCGCCGUCUACGCUUACCCUCUCCACCCGAAGGGAUUCUUUCUUUCCUUGGUCUUCCUGUUGGCCGCCUUGUUUUCGAUGGUAAUACAACUCUACUGCCUAUAUCAUCAGGUAUCAUCCAAUAUGUUUGAUGUCUAGGAGGAUAGAUGGACUCAGCAUAUGAAGAUAAUAAUGAGUUCACUGUGUAAUAUUUGGAGCAUAAAGGAUAACAUGACAUAUGUGUAUAUCUACAAGCAGCAAUAGCAUGUGAACACGAUAUGUGAUCAAGAUCAAAAUGUCAACAUGUGCAUGAAUGAUUAUGUAAAAUUCACAUGAUCACUGACACCAUUAUAUUUAAAAUUAUACUCCAUCGAGUUGAUUGCUUCAACUUCAUAUGUUGAUGAUGUAUUGUACCUUACACGAAGCUCUCCAUCAGCCCAUGUUGUUAGCUCAGUUGUCAUUGACAAUGCUUGUUGUUUACUGUUUGCAAACCAUUUUUGAAGUAAAUUUCUUAACUCUUCAAUUAACUGCAAAAUAGGAAGAUCUCUUGCAUCUCUUGAAUAUUGGGUCCAUAUUGAUUUCUUUCUCAACCCUAGAUAAAGUAUGAGAACCAAAAUCAGUGUUGAUGAUUGAUUCAUACCCAUGAUUGCCACUUAUUUUCUCUAUUGUGAUACAUAAUGGAACUGGCAACUUACCAUUGGUACAAUUUAAACCAAUGAAAAUUUUCACAUCUCCACCAUCUCUUAGUUGUAUAGGAGUGGAUGGUAUAUUGCCAUUGAAUACAUACUUCAUUGAAAGAUUGUGCUAUGUUGGAUCUACUUUCAAAAUGUGACAAACAAUCUUCAAUAAUUCUUCAUAUGUUGUAGUCUUCUUAAGUUCAAUAUCUUUACCUUGGCAACCUUCAAAGUCGUACGUGUUUCCAUUUUGCACCCAAUCUCCUUCAUACAAAAGCAUUAUUCCCACUUCAUCAAUCACUGUAACAAAAAUAAAUAAAUAAAUAAAUUGAAUUAUUGGUACAAAAAAAUAAUAUUAAAAUAGUAGUUAUUUGGAUAAGUAACUCAAUCCUGCAAAGUUGUCGAUUAACAUGUUGAACUGUACUAAACUAUCUUCAAGUUUUAUAUAUAAAGAACUUAACACUAGUUACGUCCAAUUUUUACAUGUUAAAUACAAACUUUACUUUUUCAUACAAAUCUUUUUAACAAAAAAUUUCACUUAUGUUUACUUUAAAAUUUUCAUUUUUUUCCCUACAACCAAAUAAUGUUGAGAAUAGCAAAACUAAAGUAAUUUUUUUUUUCCAAAAUGGGUUUACAUACCUUCAUUCGACCUCACCAUAUGUUUUUCUUUAAAUCUGCUCUGCUUUUAUUACCUUAAUUUUGAUGGCGAGUUGCAGUAAUGGUGUAUAGGGACGUACUCACAAUGUUAGUGAGAGAUAUGCAGACAGAUGUAGUACCGAUGAGAAAGGUAAAACUAAAAUAUUUUGCUUUUGGAGAGAUAUCGUGUCUUUGGUGGGAGAUCUUACUCUUCUUUGUUUCUCUACUUUUUCUGCUUCUCUUCACUCAGUUUUAUUGGUGGGUUACAGAGAUUGUGUAUAGAGAUGUACUCACAGUGUUGGUGAGAGAGAUGUAGUACCGAUGAGAGAGGUAAAACUAAAGUUUUCUGCUUUUGGAGGGAUAUCAUGUAUUUGGAGGGGAUCUUAUGCGUUUUUUGACUGAAAUAAAUAAGGGUAAAAAUGUCCAAAUUAGGUCAUCUCUCAAAACAAUUAAAUAGUGAGGUUACUUUUACAAUUUUAGCUUUAUUUUGAGUCACCUAUCCAAAUAACCCUAGUUUAAUUGGCACUACCAUCAAAGCUCCUCGGAUUACUUCAAAAAAUCUUAUCAAGUGAUUACUUCAACUUUCUUUAUUUAUUUAUUUCUUUUUUUCUCGCUGGUUUUAUGGAUCAUUGAUGUGCUAUUACAUGGACUGGCUUAUUAAUGAGAGGUAACUAACAACUUCCAUAUGUAAAAAAAAAAUUGAAUUAUGCCACCACUUGCUAGAUUGUCCGGGCAUAGGUUACAUGGUCGUAGGAUAAAGCUGAUACGCCUAUUUACCAUCAAUAUCAAUGAGUGUUAAUUCUGAAAUCUUACUGAACAUACAUUUGGACAAAUCAAUAUCAAUAUUUCGGCCAAUAUUUCAGUAUGGUUCAUAUUGAUAUUCUAUAAUAUAUUUGGUAUUCCUAAUUUACUUUGAUGAACUGAAGAUUUUUGUGCUCAUUUCCUAUGCAAUACUUGCUUGUUUUGAGCUUAAUUUGAAGACUCAUUCAAGAUUGCUGCUAAAUUCACAAAGUUUCGGCACUAUAGAAUUGUAAUAGACUUUGUUUUUUUUUUUUUCAUUUGGAUUACAACCUGUUUGUUCCUUUGGAUUAUUCCAGCUACUUCAAUGUGUUGGAAUUCAUUAAUAUUGAAACCCUAGUGUUUUUUAAUGGCCAUUUAUUCUUUUUUUUUUUUGUCUCUUGCAUUGUAGAUAUGUGCCUAGUGGAGUGAAGGCAGGUCCUUAUUAUAAGUUUUUAUGCAUCUUUGAAAUUCUUGUUUUUCUCUAUUGUUGACUAUUCAAGUACUUGAAGUAUUAUCAUCUGUGGUAUGCAUCCUCUUAGAAGAUAUAAGGUCUCUGAAAGGAAGAAAUAGAGUAAUGAAGAAUAUGCAUAAAGCUUUUGGUCAUAACAGUUAAAACAACUAUUGAAAUAGGUCCAGAACUGUAUUUCAAACUAUAAUUCCCUUUGUACUUCAUUUGAAGUUGAUGUUAGACAAUACAAUGCCUGUAAUUGGAAUAAUAAGAACUUCUUAAUUUCUUUGGUUGUAUAGCCCCUAGUCAUGAUCUGAAGGGAAUAUGAUCACAAGUUAUUACAAUUAGUUUAUGAUAAAAAUUGAGACGUGGACAAAAGAAGUUAGAAAAAUAAAUAAUAAUAAUAUUAACGUGGCUGAAUACCAAAGCAAGCUUAAAGUGGCCGAAUACCAAAAAUUGCAUGAAGAAGAAAUAGAGGAAGAGAAAAUUAUUAAGAGUAAAUUGACAAAGUCUACAUAAGCUUAAAGUGGCAGAAAAGUGGCACAAGCUUAAAGUGGCAGAAGAGUGGCACAAGCUUAAAGUGGCUGAAAAGUCUACACAAGCUUAAAGUGGCUGAAUACCAUGCUAAAAAUUCGCAUGAAGAAGAAAUAGAGGAAGAGAAACAAGAACAGAGCAAACUCCUUCACAGUUUUAUCAAAUAAACAAUCUGCUCUAUUUGAUGUAGAGCAUGUUAACAAGAAAUGAGCAAAUUUAUUUGUUGGGAAUACUUUUUGUGAAUAAUUUCAAAUCCAGGGUUGUGAUAAAAGGAAUGAUGAUGGUGCAAGUUUUGGUCCAUAUAAACAAAAGAGUAUAGCUAUAACCUGUGCUAGCCAAUAAUUUAGCAAAACCCCUGUAAGGGUUCCACACAUUUGAGGCAUAAAUCACAUUGGCGAUGCUUUAUAAUUUCACUGUAGGACCUUCCCUGUUUCUUCUGAGUUAAUAUUUACUUAGAACUUGAUGAAACCUCUCUAAUGCUUAUGUGAAUGUCUCACAUUGCCGAUGCUUUGUAAUUUCAUUACAAGAGAAUAGAAAAUGGAUAAACUUCCAACUAUCAGAUUGACUAGGUGUGCUGCAUAUUGAUUAAUUUUAUCCCUGGAAAUUGAAUUCUAAUACCUGUAGCAAGAUAUUUUGGAACAUUUGAAUAUGUGAGGUAUUUGGAACCUUUAACUAGGGCCCUCUAAUCGCUGAUAUUGUAUCUUGCAACUUCAAUUGAUUAAAACCUGAGUUCAUAAAAGAGGCUUGGAUUUGGCAACUUCAGUUGAGUUGGGUUUUAGACAAAUGAGCUUCAUGUUUAGAUUGAGCUUGGAUUGAUUGCCAACCUGAUCCGACCCACCAGAAUUGCACCCUAAAUUUUAUGCCAUCUUAGUAGUAGAGUUUUCAUUCAUUUCCUUAAAUCAGUUCCAACUUUUUCUAUCAACUGAUAAACGAAUUGAUCAAGAAUGCCUAUCAUAAAAAAAGAAAAAAAAAGGAAACGAAUUAGAUACUAAUGGUUCCCUAUUCUUACAGUAUUUUAUACUGGUGUAACUCAUCCAUUAAUAUGUAGUACAACAUAAUAUAUUGAAACUAUUGAACAUGUGAACCUGUCUCAGGUUUUGAGUAACUGGCAAUGUUAAAAGUUUUUGGAAUUUAUUCACAAAUAUACCAGAUAAUAGGAGGAUCUACUGUGUCCCAUAGAGUGCUACUAGCCUACCACAGUAUUCUUUAUCAGUUUUUUAUAUAAAUAAGAUAUUCAACUGCCAGGAUUAAUACAUCUCAAUGGUUAGGAUUUUCACUUAAUCAUUAUACUAUGUUUCUGUUUAUGUUGCCUUGCUUUCAAUCAAAAAGUGGUGUGUUAAGUUUGCUUAUUAUCAUAUUAUCAUUUAAGCUCUGUCUCUCUGUCUCUCUUUUUUUUCUCUCUCCUUGCACCCCGUUUCUCAUUUAUUGGAAUGUGAGGGAACAAUUUUGUUGACUUCUGGUCAAAUCUGAGUGAUAUUAACAUUCUGAUUCUAGUGUUCUUUAGCUUUCAGCAUCAUUCUGCUGGAAAUUAUAGUUGAUAUAAAGUUGUUUAUUGUCUAAUUGUUUGACCUGUUAUGUUCUCAAAUCAGUUGUCUACUCUCUUAUGUCUUCAAACAAUUUCUUUGUAUAGGUUUGAGUAUCGAACAACUGGAGAGACUUGCUAAUCCAGGAUUUGCAAUUCCACUAGUUUUUUUUUUCUUUUUUUUUUAUGAUCAAACAAGCUAAUACAUUAAUCUAAUUCCAAUUAAUUUGCUUGAGUGAGACUGGUUGUUUUAGCAUGCAAUACAUGAUAAGUUUUUAGUAAAAAAUCUUUAGUUUUUGUUGACUUUAUUGCAUAGGUCUUAUUUGGUAGAUUUCUUUGUACUUUUAAGAUAAUAACUACUAUGUUUUCUUCUUUUUGCAGCGAACAAAAAGGUUUCAGCUAACAAAUUGAAACAACAGGCAGUCAAGGCUUCCUACGAACAUGAAAGACAAAAUAUGUUGAAACUUCUCAAUCAAUACCUUCUUAUUCUUACCCAAAUGGGGGUAUUAUUUCUUCCAUGGUUUUAAAAACCGGACCAGACCGGCCGGUCCGACCGGUCGAACCGUCGACCGGUGAAUUUUCCGGUUCGGUCCGUUUCAAUAAACCGUUUGUGGUUGAACCGGCAUUGAACCGGUCAAACCGACGGUUGAACCGUCGAACCGGACAAACCGUCCGGUUUUUUGCAAACCGGUUACACCUUAGAAACAAUUUUUUGUUUACCAUGUAAAAGGCCCAUUCCAGGCCCAAUCUAAGGCAUUCCCUUCUCCAGGUCCCUAGACCUUAUGCAAAGAUAAAAUUAACACUUUAUAUGGGCCAUGCCCACAGAAACCCAAUUUGAAGCCAUUUUUUAUUUUAAAAUAUCACUUCAACUUGGGCCAUGCUUCCGGGCCAGGCUUCGAGGCCCAACUUGGUGGCUUGUUUGGACUUGAAGGCAAGUGGGAAGCUAUUUAUAGAGCACAUGGAGCACAUAAAAUUCUUGUGCUUCCGAUGUGGGAUUGGGAAUGAGACUCAUUAGAAGAAAACAUUGCCUCUUGAGGGUUGGACGCACGGAAUUUGAUUUUAUUUCAAAUUUUUAUCAUAUAAAAUCUUUAAAAAAAAUGUAAAUAUUUAAAUUCAUGUUUAUUUUUAUAAUAAUAAUAAUAUAAUAAUUAUAAAAAAUAAUAUAAAUUAAUUAAUAUAAUAAUUUUAAAACAAUAAAAUACAAAGACAAAAAGAUAAAAUUAAAUAUUAUAAAUUUUUUUUAUCUUAAAUAUAUAUUCUUUCUUAAAUAUUACUUAUUUCUAUUUAAUCAAAUUUAAAAUAUUAAACUUUAUCACUUAAUUUAAUUUAAUAUACCAAAUAUAAAAAUCAAACAUUAUUAAAAUUUGUAAUUUUAUAUAUUUUUAAUUUUUAUAAUUAUUUUAAAUUUUAUAUAAUAUAUAAAUUAUAUAUUUAAUUAUUUAUUACAUCACCGGUUCAAUAGCGGUUCGACCAGUGAACCGUGAACCGGUAACUUUUCCGGUUCGAUCACCGGUCUGGUUUUUAAAACAUUGAUUUCUUCUCAUUAUUUUCCUUGUUAAUUUGGUUACAAUUGAAGUGCAUUGCAUUAGUAUUGAGUCCAUAGUUUUGAUUCUUAUUCCGUUGGUUUUGAACUUUGAAGUUUAAUUAGACAGUGUAACAUGUCCAAAAGAAAAACAGUAGAAAGUUCAAAAUUCUAAACCAUGUUUACUUCAUCUUGGAGAUCCUCCUACAAGACUAAUUUCCACCCAAAUGAUUAGAUGUUGUUAAAUAUUAUUUGACUAUGUGGCUAAUUUCUAUAGGUGCGGCCUUAUAAAAUGUGGAUUGAAAUGGAAAAUAUUGAGAAAAGGAUUGUAGAAAUCAUUGCUCAGAAUAAUAUAAAAUGGCUUGUUAUGGGAGCUGCAGCAGAUAAAUAUUAUUCAAAGUAUUAACCAUCUAUUACAAGUUCUUAUUGUUGAUUGCAUUGAUUUAUUUGAUAUUGUUGUAGAAUUACUCGAGGCUUCUACCCUAGACAUUUGAGAUAAAAGUUUUGUUGAAUUUAGUGGAAUUUCUUGAAGCUUCUACAAGAACUAUCCAAUAUUAGUGCACAAGUAUUGUUGCUCUGUAGGAGGCCUCUUGAUAUAGCCUAGUCAGUUAUACAUUGCUAUGAAGAUUAACCCAAUUUUAAGUCAUCAAAAAUCAGCUCAUUGUAGUGUUAUACUUUUCUUUUCAGCAUUUGAGGAAUUAAAUUGGCAGACAUAUCUUUUCAAUAUAUUUCUCAGGCAGUUGAUAAAGUUGGGUUAUUUCUUUUAUGUGUUAGAAUCAAUGUUGCUCCGACGCUUCAAAAAAUAUGAUACAUGUAAUGGGGUAUGGAUUGUGAGCUAUCGAUAGGAGCAUCCAUCAAAGAAAAGAGGAACACAUUCCUAGUAUACAGGAAGUUCCACAGUAUACUUUCUUAAUUUGUUCCUCUUUUGAAUUAUAUUUCAAAACAAGAAAAGCACUCACAUUGCAGAUGCUAUGUUAUUUUAACAAAUCAUUUACCCAAGCUAUGAAAAAAAAAAAAAAAAAGAAGGAAAAUUGGAUGCUUUGAUAAUUUAGCCAUGUCUUUAUAUUUGAGGAUUAGAUGAAUUGAUACCUGAACACAUUGGAGAUUGAUAAAACUUAUGUAUCUAAUUGAGAAACUUAUUGGUGUUAGAAUUAUAGUCUUAUUGUGAACCUUUAAUAUCACUGCCUUCUAACUAGAUAACUUCAUCCUCUUAGUUAUUUAAUAUUUUAGAAGUAUGAAUUCUGUAAAAGAAUUUGAAGACUGUAGCCUAUAACAGCAUGAUUGAGAAUGAAAAUUUCAGCAAAAGGAAGAAAAUGUUUAUUUAAAGUUAAGUCGCUUGUUGUCGUGAUUUUAACUCAAGGCAUUAGCUUUGGUAUGUGCUUGUCCAAUUAAUUAUAAUUAAGGUAUUGUUUUUAGGCUGAUAACAUUAAAAUGCCCUGAUAACCUUAAAAUGUGCAGAUAUCAAAAUAGCUAAAACUUAUACCAAUUUAAUUGAACUUGCAUUUGCUUUCAGUUUCUAAAUUUACUGAUCCAAACUCAUGAAGAUUGCAAGAAAAUGGUUGAGGUCAAGUCCUUUAGAGAAGAAAGCGGAGCCUGAGACAUCUUUUAAAAUUUUGACCAACCCAGCGAGGGUGGUUCCUGCUCAGGAGAAGUUCAUUAAAUUUUUAAAAGAAACCAAAUAUGUCCUAGGGGAAAAACUCAUAAAGAAAGAAAAAAAUUUGCAUUUGUGUUGAGCUAGUACAAUAUGAUUAGAUUCUGUAACUCUUUUGUAUUAGUGAACUAUGUUUUGGUUCUUCACUUACCUUACCACCCUCUCCCCCAUAUUUCUCAUAAGCAAAAUAAUGCUCUCAAAUCUCUCCCUCAUUGUAACUGUGUAAAUGUGGAUCUAAUUGAAAUCGGUCUUAUUUGUUUCAAUCCAGUAACUUGAUUUUUCUUCCUAUUUUUUAUGAUGGGUUAUGAUGUUGAAUGAUGCUUAUAUGAUAGAGUGUGAAGCAAAUACUUUUGUGUGCAAAAUUAGGGAUAAAUAGUUUUCAUUGAAAACAAAUCUCUACUCUUUAGUGCUUUAAACUUUUUCAUUUCUUUCACUUUGCUGAGAAAUUAAUGUUUGGGAUUCACUUGGUUGUAUGUGUCUGUGUGGAGAAUUGAACAUUACAUGGGUACCUCUCUACAAAGAUGCUCCGGAACAAUUGGAAGACAACAACUUUAGAUAAUCUUUUUGGUUCCCAAUCACACACCACCACAAGAACAGAAUCUCAGAUAAGAGAUGAUGAACUCUUGAGCAAUUUUUUAUUUUGUUUUCGCCAAUAGGAAUAUCUAUGAUGGUAUUGAUAGGGAAAAAAAUAGAUACAUUUUCCAUAGAUAUAAUUGUCAGCUUUAUAUUUCAAAUAAAAUAGAUUCCAAAGCUUAUGAUGUGUCUAAAAUUUGAAAUUUAUCUAAUGUUAUGACCUUUAAUGAACAAAUUGUCUUAUGCUUAAAAUGAUUGAGUGAGCAUUUUCAGUUUAACAAAGCUGAUAAUAAUAAUCACAGAGGUCCUUCUUCACACUACGACAUAUACAUUCUACACGUUGAUAUUCAUAACACAUUUCCAGAACCUAUGUUAAGCUAGAUAUUAUAAUAAGCAAAACACAUGCUACAAAGAAACCAACAAAGAAAGUGAUUACAUAUAGAUAUGAAAUAAUUUAGAAGGGAUGUUGAUCAUGAAUUGGAAGUUCAAACUUUGGUUUGCUAGCUGUUGAACUUUCAUCACUUCUCUUCCAUCUUGGUGCAUAAAACACCCAAGCUCGGACAGUUUCCUCUCUAGAAGUAUAUGAUUUGUAAAAACUCCCCUUAUAAAGAAGGACAUUCUUUUGACAUUCGGCCCAUGAAUUGUACACUCCAUGUCUACGACCGAAAAACACUACAUAGUAUGUUUGAUUGUUCGUCAUCUGAUGACAUAAUUGCUGUUGGUUAAUUUUUGAUAAUCAAACAAGUAAUAAAUAUUGAAAAAUAUAGUACAAAACAUAUAUAAUUCACAUAUGUGUACCACAUUCUAGGAUAAUAACAGUCAUAACAAACUACAAAAUUUAAAAUAUAACAAGUUAUGUUCAGGAAGGAAGGUUCGAGGCUUGGGAAAGGUAGACCCUAACUUCAACUCAGGUAGUACCUAAGGUCCCUUAAGGUAGUACCUAAGGUACAUUAAGGUAGUACCUAAGGGCUAUUAAGGUAGUACCUAAGGGCCAUUAAGGUAGUACCUAAAGGCCAUUAAGGUAGUACCUAAGGUAUAGUCCCAAAAAACCAAAGGUGAACCACUUGACCACACAAGAAAAUCACAUAAUGACAUGGUUUAAGGGUUAGAAAGGCAGGUUCGAGGCUUGGGAAAAGUAGACCCCAACUUUAACUAAGGUAGUACCUAAGGUCCAUUAAGGUGGUACCUAAGGUACAUUAAGGUAGUACCUAAGGGCUAUUAAGGUAGUAUCUAAGGUACAGUCCUAAAAAACCAAAGCUGAACCACUUGACCACACAAGAGAAUCACAUAAUGGCAUGGUCUAAGGGUCACAAAGGAAGGUCCGAGGCUUGGGAAAGGUAGACCCCAACUUUAACUAAGGUAGUACCUAAGGUCCCUUAAAGUAGUACCUAAGAUACAUUAAGGUACUAGCUAAGGGCUAUUAAGGUACUAGCUAAGGGCUAUUAAGGUAGUACCUAAGGUACAAUCNNNNNNNNNNNNNNNNNNNNNNNNNNNNNNNNNNNNNNNNNNNNNNNNNNNNNNNNNNNNNNNNNNNNNNNNNNNNNNNNNNNNNNNNNNNNNNNNNNNNNNNNNNNNNNNNNNNNNNNNNNNNNNNNNNNNNNNNNNNNNNNNNNNNNNNNNNNNNNNNNNNNNNNNNNNNNNNNNNNNNNNNNNNNNNNNNNNNNNNNNNNNNNNNNNNNNNNNNNNNNNNNNNNNNNNNNNNNNNNNNNNNNNNNNNNNNNNNNNNNNNNNNNNNNNNNNNNNNNNNNNNNNNNNNNNNNNNNNNNNNNNNNNNNNNNNNNNNNNNNNNNNNNNNNNNNNNNNNNNNNNNNNNNNNNNNNNNNNNNNNNNNNNNNNNNNNNNNNNNNNNNNNNNNNNNNNNNNNNNNNNNNNNNNNNNNNNNNNNNNNNNNNNNNNNNNNNNNNNNNNNNNNNNNNNNNNNNNNNNNNNNNNNNNNNNNNNNNNNNNNNNNNNNNNNNNNNNNNNNNNNNNNNNNNNNNNNNNNNNNNNNNNNNNNNNNNNNNNNNNNNNNNNNNNNNNNNNNNNNNNNNNNNNNNNNNNNNNNNNNNNNNNNNNNNNNNNNNNNNNNNNNNNNNNNNNNNNNNNNNNNNNNNNNNNNNNNNNNNNNNNNNNNNNNNNNNNNNNNNNNNNNNNNNNNNNNNNNNNNNNNNNNNNNNNNNNNNNNNNNNNNNNNNNNNNNNNNNNNNNNNNNNNNNNNNNNNNNNNNNNNNNNNNNNNNNNNNNNNNNNNNNNNNNNNNNNNNNNNNNNNNNNNNNNNNNNNNNNNNNNNNNNNNNNNNNNNNNNNNNNNNNNNNNNNNNNNNNNNNNNNNNNNNNNNNNNNNNNNNNNNNNNNNNNNNNNNNNNNNNNNNNNNNNNNNNNNNNNNNNNNNNNNNNNNNNNNNNNNNNNNNNNNNNNNNNNNNNNNNNNNNNNNNNNNNNNNNNNNNNNNNNNNNNNNNNNNNNNNNNNNNNNNNNNNNNNNNNNNNNNNNNNNNNNNNNNNNNNNNNNNNNNNNNNNNNNNNNNNNNNNNNNNNNNNNNNNNNNNNNNNNNNNNNNNNNNNNNNNNNNNNNNNNNNNNNNNNNNNNNNNNNNNNNNNNNNNNNNNNNNNNNNNNNNNNNNNNNNNNNNNNNNNNNNNNNNNNNNNNNNNNNNNNNNNNNNNNNNNNNNNNNNNNNNNNNNNNNNNNNNNNNNNNNNNNNNNNNNNNNNNNNNNNNNNNNNNNNNNNNNNNNNNNNNNNNNNNNNNNNNNNNNNNNNNNNNNNNNNNNNNNNNNNNNNNNNNNNNNNNNNNNNNNNNNNNNNNNNNNNNNNNNNNNNNNNNNNNNNNNNNNNNNNNNNNNNNNNNNNNNNNNNNNNNNNNNNNNNNNNNNNNNNNNNNNNNNNNNNNNNNNNNNNNNNNNNNNNNNNNNNNNNNNNNNNNNNNNNNNNNNNNNNNNNNNNNNNNNNNNNNNNNNNNNNNNNNNNNNNNNNNNNNNNNNNNNNNNNNNNNNNNNNNNNNNNNNNNNNNNNNNNNNNNNNNNNNNNNNNNNNNNNNNNNNNNNNNNNNNNNNNNNNNNNNNNNNNNNNNNNNNNNNNNNNNNNNNNNNNNNNNNNNNNNNNNNNNNNNNNNNNNNNNNNNNNNNNNNNNNNNNNNNNNNNNNNNNNNNNNNNNNNNNNNNNNNNNNNNNNNNNNNNNNNNNNNNNNNNNNNNNNNNNNNNNNNNNNNNNNNNNNNNNNNNNNNNNNNNNNNNNNNNNNNNNNNNNNNNNNNNNNNNNNNNNNNNNNNNNNNNNNNNNNNNNNNNNNNNNNNNNNNNNNNNNNNNNNNNNNNNNNNNNNNNNNNNNNNNNNNNNNNNNNNNNNNNNNNNNNNNNNNNNNNNNNNNNNNNNNNNNNNNNNNNNNNNNNNNNNNNNNNNNNNNNNNNNNNNNNNNNNNNNNNNNNNNNNNNNNNNNNNNNNNNNNNNNNNNNNNNNNNNNNNNNNNNNNNNNNNNNNNNNNNNNNNNNNNNNNNNNNNNNNNNNNNNNNNNNNNNNNNNNNNNNNNNNNNNNNNNNNNNNNNNNNNNNNNNNNNNNNNNNNNNNNNNNNNNNNNNNNNNNNNNNNNNNNNNNNNNNNNNNNNNNNNNNNNNNNNNNNNNNNNNNNNNNNNNNNNNNNNNNNNNNNNNNNNNNNNNNNNNNNNNNNNNNNNNNNNNNNNNNNNNNNNNNNNNNNNNNNNNNNNNNNNNNNNNNNNNNNNNNNNNNNNNNNNNNNNNNNNNNNNNNNNNNNNNNNNNNNNNNNNNNNNNNNNNNNNNNNNNNNNNNNNNNNNNNNNNNNNNNNNNNNNNNNNNNNNNNNNNNNNNNNNNNNNNNNNNNNNNNNNNNNNNNNNNNNNNNNNNNNNNNNNNNNNNNNNNNNNNNNNNNNNNNNNNNNNNNNNNNNNNNNNNNNNNNNNNNNNNNNNNNNNNNNNNNNNNNNNNNNNNNNNNNNNNNNNNNNNNNNNNNNNNNNNNNNNNNNNNNNNNNNNNNNNNNNNNNNNNNNNNNNNNNNNNNNNNNNNNNNNNNNNNNNNNNNNNNNNNNNNNNNNNNNNNNNNNNNNNNNNNNNNNNNNNNNNNNNNNNNNNNNNNNNNNNNNNNNNNNNNNNNNNNNNNNNNNNNNNNNNNNNNNNNNNNNNNNNNNNNNNNNNNNNNNNNNNNNNNNNNNNNNNNNNNNNNNNNNNNNNNNNNNNNNNNNNNNNNNNNNNNNNNNNNNNNNNNNNNNNNNNNNNNNNNNNNNNNNNNNNNNNNNNNNNNNNNNNNNNNNNNNNNNNNNNNNNNNNNNNNNNNNNNNNNNNNNNNNNNNNNNNNNNNNNNNNNNNNNNNNNNNNNNNNNNNNNNNNNNNNNNNNNNNNNNNNNNNNNNNNNNNNNNNNNNNNNNNNNNNNNNNNNNNNNNNNNNNNNNNNNNNNNNNNNNNNNNNNNNNNNNNNNNNNNNNNNNNNNNNNNNNNNNNNNNNNNNNNNNNNNNNNNNNNNNNNNNNNNNNNNNNNNNNNNNNNNNNNNNNNNNNNNNNNNNNNNNNNNNNNNNNNNNNNNNNNNNNNNNNNNNNNNNNNNNNNNNNNNNNNNNNNNNNNNNNNNNNNNNNNNNNNNNNNNNNNNNNNNNNNNNNNNNNNNNNNNNNNNNNNNNNNNNNNNNNNNNNNNNNNNNNNNNNNNNNNNNNNNNNNNNNNNNNNNNNNNNNNNNNNNNNNNNNNNNNNNNNNNNNNNNNNNNNNNNNNNNNNNNNNNNNNNNNNNNNNNNNNNNNNNNNNNNNNNNNNNNNNNNNNNNNNNNNNNNNNNNNNNNNNNNNNNNNNNNNNNNNNNNNNNNNNNNNNNNNNNNNNNNNNNNNNNNNNNNNNNNNNNNNNNNNNNNNNNNNNNNNNNNNNNNNNNNNNNNNNNNNNNNNNNNNNNNNNNNNNNNNNNNNNNNNNNNNNNNNNNNNNNNNNNNNNNNNNNNNNNNNNNNNNNNNNNNNNNNNNNNNNNNNNNNNNNNNNNNNNNNNNNNNNNNNNNNNNNNNNNNNNNNNNNNNNNNNNNNNNNNNNNNNNNNNNNNNNNNNNNNNNNNNNNNNNNNNNNNNNNNNNNNNNNNNNNNNNNNNNNNNNNNNNNNNNNNNNNNNNNNNNNNNNNNNNNNNNNNNNNNNNNNNNNNNNNNNNNNNNNNNNNNNNNNNNNNNNNNNNNNNNNNNNNNNNNNNNNNNNNNNNNNNNNNNNNNNNNNNNNNNNNNNNNNNNNNNNNNNNNNNNNNNNNNNNNNNNNNNNNNNNNNNNNNNNNNNNNNNNNNNNNNNNNNNNNNNNNNNNNNNNNNNNNNNNNNNNNNNNNNNNNNNNNNNNNNNNNNNNNNNNNNNNNNNNNNNNNNNNNNNNNNNNNNNNNNNNNNNNNNNNNNNNNNNNNNNNNNNNNNNNNNNNNNNNNNNNNNNNNNNNNNNNNNNNNNNNNNNNNNNNNNNNNNNNNNNNNNNNNNNNNNNNNNNNNNNNNNNNNNNNNNNNNNNNNNNNNNNNNNNNNNNNNNNNNNNNNNNNNNNNNNNNNNNNNNNNNNNNNNNNNNNNNNNNNNNNNNNNNNNNNNNNNNNNNNNNNNNNNNNNNNNNNNNNNNNNNNNNNNNNNNNNNNNNNNNNNNNNNNNNNNNNNNNNNNNNNNNNNNNNNNNNNNNNNNNNNNNNNNNNNNNNNNNNNNNNNNNNNNNNNNNNNNNNNNNNNNNNNNNNNNNNNNNNNNNNNNNNNNNNNNNNNNNNNNNNNNNNNNNNNNNNNNNNNNNNNNNNNNNNNNNNNNNNNNNNNNNNNNNNNNNNNNNNNNNNNNNNNNNNNNNNNNNNNNNNNNNNNNNNNNNNNNNNNNNNNNNNNNNNNNNNNNNNNNNNNNNNNNNNNNNNNNNNNNNNNNNNNNNNNNNNNNNNNNNNNNNNNNNNNNNNNNNNNNNNNNNNNNNNNNNNNNNNNNNNNNNNNNNNNNNNNNNNNNNNNNNNNNNNNNNNNNNNNNNNNNNNNNNNNNNNNNNNNNNNNNNNNNNNNNNNNNNNNNNNNNNNNNNNNNNNNNNNNNNNNNNNNNNNNNNNNNNNNNNNNNNNNNNNNNNNNNNNNNNNNNNNNNNNNNNNNNNNNNNNNNNNNNNNNNNNNNNNNNNNNNNNNNNNNNNNNNNNNNNNNNNNNNNNNNNNNNNNNNNNNNNNNNNNNNNNNNNNNNNNNNNNNNNNNNNNNNNNNNNNNNNNNNNNNNNNNNNNNNNNNNNNNNNNNNNNNNNNNNNNNNNNNNNNNNNNNNNNNNNNNNNNNNNNNNNNNNNNNNNNNNNNNNNNNNNNNNNNNNNNNNNNNNNNNNNNNNNNNNNNNNNNNNNNNNNNNNNNNNNNNNNNNNNNNNNNNNNNNNNNNNNNNNNNNNNNNNNNNNNNNNNNNNNNNNNNNNNNNNNNNNNNNNNNNNNNNNNNNNNNNNNNNNNNNNNNNNNNNNNNNNNNNNNNNNNNNNNNNNNNNNNNNNNNNNNNNNNNNNNNNNNNNNNNNNNNNNNNNNNNNNNNNNNNNNNNNNNNNNNNNNNNNNNNNNNNNNNNNNNNNNNNNNNNNNNNNNNNNNNNNNNNNNNNNNNNNNNNNNNNNNNNNNNNNNNNNNNNNNNNNNNNNNNNNNNNNNNNNNNNNNNNNNNNNNNNNNNNNNNNNNNNNNNNNNNNNNNNNNNNNNNNNNNNNNNNNNNNNNNNNNNNNNNNNNNNNNNNNNNNNNNNNNNNNNNNNNNNNNNNNNNNNNNNNNNNNNNNNNNNNNNNNNNNNNNNNNNNNNNNNNNNNNNNNNNNNNNNNNNNNNNNNNNNNNNNNNNNNNNNNNNNNNNNNNNNNNNNNNNNNNNNNNNNNNNNNNNNNNNNNNNNNNNNNNNNNNNNNNNNNNNNNNNNNNNNNNNNNNNNNNNNNNNNNNNNNNNNNNNNNNNNNNNNNNNNNNNNNNNNNNNNNNNNNNNNNNNNNNNNNNNNNNNNNNNNNNNNNNNNNNNNNNNNNNNNNNNNNNNNNNNNNNNNNNNNNNNNNNNNNNNNNNNNNNNNNNNNNNNNNNNNNNNNNNNNNNNNNNNNAGGUAGUACCUAAGGUACAAUCCCAAAAAACCAAAGGUGAAUCACUUGAUCACACAAGAGAAUAAUAUAAUUGCAUGAUCUAAGGGUCACAAAGGAAGGACCGAGGUUUGGAAAAGGUAGAACCUAACUUUAACUAAGGUAGUACCUAAGGUCCCUUAAGGUAGUACCUAAGGUACAUUAAGGUAGUACCUCAGGGCUAUUAAGGUAGUACCUAAGGUACAGUCCCAAAAAAUCGAAGGUGAAUCACUUGACCACACAAGAGAAUCAUAUAAUGGCAUGGUCUAAGGGGCACAAAGGAAGGUCCGAGGCUUGGGAAAGGUAGAUGGACAUGUCCAUGAUAACAACUUACAAAGAAUUUUUUAAUUAUAUGUAUUUUUCUCUGGCAUUUAGAUGGACAUGUCCAGUGUGCUCUUUUUCCACAAAGGAGCAUACAAUAGGUCACAUGAACUCCACAUCUUUUUCCUAUUGUUCUAGGAUAAUGGUGGCAAGAGCAAGUCUAUAUGCUGUAGAUCUAAGAUUCCUAACCAGGACAUAUAUCUCAUUUCUCCUUUCCUUCAUGGGCAUCUCAUUUCGCUGCCUACUCUUCUCUAAGACGAGCAAAUAAGAUUGCUUCACAAAGAGCCUCUGUCUUAAGCUUCUUGCUGCACAUGGAUGGAUACCAAACAUAAAAUAAUAUGAUAUGAAAUUUACAGAUAAAAUAAAUAGAAGUCAGACAGCAACAAUAAAGCAGAAAACAUGAAAACCAACCUUCCUCGUACAAAACCAGUUGUAACCCCAGCAUCAUAUAAGACAAGGAUAUAUAUAUAUUUAAGAGUUGAGCAUCAUACAUGCACACUAACAGUACAGAGGGAUAAUAUUGAUAAGUAUUCACUUUUUUAAGCUAUCAUAUAGGAAGAGUUUAUUCACAAGCUACUCUUCAUAACAAGUAAGCACAUAGAGUCUUCAAAAGGGGGAAAAAAAAUCAAAGAUAAAUAAUCUCUAUAGUUUACCAGUUUUUGACAAGCAAAUUUCAAAGCAUCACAUCCUUCAUUGAAAGCUGAGGCAUGCAUCCACACCCAUAGUUGGCGGAAGGAAGAAAAACACUCAUUUGUCUGUGUGUUGUUAACAGAAUCAACAUCAUGUUCUGCUCCAAUACCUAUAUCAUUUUUCUGUAUGGGUCUCCACAUAUAGGUUACAGGGGCGAUUGAUUUAGAACCUGAUGCUCCAACAUGAUGAAGCUACAAAAAAAAAAAAAAAAAAAAAGGAAAGUCUAUCCAUAUGUUUGUUUCAUCAUUCUUGAAUUGAAGAAGGUGCAACAACCUACCAUAGCCCUUCCAUGGGCAGCUCCAGAAAGCCCAGAACAUAAAAUAUCCUUAGAGUGAGCUGAUGGAGAAGGCCUUAAUACCAUGCCUAGAAUUGAAAGAAAUGAAUCCUGGAAGCAUAUAACAUAAUGAACUAAGUUUACUUAUGCAAAAGAAAAGAAAAACCGAAAGCAUUGAAAUACCAUUUCCAGGCAUACGGUACUAAAAUAAAAAUACUGCUGAAGUAACAAAUUAAGAGACAAAGCUACAAUUGAAAUGGUUGUGAUUACAAAGAAAUGAUUUAUACCUCUGGACCCUCCAAUUGUAGGGCAAUGUGGUAGCAAGCUUCAUGUACAAGAGUUCCAUGUCUGAACCACUUUAAGAGAGCCCUUGAACCCCUUCCUCUGCAUCAUUUUAGGUAAAAAUUGUCCAAAUCAAUUCUUUCUCAUAUACUCAAAGAACAAAUGGAAGUUGAAAUAAAAAUGUGAAAAGGGUAACCCAAAUUGGUUCUUUAUCUAAGAGACCUCUCCAUGAAAAAGAGCUCCCCAGGUUAAUGGAUGUUUGCAAAGUAAUUCCACUACAAACCCAAAUCUAAACAUAUUAAGGCUCCAUUUCAGUCUUCAAGAUUUGAAGGAAAGUACCCUUUGAAUCUCAGAAAGUUUGAGACAAGUACAGGGAACAAAAAGGAGAAAAUCAAGAAAAGAAAAAAGGUUUAAACUAAAUAAAAAUUUUCAUAUCUUUUAUGAACGUAUAAAAUUUUAGAUAAUUCGAAUUUGGAAUUUCUUCCCAAAUUUGUUCCCUUUUCAAUACCAAAUGGCCCAAGAAGAAUCUCCAAACAAAGACUAGAAUGCAUUACCUGCCUUGCAAACCCACAGGUAGGUAGAAACCCCAAAACUUUGUCAUUGUAAAGCGCUUUGCAUGCCAAACAUGGGUUCUCAGCCUCUUGGUACCAUCCCCGGAAGUGGAGUAACCAUGUUCGGUGUUUCUUCUCAAUUCAACUCGCCGACGAAUACGACGAGGAACUUUCUUGUCAUCUUUCUCCGAAGUCGCAACUUUGCCUUUAUCAACCACCCCUAUUUUCUCCCUAUUUCUGAAUCUCUUGUUUGCAUCUCUGUUAUCAUGCCCAGUGGUCCUUCUUCUCUUGUUUCUUUGAGAUCGGAAAUUGUUGUUCAGCCGAUUUGCCACAAUUGAGUGAAGAGCCUCAAGUUCAGCAGCUCGGGAUUCUGCAAAUUUCUCAACAUUGAGACUUCCUGGAGGUGGGGCUAUCGAUGAUCGUUUGAAACCAUCAGUAGCCAUUUCUAGGAAUAACACCCAAAUAGAGAUCAGGAAUGGCGGCGGCAGUAUGGCUGAAACGGUGAGUGGUGCCGGUGUUUUUUGAAUGGAGAUGCGUUUGUGUUAAUGGGGCUGAGUGAAGGCGGCGGUGAUUAGGAUGACGGCUGAGCAGCACCGGCGAGUUUUCUAGAAACCUGGAUUUUUGGCGGCAGCCCUGGCCAGAACGGAAACCAUUCUUUAGUUUAUUGUAAGUUAACUACCAACCCGGAAUCAAGAGAGAAUUAGUUAAGUUUCGAAUUGUUCUACUGACAUGGGGAAGAUUUGCCGAUGACAUAGAGAAAUUUAGGGGCAAUCUGGGAAGAGGAAAGUAAACAGCAAAUUGCGUAUUAUUUUACCUAUUAAUAGUUGGAUCUCAUAUUUCAUAUAUUCGGAUUUUCAAAAUCAUAUAUUUUCCACAUCAGAAUGCCAAAACACAAGUUUCUCCCAUAUCUUUUUUUUUCUCUCUCCUUGGUGGAAAAUAGUAUAUGUAAAUUUUUUAUUUUUUUCUGUUUUAUUUUUUUUAAUUUGAAAAAUAAAAUAAAAUAGUAAAAUUUAGUAUAGGAAGUACUACAAAAAGGAAAAAAAAAAUCUCAACUUUUUUGUUUGAUAAUUUUUGCCCAAAAAAAAAUAUAAUAAUAAUAAAUUUGAAGAAAUAUAUGAGAAAAUUUUAGUGGGUUUAAACUAUUUUUUCAUUUUUUUUUUCACUCUCUUCUUGUAGAUUUCUUUUCCUUGAGAUUUUUGGGCUCAAAUUUUCCCUACUAAUUGUAAUCCUAUAAUUUGGAUAAUAUGACACAUCACAAAUUGAAGAAUUUUGUUUAUAUUUGCAUGGUGGAUUUUAUUAUAAGUCAAAAUGGAUUAAUAGCUUAUUUGAGAUAAUAAGUGAAAAUAGUUUUUUUAAAGACAGAUUUUAAAACAAAAAUAAUAAAUGUAUUCAUUUUUAGUCAUUUUAAAAUUUCUCUUAUGUUAUAAGUACAAGCUAAACUAAAGAGGAUCUAUUGCUUCAUUGAAUGGAAAGAAAACACAUAAAUGGAGGAUCUCAAUUAUUAAAAUAUGACUAUCAUGAAAGGCUCAAAAUUAAUAGAAGUUUUAAAAAUGUUAAAAGUAGAUUAAAAAAAUGUCCUUUGUUGAUGUUUUCUGAUAUAUUGUUUAAAAAAGAAAAAUUGUUUUUAAGUUAAAGGAAUAAAAGAAAAACAAAUUUUAGUAUUUUCUAAAGACAAGGUUUUUGAUAAAUUAUUUUUAAAAACACUUUUCAAAUAACAAAAAAGAAAGAAAAAUUUUGAUUAAUAGAUUUUAAAAAUAAUUUUCCUCUUUUGAUUUUUCAAAAAAAUAUGUAAUAUUAAUUAAAUUUAACUAACACUUACCAAAUAUAAAAAUAAUUUUAUAAUUACAAAUUAAUCAUAUAUAUUAAUAAAAUCUAGAUAGUAAUAUUAUAAUAAAAUUAUACAUUAUAUAUCUUUAAUUUAAAAAAAAUGAUACAAUUUUAAUAUCUAUUAUUAAAAUAUGGAUAUUAACCUAUUCAUAAAAGCAUAAUUGAUUUUUUUAUUAACAAUAUAAUGAUAAUAGCCUUUUAGUUAAAAUGAAUUUAAAAUUUUAAAAAUUAUUUUUUUAAUAUAUAAAUAAGUCUAAGUUUUUCAUGAUUCAUUAAAUCUCAUUUGAUUUAGAGAAUAUAUUUAGUUAGUGAAAUUUUUUUAUAUAUAGUUAUAUGUAUAGGAAAGACCAUAAAAUCAUUAUCCACACAUUUUGGUAUAUUAUUUAUGUUGGCCCAAGGUUCUCCUAAUUUCGUUUUGAUGAUAAUAAAUCAUAGUUAAGUUGCUAAUGAUUUUGAAUUAGAAGAGUUUCAGGUUUUAAUUUGAAAAUUCAAAAGGAAAUUCAAGAAAAAUCAUUAAAGGACCAAAUGAAUGUAAGAUUGAAGCAUAUUGAAGACCUUUUAAUUAUCUUAGGAAAUAUAUGUAAGAUGAAUGUAUGGGUGUACUUAGGUUUUUCAUACUAAUUCAUGAAUUAUUAAAAACUCGGUUUAUGCAUUAAAGUUAAAUUUUCAUUAAAACCCAACUUUUUUCAUACGAACCCCUAGGCAAACGGUUUUAACAAUUGACAUAUUAAUAUAUCUAAAGACUUUGCAUAAGUGUUGGAAGUGAAAGGAAUAGAAAAGAUAUGUUUUUGAGUCAAAAUAGGUGAAUCGGCCAAGAGGACCGGUGAAUCGGCUCAACCGAUCAUGGAAUCCAUUCACUGGUUAAGCCUUCCCAAUUGAGGACUAGUCAAAGGAUGCAAAAAACAUUCUCUCUGUUCCAAUAGCCUUGCAUUCCCAAUCAAGGGUGAGACAUUUCCCGGUCAAGGGGUAAGUCUUCUUGGUCGAGGCCUAGCAGUUACUUAUCAUGCAUUUAAAGCCUAAUGACUAGUAAACUAGUCAAACUGGAGCUCGACUGGAUGAAACUACUUUUUGGCAUAUUUGGUCCUCAAGACUAGAAACCUAUAAAUUGAGAGCUCCACUUCAUUUAUGAACAAGAGAAUAUUUGCAUUCAAUUUUCCAACUACUUGUUCUUUACUUAUUUUUUCUCUUUGGUGCAUUAAUUUCUUCAAUUGCAUAUCCUUUAGUGCACAUUUUUCAUUCAUCUUAGUCUUCUUGUGUAUUUGAGCAUUUAUUGAGCUAGGUUGAGAGGUUUCCAUCUGUAUCUUAAGUGUUUUAGUGAGUGUUAAAAAUUAAUUUCAAGUGAAAAAAGGACUUGAAGGUAUUGUGUAAGAGUCCAAUUGAGUUGGAAUCCAAGUGUAAAGACUUUGGAAGCUUGGUUGAAGCUUCAAGGAUAGUGAAACCCUCACUCGGUUAGGUGCUAAAGGAGAAUAGAUGUAGGCAAGUAGUGUUUAACUACUAUAAAAUUGUGUUUGCUCUCUCUAACUCUAUCUCUUUACAUUUGUUCCUUAUUUUGCUUUAAAUAGUUGUGCUUGAAAAAGUUUUUCAAAAACCCAAUUCACCACCUCCCCUCCCAUCCCCUCCCCCUCUUAGGUGUUUUUCUUAACUAGAUUAUCCUUAUUUUCUCAAUUUCUAGUAUUUGUUUUGACUUUAAUUUUCUUUUGAUAAUCUAUAAUAUCUCCUCAUUGUUAUUAAAAAGAAAAUAUCAAGUAAGGUAAUACGUAGAUGGGGUGAAUAGGUAUUUUUAAUCUUAAUAACCCAAAAAGUUUAAAUUUUUAAACCAAUUAAUUCCUAUAAGAAAGUAUUAAAAGAAAUCAAACUCAUAAGACAAUAUUUUUUUACAUAAAAAACCUCCACACAAAGUGUGGAGAUAAAGCAUUACAGAGUCUAAGACCUUGAAUAAACAAACCACCAUUUAAUAGUACCUUGUGUGCUCCAGUGGAUCUUGCCUUAGCACCUGAAGGGAUGUAGGUCUCCUUCAUAACUUGGUAGAAGUACAAAAGCUUAUUUGAGAGUUUUAAAGAAUAGGAAGACAAAUUAAAGUUUUCUAAAUACUUGCAUCAAAACUUAAAAAAAUUUUUAGAUAGGGUUUAUAUAGGCCCAAUGACCUAGAGGAUUGGAUAUGGAAUAAACCCAAAAAAUAAAAUCUUAAGUUUCCAAAACAUGAACUACUAGAACUUGGCAAGCCUAACUUCAAGUGCUCAAGUGCUUUGGCCAGUACUUGAGCAUUCUUACAAAUUUUAAAACCACUUUAAAAUUAUUUUUUUUCACAUUUUUAAAUACACGAUCGGACUCAUACAUUUUUAAUAUUAAUUUUUCUUUUUCUUAGAUCUUUCCAAACAUACUUGUGAUGUCCCAAUUGAUCAUUUAGCAACUUCUAGUCUUCAAGGAGAGUAAGUCAUAGCCUAGAAAGAUCUUAUGCUAGAAUGAAAGGUAAACUUCAAGUCUUCAAGGAAAGUAAGUCAUAGCCUAGAAAGAUCUUAUGCUAGAAUGAAUGGUAUAUUACACUUUACCCCCUCAACCUAUACCGUGUUUUGCACAUUACCUCAUCGAGUUCAAAAUUGAGCAAUUUACCCUCAUGUUUUAUAAUUUCAUGCAAUGUGCAUUGUUUGAGUUACGAUGUUACAUUUUUGGACAGAAUGGUUGUGCUCUCCGUGUGACCAAGGGGAAAAUGGUCAUUUUUUUAAUAAGUGAAGGCAAAAGUCAUUCCCUUUUUAACCCUAAUCUGCAACCUUUCUCCUUCUCUCUCCCAUCAAUUGUUUCUUCCCAUGUUACUUCUGCUAAAGCCCCGAGCCGAAACCUUUUUUCUCCAAGGAAGCUAAUGAAGGGUUGACAUUGAAGAGAAGACAUAGAGUUCAACAGUAAUUUUUUGACUUCCAAUUCUUUAAUGGGUAGAAGCAUGUUAGGAAAGAGUGUUAGGGUUAAGGCUUCAUUUUGAUCUUUCAAAAAAUUUGGAGAAAUUCUGGGGAAAUUUUGGGAGAAUAAAACUUGGCCAAAUUGUGGGUCAAGGUUUUGUUUGAUGUUUUAGAAAAGUAGGGGAAAUUUUGAGGAAAUUUGGUGAUUCUAGGACUGGAGAAAUUAUUUGGAGAUUUUACAAAUUUUCACCUCAUAGACAAAGAGAAAAAAUGAACAAAGAGAAAAUAUAUAGGGUUUUUGGCAGCAACUUUGUGGAAUUUGGAUUUUAGGGCUUUGAAGGGAAGGAAGAACAAAAAAGGAGGGCUUUGGCUUAGGGGACGGUGGAGAGGAGGACUGCGGAUUAAGAAAAAAAUGACCAUUUUGCCUUCGGUCAUGCAGAGUGCACAUGUCAUUCCGUCCAAAAAUGUAACAUCAUGACUUAGAAAAUGCAUAGUGAAUGCAAUUAUAAAUCAUAGAGGAUAUAUUGCUUGAUUUUGAACUUGCAUUAUUAUUAUUAUUAUUUUAAUUUUAGUUUGCUAAAUUAUUAGUUUUUCAAAUUUUGGAAAACAAUUAAAAUUUAUUAUCAUAAAUGUGACUACCUUGAUAUGAGAGACUGAAAAUAACAAAAUUUUAAAAAAUUGGAAAAUAUUAUUGAGAUUCAUUGAACGGUUCCUUACUAAACAUUGUUAUAGGAUAUGUUGAAUAAUUGUGGACCCUUACCCGAUCCACCUACCGACGCGACUCGCUAUUUUAAAGGUGAAAGGGAAAGCUGGUUUUCGAGUUUUGAAAAAUUCGUCCCAAUGAGGAACGGUUUUUUUUGGAGUCGCCACUUACUUUUUAUUUUUAUUUUUAAAUGGGAUAAAUUUAAGUAAGAACAAAAACCCCUGCAUGACUCCAAUCAGGAAAAAAGGGUCUACGAAAACUAAAUUCUGGGUUCGGGGAUCAUGUUGCCUAUUGGGAAGGUACCUCAUGGAAGGUAGCACCCGUCUAGGCUCGGAACUCAAUCUCUACUAAUGAACUGGGUAUAUGGGAGCAUAUGGGUCAAAGAUCAAACAAACCUUGGCCUAAACAAAUGACAUGAAUCACAUAGACCUGCCUAGUAUUUAGCAUGUACAUACACUCAACAAGUCAAAAUUAGAGUGCAUACCUGAGGUCCCUAGCCAAGCGCUGCAUAAGAGGUCAGUCAAUAAGCUCAAAUGCACAACAAAUAUACAUAGCAAUCAUGCACCAAGCAUUCAUGUGAAUUUCAUUAUCCAAAGCCGAAGUGCAUACCUGUGGUCCCCAACCAUGCGCUGCAAGGAAAAUGUGAGGCAAGUAAUACAAGCAUACAACAUGCACUCUCAAUCAAGAAUCAAAUCUCAUACCCAAAAUGAAGGGAAGCAGGUCGAAAUGAAAUAAAUGGUUUGCUUUCUUUUGCACACAUUCCUCUAAAUUCCAUCAAACCAAACCAUGCUCGCUUAAUCCACAUUCUUCCCAUCCAUGAAGUAGGCUCACAUGAAAUCUAACCAAACCAAACUCUAACCCUAAAGGUGGCCCACAAGCGCCUUGGAGCCUAAGGGCUCAAGCCACAAAAAAAAUGGGGGUCAAAACAUGCUAAAACUGGGGCUGCCUAGCAGAACCUGUUGAACCGGUUUCCUACCAGUUCAACUGAUUGAGAAAAAUUCUGAAACUUUACCAGUAGAUUCCUUAAAGAAUAAGGAAUUCAACAAAAAAAAAAAUGGCGCUCAAUUUCGAGCCUGGAUAAGGGAGAACCGGCCGAAACAAUGCAACGUGUUUCUUGUAGAAGGCCAAACCCAAGCCACCCAACCUUAUUAAAACUAAGGCCACAGAGCUCAUUAAUCAACCAACAAUGUAGCCCCCCUGAACUCAAGAAACCCAGAUGAAAAUUCGGCCACACGGACAUCCACAUGCGGCCACCUAAAUCCCCUGAAACCAAACUAAAAUUUCAUUCACCUGAAGCUUCCCGCCUACAGCUACUUAAAUCCCAUGGAACAAACUAAAAUUUCAACCUCCUAUAGCCUAUGAAUCCAGCUGAAAUUCAGCCACCUAAAGCACCCCCAAUGCAGUUACUGGAAUCACCAAGAAGCAAACUGAAAUUUCAGCCACAUAGAACCUCUACAUGUAGCCACAAGACCUGGGGUUUAAGUCUAGAUUAUUGAUGGGUAGGCCCAAAUAAAAAAAACAGAGAAGGUCAUGGAGACCUUUUCUCAAUACCAAGCAAGGGAGGUUUCAAGAAAAACCAAGUGGCAGAAACGCCCAUACCAACAUAGCCACCUGAAUCUAGCAUCUAAGAAGUUCCUUAAUCAAAAGCUACAAGGCCAUNNNNNNNNNNNNNNNNNNNNNNNNNNNNNNNNNNNNNNNNNNNNNNNNNNNNNNNNNNNNNNNNNNNNNNNNNNNNNNNNNNNNNNNNNNNNNNNNNNNNCACCCCAUUCCUGAUCAGAACAACCCAAAAUGAGACAUCCACAUCAAACAUAAAAAAUGAAACCAUGCAACAGUUACAUAUCAAGAGCAUCCAUAAAGUGACUGUUAAAAAAAAACAACAAUUCAAAAGACCAUGCUUGAAAAGACUUCAAGAAGUCCUCACUGAUCAAGAGCUCAUUACUCCCUUUUCUCUUUGCUUACUUUACGUGCACCCAAAACUUUCUCAGAUGCUCAAAACCUUCUCCACACUCUGUUCUUUUCCCUCACCAAUCUUGGACAGAGUUCCCCCUCCCAAAAAAAAUGCAAAGGAAAAAGGUCAUUCUCUCUUUCCAUUUUGGCAUUUUAUACCAGAACCCCUGCUCCUCCCACUUCCACCUUCGUUUUUCCCUCCUUCAGCUCUAGAAAGUACCCCCAUUAACCUCAGAAACCAACUCCAUAAACACUCGUCAUAGUCACGAGGUGAGCUGCUCUCUCCACAUUUACUCAUUUGCUUCACCACCAAGAAUCCAUAUGGAUUCAUGGUGGGCUAAAAGGAACCCAAACCAAGGCCCAAAAUGGACCCAAAAUAUUGCCCAAGACUAAUCUGGAGCUUACAGGCCCGAGCCAUGUAGGAUUUGGGCUCCAAAAUCACUAAAAUCAGUGCUUUAUACAAGUUGGCCCAAUGAACCGAUUGAACCGAUUGCCAACCGGUUGAGCCGAUUGAGAAAAAAAUUUAAAUUUUGACAGAAUAUUCCUUGAAGAAAAAGGAGUCCAUAAAAAAAUGGUGCGCGAUUCCGAGUUCAAAUGAGGAAGAUAUGAUCGAAACAAGCCCAAGUGCUCUGGAUUCAGACAUGCUCCAAUGAACGCUGGUUGAAUUGAAACUUUGGGGAUUGGUCGAGCCGAUUGAGAAAAAAAAUUUGAAAUUUUGACAGAAUAUUCCUUGAAGAACAAGGAAUCCAUCAAAAAAACGAUGUGCGAUUCCGAGUUCGGAUGAGGGAGAUAUGACUAAAAACAAGGCGAAGUGCCCCGUAUUCGAACCUGCUCCUAUGAACUCCAAUUGAAUUGAAGCUUUGGGGACCUGUCGAGCCGAUUGAGAAAAAAAUUGAAAUUUUGACAGAAUAUUAUAUGACUAAAAACAAGGCGGAGUGCCCCGUAUUCGAACCUACUCCUAUGAACUCCAAUUGAACUGAAGCUUUGGGGAUCGGUCGAGCCGGUUGAGAAAACAUUUGAAAUUUUGACAGAAUAUUCCUUGAAGAACAAGGAGUCCAUAAAAAAAAUGGUGCACGAUUUUCGAGUUUGGAUGAGAGAGAUAUGACUAAAAACAAGGCAGAGUGCCCCGUAUUCGAACCUGCUCUUAUGAACUCCAACUGAAUUGAAGUUCUGGGGAGACCUCGCUUCUUUCCUUUAGAAUGAUGUGACCAACUAGGGAAUUGGCCAUGAUGACACUCCAAAAUGAACUACACACUCGCACUACAUUGGACCGCACAUGAACCUACACAAGGCUCGAAAAUCGAUUAAGCCCAAAAGGGGGCCAUGACGGUGCCAUACGGAAAAAAAUUGGGUGCAUGUGAUACCCCUAAGAUAAAUGCAAGUGUCGAAGGACAAAAUUGAGGGUCUAUAAUAAUAUUCUUGUGAAUUCUUAAUAUUGAAAUAUUAAGCAUAGGUACUACAUUGAAAUAUUCAAGUGUAGGAACUAUAAGAAUUUUAUGUGGCCCACGUGUAUAUUAUUAUUUGAUAUUUAUUUAAAUAUCAAAUUAAGUAUUAUGGUUUAAUAAAUAAUAAAGCUAAAAUCCUAUUGGUCAGUUUUGGGAAGGAAGUUAGUUUCCUAAAUUAAAGGCAAUUUGAUGAAAAAUGCACUUCUAAUUCUAUGAGGAAACUGGUCCUCUCUUUACCCUAUAAAUAAGAGUUUUAUUCCAUCAAUAAUACACAUAAGAGAAAACCUAAGAGUGAAGGGGUUAAGGGAGAGAAACACAAUUUCUAUUAUGCUUAUUGUUUGGUCUCUUCAAAAAUUCCCUACGAAUUAAAAUUAUGUUUUUGUUUUUCUCUCAAUAAUAGAAUUAUGAAAAUUAUAUUGUUCUAAAAUCCUUGGCUAUUAUGAUUUCUGUAGGAAUUAAGGUUAUGAUUGUUCUGCAGGAAUUAGGGUUAUGAUUGUUCUAUAUGAAUUAGAGUUAUUAUUGUUUUGCAUAAAUAAAGAAAACUCUAACAUGUGGUAUUAGAGUCAUGGUUCAAGAACUUAUGAUUUUCCUUUAAAGAUUAUUUUAUGUCUCUCUUAUGAUAUCAAAUUUUGAUGAGAGAAUUAAAUUUAUUGAUUGUAUUUUUUCAUUGCAAUCAAAAUAUUUUGUCAAUAUUUUUGUAUUUGAUUUCUUCUCGAAAUCAAUUAUAUUGGAUUCAAGUUAUUAUAUGAACUAUAAUUUUAUGUCAAUUAUUAUUUGUUGCCACAUAAUUUUUUAUUGCUACUAAUGCAUGAUUUGAAUAAAUUGAAUUCUUUAUGGCUUUAUGUUAAACUUGAUCCUUUUAUGAAGAAAUUGCAUAUUGUACAACUUGCUAUCAUAAGUUAUUUUUGGCAAAUUAUCUUUUAUGCUUCCAUAAUAGUAUUGUGAAUGUUUAACAUGAGUGAGACUUUGUUUAACUUGAUAUUCAUAUUAUGUUUGUUUGCAGUCACCAAAGUGUCCAAACUUUAAUGUCUUGAAUAUCAAAUUAUAUAAUAAUUAUUUAUAUUAUAAAAUUUGAAAUUCGCUUAUGAACGGUUUGUUAGUCACCAAAGUAGCCAAACCUUAAAGUUUUGUGUCUAUCAAAUUGCAUAUUAUUAUUAUUGAUUACCUAUUAUGUAUGAGGUGAUAUAAGAAUGAUUGAAUUGUUAUGGGUUAAAAACCAUUUGGUUGAAGGUUUUAUUAUGGGUGAUUAUUUAUAUGAAUUACACAUUAUGGGUAUUAUUGUCAAUGUAUGCAAAUUGACACUUAUGAGAUUUUGAGGUAGAAUUCACAUAAAUAUAAAUGGAGCUAAUUAUGUGAGAGUUUCUCAUAUAAUCUCGUAUUCUUGUUAUAGUAACAUGCCUUGCAUAUUUAUAAUUUUCUAUAGAAAGCCUUUGAUAUUUGAUCUAUUUACGAAGUCUCAUUAAGUUCUCUCACCAUGUUUGACAAUACUGAUUAUGAUUGUUGUAAUAUUAUGAUUUUUCAUUAAACUUGUAUGUUCAACUAUUAUAUAAUGUUUAUAAUAAUAGUUAAAUAUUGAUUUAUUACAAAGUAAUGUCUUUUAUGAUAAUUAUGUUAUCACGUAGAAGUUCAUAUUAUUUAUAGUGUGUUAAUUACCAAAGUGACUAUACUAGAAAGUUGAUGAACAUCCUUUAAAGAUGUAAAUGUUGUUUAUUACAAAAUUUUGAAAUUCAUAUAAUGUAAAGUUUUUUAGUCACCAAAGUGGUCGAACUUGAAAGUUUCAUGAAUUUCAUAUUGAGUAAUAGAUACUUACGUUACUCAAUUACUCAUUACUUAUGGAUGCUUGCAACAUAUUAAGUACUUGUUGAAUGAGUAUAUUAAAAGAUAUUUAAAGAUUUACCCAACCACUUUAUAAAUGAUGAAUAUGAUGGGAUACAUCAUAUGCUUUAGUUAGAUUAUAUUUGUACAUCCAAAGAUCGCAAAUGUAUGUUAACAUGGGCUAUGAAGUUAUUCAUUAAAAUAUAUAGUAAAAGCAUCAUAAAGUUAUUAUAUAUUGUAAUAUCUACCUAUAGGAGAGUUGCAGUAUAUAUGUAUUAUUUUUCUAAAUUAGUUGUUUGAAUCUGAUUACAUUUUUGCUUAUAGCUUACCAAGUUUAAUCACGAAAGCAUGAUAUUUUAUGUUACAGUACUGUCCUCAAAUUUGCUAAUUAUUUUGCAAUAUUAAGUUUAUUAUUGUUCCUCUAAAUAAAGAAUAUCCAUGAUUGAGGACUAAUUAAUAUCAUCUUGAAUUUUGAUGAAAUGUAAGAAAUAAGACCUUCAAGAUGAUGUGACUGCAAGACUAAAGAUCUUGAAAAUAAUUGAUGAAUUUUCAUAUUAUGCAAACUUGUCUUAGUAUAGAGCACUUCAAAUCUAUCCAAUUGGUCAUCAUAUUUCUUGAAAGGAAACAGGAUUACUUGAUGAAAAUUCAUUCCCCUUGAAGAUUUAUGAAACUUAUAAGAGGUCAAUGAUUAAAAAAGUCUACAAGAAUUAUGAAUGAGCAAUUAAAGAGAUGAUUCUUGUGAAAUUAUCAAGAAUCAUAAAAGGAAACUCAAAAUGUUGAGUAUCACUUUAUUGGAAAAUUAUGAAUAGUUGAAGGAUUGCAUAAAUUGUAAAAUAUGAUUUAAAAAAACAAUUAAGCUAUGUUAUUUUGUAUGAUUAAAAUCAUAUUUCAUUAAAGUUUUCCUUUUAAUGAGAUUAAAAACAAAUUAAUAUAAUCAAAGUAUAAAAAGUUAGACAAUUAUGUUUUAAGGUGGUAAACGUUAAAAUUGCUAUUAAAAUCUUUAUGCACUUGAUAAUUAUGUUAUAUCAAGUAUAAUUGUAAUUCAAUGCUACUCGGUUAGGAGUAUGUCAAGUAUCUCUUAUUACCCCAAAGGUAUAUGAUUUACAAUCCAAACCGAAGUAUCAAGAGUAAUUGUUGAAACUAAUAAUGUUAUUGUUCAUUAAGAAGGUUUAUAUCAGUGGGAGUGAUAAGUACCAUGAAAUAUGAUUACCUAAGGAGUUAUAAUAAAGUUGUCUUUAACUUUACAACUUUUAAAAUGUUACUUUCUAUUAACGAAGGUUAAAGUUAGUAACUAGCAACUAAAUGAGCAAUCACUCUUAAAUGAAGUCAAGUGGACCUCUUUACAUUAGGAAUGGCAUUAAAAAUAAGUAAGUAAAUAAUCUUAUAAGGGGAAAGAUUUGUUUUUCCAAGUAUCAACCAUGUGGUAUUAUAUCUACAUAAAUAUUUUCAAGUUAGAAGUUUGGCAUGAAAUGUUCGACUUUUAGCUUUAUUUGAUACUUCAAGUUUGCUUCUCGAUUAAUGUAAAUAGUGACCCAAGUGGGAGAAUAUCAUAUUUUCAUUAAGUGGCUCAUCUUUUAAUGAUUAAGUUUGAGAGAGAAACUUGUGGUUGUCAAUUAAAACUAUCACUGAAAGUCAAUUAAAGUUGAUAUACAAAUUUUAAUAUUCCUUCGUGAUAUCUUAAGCUCUAUGAUAUCAUAAUGUUCUUUGGAUUUAAGAAAACCACUAUGAUUUAGUGAAUAUAUCCAAAGAUCAAUGAGAGAAAAUUCAUUUUUAUAUUGAUAAUGUCUUGUUAGUUAUUACUAGAUUUCUAUUUAUUGCAUUAAGUUAUGAAAUAAAAUCUCAAAAUUUUAUGAUAAAAUAUAUUAAAGAGACAAUAUUAUGUGAUGUAAUAACAUAUCCUAUGUGAAGUUACAUGAAUUGUUAGAUUGUCUCAUAAAGAAUAUAUUUAAAGUUUUUUGAGAUAUUUGAUGGAUUGAAAGUGUUAUGAGAGAGGAACCUUAAUGUUGCAUGCUUUCCAUUUACUUUUAGAUUUAGUUAUGCUGAAUGAUAGUUGAAAUUCUACUUUUGUUGUUUGUUCCUAUUAAUUGAAGAUUAUGCAAAGAAAUAAUAUUAUGUAAAAGUAUGACAAUCUUCUAUCAAAGUAUAUCUUGUGGCAUAAUAUGUUACAAAUUAUGAAUUAUGGUUGCAAAAUAUUAUUUUAGGACUUGGAUUUGUCGACUUUAUUGCCAAGUUUCUUAAAAUAAUAGAUUUUGUUAUCACUUCUCUUUUAACAACGAAUAUUUUAUGAUCAUCAAGGACAUAAGGUUAAAGUUUUUGUUGUAUAUGAGAUAAUUCAUAAACAAGAGUGUUAAAUUAAUUGAUUAUGUGUACAACUUAUGACUGGAGACCUAAUGAUGAAAAAUGUGCUACUAAGACAUUGAAUACCACAUAGAAAUUACGAGUCUUAGGCACAUUCCGGUAUUGGUCUCAUGAUAAUGAUUAUUUAUCGAACACUUAGGAGCUUGAUUAUAUGUUUCUAAAAUUUCCUUAUAUCUAUUUUGUAUACAUAAUUGCAUACAGAUUAACGUUAAAAGGAAAGUCUUUGACAAAGACAUUAUUGUGGACUAUUAUUGUAUUUCUCAUUUAUAGGUUAUGUUAAGUGGGAGCUAAUUGUGUAGUACAUGGAAGGGACUAUAUCGAAAUAGUGAUGUACAAUUGCGAUGACUCUCAUUAGUUUUUACUUAAUUAUGACUAAUGAUGUGAUCAAUGUAAAAAUGUUUUGGCUUGAUAUUUUGAGCAAUAUGUUUUAUUUAUUUAACCAUGAAGUGAAGGAAUAUCAUGUGGGCCAAGUGGGAGAAUGUAAGAAUUUUAUGUGGCCCACAUGUAUAUUAUUAUGUGAUAUUCAUUUAAAUAUCAAAUUAAGUAUUAUGGUUUAAUAAAUAAUGAAGCUAAAAUCCUAUUAGUCAAUUUUGGGAAAUUUGUUUCCUAAAUUAAAGGCACUUUGAUGGAAAAUGCACUUCUAAUUCUAUAAGGAAAUUGGUCCUCUCUCCACCUUAUAAAUAAGCGUUCUAUUCUAUCAAUAAUACGGAUAAUAGAAAACCCAAGGGUGAAGGUGUUAAGGGAGAGAAACACAGUUUCUAUUAUCUUAUUGUUUGGUCUCUUUAAAAUUCCCUAUGAAUUAAAGGUAUGUUUUCAUUUUUCUCUUAAUAUAUAAUAGAAUUGUGAAAAUCAUAUUGUUCUAAAAUCCUUAGGCUAUUAUGAUUUAUGCAGUAAUUAAGGUUAUGAUUGUUUUGUAGAAAUUAGAGUUAUUAUUGUUAUACAUAAAUAAAGAAAACCCUACUAAGAACUACAUUAAAUAAGUAUAAUGUCAUAAUCCAUAAUUUCAGAUUUUAGGUUGAAUUUCGUCCAAUUGUAAAAGAAAACUAUUAACUUUAGUUGAUUGAAAUUAUUGAUUUUUCAAAAUUUAAAAGUUAAUAAAAAAUUAGUCCAGUAAUAUAUAUAUGUAUAUAUAUAUAUAUAUGAAGGGUUGUUGAAAUUGAUUCAAUAACCCCUUACUGUCAACGUUUAUGUUUGUUCUUGGAAAGAACAAAGGAAAAAGAAAAAAAAAUGUUAAAAAAAACCGGUUUUUAUUCUUUAACUUAAAAACAAUUUUUAAAUUCAAGUUCGAGAAAACAUGGUCAAACAACUCAUUUUUUCCUUUUGGGUUUAAAAAGUGGUGAAAACAAUUCCUAUUUAUUCUCUAAAAAUUGUUCUUUAUUUCAUUUUAUUUUUAAAAAUUGUUUUUAGAGAAUAACGACCAAACAAUGUUAGAAAAUUUUAAAAACAAUUUUCUAUUUUUAAAAACAAAAAACUAUUUUUAAACCAUAUGACCAAACAAACUCUAGUUUUCUUAUAUUUGGUUUCAUUAUAAAAAAUACAAAAGAAUAUCAUAUAUAAUUGAAAUAAGUUAGAAAUUUAUGCAUGUUAAAAUUAUUUAAUCUUUAUAUAAUAGAGAAAAAGAAGUGAGAUGAGUUUGAAGAAGCAUAUAAAAAUAAUUUGUCUAUUUUUUUAUUUUUCUUCACUUUUUCUUUACUUCCAUUUUUCCUCUCUACAAUUUUUUUCUUCACAUUAUAUUUCAAAAUUUAUAGGAACCAAACAUAACCUAAAUAUUCAAAAAUAAAGAAAAAUAUGGUAGUAAAAUAAUAUUAUUUUAAGUAUUGUAAGAUGACAUUGUUGUAAACAAAGUGACUUACAUUGUUGUAAAUUUUCAUCAAAUAAGGACAAAUUGUAGUCAUAUAAAUAUGAAAUGAAUUACAAGAUAGAUUAUACCUCCUUACCUUUCAUUUGGAUUUUGAAAAGUUAGAGGAAAAAUACAACAACAACAAUAACAAUAAUAAUAGAGAGAAAUUACAAGAGAACAAAAUGGAUAGAAAUUAAAUCCUAAAAAUUUUGAAGUUUUGUUUAGAUCUUCAAUUUGAAACUCUUUUGAAUGAUAUUAAGAAAGGAGUAUUCUAUAAAAAAUUAGUAGAAUUAGAGGAACUCUUCUCAUUGGACUAAACGAUGAUAAAGGAACUUGAAAAACAUGUACAAAAGCUUCGUAUAGAAAUCCAUAAAGAAACAAUCCAAUUAAUGAAGAUGUACAAUGAGAUCCUACCCAUUUUUUCUUGACAAAUAUAUUCUAUUUCAUUAUUCUAAGUGGUUAUAAAGUUUGAGAACUUAAUUUUUUUAUUUUUUUUUUUGUCUACUUCAUUAUUCUAAGUAGUUAGAAACUAUGAGAACUUCAUCUAGAUCUCAACCAAAAAAAGCAAAGAAAAGAAAAGAAAUAAUAAUAAUAACAAUAAUAAGAAUAAUAAGAAGAAGAAUAGAUGUCAUUUAUGAUAUCGUUUUCAAAAUUAUUUUAAAGUUAAAAGAACCAAAAAAAAAAAAAACAUUUUUUUAGUAUUUUUUUUUAAAGGUGUUUGGUAAAUUGUUUUUAAAAUGCUUUUCAAAAAAUAAAAAACAAAAUAUUUGUUUAAAUAAGUUGAUUCAAAAAUGUUUUUCCUAUUUUGAUUUUGUAAAAAUGCUAAAUUAAUUCAAGUUUUAUAAAAAUAAAAGUAAUUUUAAAAUUAAAAAAUAAAAAGCUUUUAGUAAAGUAUAAACAUUAAUAUUAUAAUACAAUCAUAAAUUAUAUUUUUAAUAAAAAAAAAUGUACCAUUUUAAUGUCUAUUAUAAAAAAAAUAUUAAUAUUAACAUCUUCAUGAAAGUAUAAAUGAUUUUUUUUAUUAAAAAAAUAGUUUAAAAACAAUAACGGAUAAAUGAAUUUAAAAGCAAACAUGUUAAUUUUUUUUUAAUACGUAAAUAAGCCAAGUUUAAUUAAAAGAAUUAAGUUUCACUUGAGAAUUUAUUAGGAGAAACAAUAAAGUCAUAAUCGAUCCAUUAUAUAUUAGUUUUGGUUUAUCACAACAGUUGGAUCUUUUUGUGAGUUACAAAUCAUUUUAAAGAACUUGAAGUCUAUUUUUCUAAUUAAAAAAAUUUAUAAAAAUAUAAUUAUGUAGAAGAAAUGAUAGUCAUUUGGUGCCAAUUUUAGUUUUAGAACUACUACUAGUUGUCAUGUUGUUUUUUGAGUUCUAAUUAUUUUUAGAAUUAAUAAAGUUGCUACCAAAUAUAAAUUAAUUUUUGUUCAAUUUGGAGUCUAUUUUUUUAGUGAUAAAAAAAAAUUGAAAAUAGUAGUCAUUUAAAAUCAAUAUUUGUUUAUAAAUUUAUGGUAUUAAUUGGAUUAAUAUUUUAAUUUCAAAAAAAUCAAAUGCAUUAAGUGUUACUUCAUUUUGAUUUUAUUUGGCUAGUGAAAAAAUCACAAAAAUAUGGUUAUAUGUAAAGAAGUAAUUUUGCAUCAGUUUUGAGUUCUUAGACUUUCUAGUACUAAUUAGAUUUUUUUUUAAUUUCAAAUUAAUUAUAAAAAUCUGUAAAUCUUAUGUAUCUAAGUAUCAUUUGAUUUAGAAUUCACUUGUCUAAUGAAAACGUUUAGUAAAAUUAAAAAAAAAAAUUAUACAAACAAGUAUAUUUUUUUUAAAAAAAACAAUCAUAUUUGAAGAUUUUUGGUAUUGGUUGGCAAAGAAAAAUAAAUAAAAAAGAGAUUGGUUGGUGAAGAAAGAAAGAAAGAAGAAGAAGAAGAAGAAAAAAGUUUGUGUCAUAUUUUGUUUGUGGAUGAUUGAUGGAAGAAACACCAAACAUAUCCCAAACUUCUCGCUCCCAUUGGCCGGGUACUUAGUAAAUUAUAGACGACUUCAAAUCUUUGUUUUCAAGAGGGAUGAUCAAUGUUGCAAAUAUCGAUUGAAACUUGAACCCCCUGCUAACAUUGGAGGCCUUAGUAGGGCUUUCAGAAAUAGGGUCAUACUGUCACUCGGGCAUAGAAAUUUGCUCUUUCUAUUACCCUUACUCGUUUGCUUUUAGGACAAGACGAUUACCCUUAUGUAUCUAAGUAUAAUUUGAUUUUGAAUUUACUUGUCUGAUGAAAACAUUUAGUAAACUUGAAAAAAAAAAUUAUAAAAACAUGUAUAACUUAAAAAAAAAAUUAUAUUUGAAGAUUUUUUUGUAUUGUUUGGUGAAGAAAAAGACAUUAAAAAAGAGAUUGGUUGGUGAAGAAAGAAAGAAAAAAAAAAAAGUUUGUCUCAUAUUUUAUUUUUGGAUGAUUGAUGGAAGAAACAUCAAACAUAUCCCAAACUUCUCGCUCCCAUUGGUCGAGUACUCAAUAAAUUAUAGACCACUUCAAAUAUUCAUUUUCGAGAGGGAUGAUCAAUUCUGAAAAUAUCAGUUGAAACUUAAACCCUUUGCUAAUAUUGGAGGACCUAGCAAGGCUUUCAAAAACAGGGUCAUACUGUUGUUCAGGCAUAGAAACUUGCUCUUUCCGUUACCCUUACCCCAUUGCUUUCAAGACGAGACAGUAACCCUUAUGUAUCUAAGUAUCAUUUGAUUUCGAAUUUACUUGUCCAAUGAAAACGUUUAAUAACAUUUAAAAAAAAUUAUAAAAACAUGAAUAAUUAAAAAAAAAAGUCAUAUUUGAAGAUUUUUUUGUAUUAGUUGGUGAAGAAAGAAAAAAAGAAAAAAACAAGUUUGUGUCAUAUUUUAUUUUUGAAUGAUUGAUGGAAGAAACAUCAAAUAUAUCCCAAACUUCUUGCUCCCACCGAUCGGGUACUAAGUAAAUUAUAAAUCACUUCAAAUCUUCAUUUUCAAGAGGAAUGAUCAAUGCUGCAAAUAUCGAUCAAAACUUAAACCCCUUGCUAACACUGAAGGCCUUAGUAAGGCUUUUUGAAACAUGAUCAUACUCUCGCUCGAGCAUAGAAACUUGUUCUUUCUGUUACCCUUACCCCCUUGCUUUCAAGACGAGACGAUUACCCUUCUGUAUCUAAGUAUCAUUUGAUUUCGAAUUUACUUGUCUAAUGAAAACAUUUAGUAAAAUUAAAAAAAAAAAAUUAUAAAAACAUGUAUAACUAAAAAAAAAAAAAAUCAUAUUUGAAGAUUUUUUGUAUUGGAUGGUGAAUAAAAAGAAAUAAAAAAAGAUAUGGAAGAAAGAAAGAAAGAAAGAAAAAAGAGUUUGUGUCAUUUUAUUUUUGGAUGAUUAAUGGAAGAAACACCAAACAUAUCCCAAACUUCUCGCUCCCACCGGCCGGGUACUUAGUAAAUUAUAGACCACUUCAAUUCUUUGUUAUCAAGAGGGAUGAUAAACUCUGCAAAUAUCAAUUGAAACUUAAACCCCUUGCUAACAUUGGAGGCCUUAGCAGGGCUUUCAAAAACAAGGUCAUACUCUCGCUCGGGCAUAGAAACUUGCUCUUUGCAUUACCCUUACCCCCUUGCUUUUAGGACGAGACGAUUACCCUUAUGUAUCUAAGUAUCAUUUGAUUUCGAAUUUACUUGUCUAAUGAAAACGUUUAGUAAAAUUUUAAAAACAAAAUUAUAAAAACAUGUAUAACUAAAGAGAAAAAUUAUUAUUGAAGAUUUUUUGUAUUGGUUGGUGAAGAAAAAGAAAUAAAAAAGAGAUUGGUUGGUGAAAAAAGAAAGAAAAAUAAAAAAGAGUUUGUGUCAUAUUUUAUUUUUGGAUGAUUGAUGGAAGAAACACCAAACAUAUCCUAAACUUCUCGCUCCCACUGGCCGGGUACUUAGCAAAUUAUAGACCACUUCAAAUCUUUGUUUUCGAGUGGGAUGAUAAACUCUAUAAAUAUCAAUUGAAACUUGAACCCCUUGCUAACAUUGGAGGCCUUAGCAAGGCUUUCAAAAACAAGGUCAUACUCUCGCUCGAGCAUAGAAACUUGCUCUUUGCAUUACCCUUACCCCCUUGCUUUUAGGAUGAGACGAUUACCCUUAUGUAUCUAAGUAUCAUUUGAUUUCAAAUUUACUUGUCUAAUGAAAACGUUUAGUAAAAUUUUAAAAACAAAAUUAUAAAAACAUGUAUAACUAAAGAGAAAAAUUAUUAUUGAAGAUUUUUUGUAUUGGUUGGUGAAGAAAAAGAAAUAAAAAAGAGAUUGGUUGGUGAAAAAAGAAAGAAAAAUAAAAAAGAGUUUGUGUCAUAUUUUAUUUUUGGAUGAUUGAUGGAAGAAACACCAAACAUAUCCUAAACUUCUUGCUCCCACUGGCCGGGUACUUAGUAAAUUAUAGACCACUUCAAAUCUUUGUUUUCGAGUGGGAUGAUGAACUCUAUAAAUAUCAAUUGAAACUUGAACCCCUUGCUAACAUUGGAGGCCUUAGCAAGACUUUCAAAAACAAGGUCAUACUCUCACUCGGGCAUAGAAACUUGCUCUUUGCAUUACCCUUACCCCCUUGCUUUUAGGAUGAGAUGAUUACCCUUAUGUAUCUAAGUAUCAUUUGAUUUCAAAUUUACUUGUCUAAUGAAAACAUUUAGUAAAAUUUAAAAAACAAAAUUAUAAAAACAUGUAUAACUAAAGAGAAAAAUUAUUAUUGAAGAUUUUUUGUAUUGGUUGGUGAAAAAAGAAAGAAAAAUAAAACAAAGUUUGUGUCAUAUUUUAUUUUUGGAUGAUUAAUGGAAGAAACAGCAAACAUAUCCCACAUUUCUCACUCCCACUGGCCAGGUACUCAGUAAAUUAUAGACCACUUCAAAUCUUUGUUUUUAAGAGGGAUGAUCAACUCCAUAAAUAUUGAUCGAAACUUGAACCCCUUGCUAACAUUGGAGGCCUUAGCAAGGCUUUCAAAAACAGAGCCAUACUAUCACUCAGGCAUAGAAACUUGUUUUUUCCAUUACCCUUACCCCCUUGCUUUUAAGAUGAGACGAUUACCCUUAUGUAUCUAAGUAUCGUUUGAUUUCGAAUUUACUUGUCUAAUGAAAACAGUUAGCAAAUUUUAAAAAAAAAUUAUAAAAACAUGUAUAACUAAAAAAAAAAUCAUAUUUGAAGAUUUUUGGUAUUGGUUGGUGAAAAAAAAGGAAAUAAAAAAGAGAUUGGUUGGUGAAGAAAGAAAGAAAGAAAGAAAGAAAGAAAAAAGUUUGUGUCAUAUUUUAUUUGUUUUUUUCCUUUUAUUUAUAAAAGAAAACAAUUUUUAUGAAAGCAACUACUACUUGUUAUCUCAAAACCGUUCCUAUUUUAAGAUAACAAUUGUUAGACAAUGCAUAAAAUUUUAAAAACAAUUUUUAAUUUUAAAACAUGUUGCGAACCAAGCUCAUAGUUUAACCUCAAUAAGUUUUCUCUUCAUAGACUUCUUUUCAAAAUUAUUUCCCUUCUCUUAUCCAUGAAAAACUUCUAAGUGAUUUUCCUUAUAUUUGAUUUUACGUAAUAACCUAAUUUUGAAUUCCACUUACUAUAAUGCUUUCUUUCUGCCUACUUGUGAAAGGCGUGCCAAAGCACGGGGCAAUGCCACACGACCAAGUUUGCUCCUUACCUGAAGUCUCUCUUCUAUGGUGGGCCUCGCCAACUUCUAUAUUUAUUUAUUUAUAUAUUUAUUUCCUCCUUUUGGCUAAAGGGAGGUCAUUCUACACUGUUUCUAAAAAACAAUCGGUGCAAGGACCCAAAAUCAGGGUUAAAAAUGGGUUUAAUAGUGUUCUUAUUCUAAAUGUUUUUAAUGAAAAUAUUUUUUUUUAAAUUACUUUUAUGAGAAUGAGCUAUAAAGUAUUUAUCUAAAAAGCAUUUUAAAUGAUUUUUUAACACUAUAAAUGAUUUUUCAAAAUUUUAUAAGUAUUUCUUAAAUUUUGUAAAAUGCCUAUUUUUUUUUUUCAAAUACACUUUUUCGAUUAAAAGUACUUUUUUAAAUCGUUGUUAAAUGGAUUCUAAAUAAAGAAUGAAGACCGGAAAAAUGAGAGAAAGAAGAACCAGAAAAAAGAGAUGUUUUUGAAUUUUGGAUCAUGGAUAAAUGUUUGCAUGUUAACCAUUUCAUAUAUUUGAAUAAUAUAUUUUUGGAAACUAGGAAUUUAGAUAUAAAUUAUAAUUCUUAGUUUUCAUAAUUGAAUUUCUUUGAUAUUUUUUUGUUGAUUAAUUUGAAAUUUUGAAUAAUAUUUGAUAAUAUAAGUGUUUAGGAUAAAUUUUUAUUUGUUAUAAUUCAUUGUUGCCUCAUUUUACUAAGAAGUGUACCUUACAUUGUGCCUUACACUUAGGACCCAGGAUGAUUCUGCGCUUAUAGCACAUCUUGUGCUUUUUAAAACUAUGCUUGUAUGUGCCUUUUGAUUGUUUGCGAUGUUUUCAAAUUUUGUAAUUUCACUCAUUUAUAUUUCUAUUUUUUUUUAUAUUAAUUCAUAAUUUUUUUUUUUGUCAUACUAUGAGUGUGUUUAACAAUAAUUUUAAGGAGUAUUUCUAAUCUUUUUAAUACUUUAAAAAUAAAAAUUUUCAAGUAUUAGAAAUAAUAUAAAUACUUCCUAUAAUUAAUAUAAAAACGCCCUCUAUAUUUUUCAUUGUUUUGGUGUAGUCUAUGAAAAAGUGAGCCAAUGUACUGACAAAUAUCUAUAAACCAGGUGAUGAGCAAAUAAAAACUAUUUGAUUCAUGGCGAAUCAUUUUAACUUGUGGCUGAAGAAUAGGCAAAGCCGAUUAUUUUCUAUUUUUGCUUUAAAUAACAAAUAAAUUGAAUUACAGAAUCUAGUGAUUGGAAAAAGCAAAAGCAAAAAGGUGAACAGAAUUUUUGUUUCCGUCAUUCCAUCAUCACGUAUCAUCAAAGGAGAGGAUAAUUGAUGUGGUUCAUCAAUGUGGGAAUCAUAUUUUAUUAAAAGCCUAUUAUUCUACUUUUGCUUUAAGCAAUACAUAAACUAAGGCUGUCGGAGAAUGAGGAAUGGAAGUAUACAUUUCAUUCAUUUUCUCAUCAAUUUUAUUUUUGGAUAACUCAAGUAAUGAUGUGAAUAAAAUAAAAUAAAAUUAAAUUUUAGGAAAAUGAAAAAUCUCACUCAUAACGAAGGUGUUUUGAUUCCCUAGAUGUAGUUUAUUUUUAAAAUUACUUUUCAAAAAAUAAAAAAACAAAACUGUUUGGGUAAAUUAUUUUUAAAAAUUAUUUGUUUAUUUUUAUUUUUUAAAAAUAUUGUAAAUUCAAUUUAAAUAAUAUAAACUAAAUUUAAUUCAAGUUUUAGUUAAAAAUAAAAUAACUUUAUAAUUAAAAAUAAAUUAAAAAAAUAAAUAGUUUUUAAUAAAAUAUGAAUGGUAAUAUUAUAAUAAAAUCAUAAAUUAUAUAUAUAUUUUUUCAAAUACUAUAAAAAUAUGGAUAUUAAUAUCUUCAUAAAAGCAUAAUUGAUUCAUUUUAUUAAAAAUAAAUAAUAAUAAUUUAAAAUUAAUAAUUGUUAAUACUAUUUUAUUUUGAAUAAAUUUUAAAAUAAAUAAAGUUUAUUUUCUAAGGUAUAAAUGAGACCAACUUCUCAUUACAUGCAUACUUUUUUUAGUACCGGAUUAUAGAUAGACCAUUAUAAUUUUUUUUAUUUAAUCUAUAAUUAAUUAAUCAAUUUUUUAAUCCUAAAUUAUUCUUAAAAAUUAGAACAUUCAUCAAAGAAUCCAAAGUAUUAAUUAUGUUACAAUUAAUUAUUCUUAAAUUUUUUCUCAUUUCUCUAUGUUUUCAUUUUGUUUCUAAAAAUUAGUUAAAAUAACUUUUAUUUAUUCUUUAAAAAUGAUUCUCUUUUAAUUUUAAAAACAAUUUUUAAAGAACAAUAAUCAAAUAGUGUUAUAAAUCUUUAAAAUUAUUUUUAAUUUUUAAAAAUAAAAUAUUGUUUUUAAAUCAACUAUGUAGACUUUUAUUAUUCAGUUAAAAAACUCUCAAAACUAUUUUUUGUUAAAUAAAAAAAAAAUCAUUUUAGACCAUGUAGUUUGAGAGUUUUUUAAAAUAAAAUAAAAAUAUUUUAAACUGUCAAUAUUAUUGUUAAUUUAUUUAGUUUCUCAUUCUCAUUCUCACUCUCAUUUUACCUAAUACUGAAUUGAAAAUAAGCAAUCAUGCCAACCUUAUACUCUUAGUUGCAUCCAAUUAUGAUAAUUGAAAUCAUUAAAUUCAUUCGUAGAUAAAAAUAAUUAAUUCCAUUUCCCAUACAUUACAAGUUUUUGCUUUUGUGCUUUUCUUUGCCCGCAUGCCACUUAUUAUAUAUAGUAGGAAAGAAUUAUUUUUUUAAUUUCAUUAUAAAGCUGCAAUGCCUCAAAUUCAAUACCCCUUCAUGCCUCUCUGCCUCCACCAUCCUGAAGCUCUACAUCCCAUCUUUCCAUCUCACUAGUCUUUAUUCAUAUUCUUCACUCCUCCUCCUCCAUCAAUCCCACCUUCUUCAACCCCUUAUGGCGGACGCUCUCCUUUCUAUUGUCUUAGACCGGUUGGCUUCUCUUAUUCAACAACAAUUUCAUCAUGAAGUUUGUCUGGUUGUGGGUGUUAAAAGAGAAAUCCAAAGCCUCACCAACACACUCCAGAUCGUCCGAGCUGUUGUUGCAGAUGCAGAGAAGAGACAAGUGAACGAGGAACCUGUCAAGGUUUGGUUGGAGAGGCUUAAAGACAUCGCCUACCAAAUGGACGACGUGCUGGAUGAGUGGAGCACUGCUUUUCUCAAAUCUCAGAUUGAGAGAGUUGAAAGCCCUUCCAUGCCUAAGAAGAAGGUAAGCUCCUGCAUUCCUUCCCCUUGCAUCUGUUUCAAACGAGUCGCUAGGCGUCGUGACAUUGCUCUUAAGAUUAAGGGUAUAAAACAAGAAGUUGACGACAUUGCAAACGAGAGAAAUCAGUUUGAUUUUAAAUCAACUAACAACGAGGAACUACAAAGAAUUAUAACCAUCUCUGCAGUUGACACUACAGAGGUAUAUGGUCGGGAUAGGGACGAGGGCAUCAUACUAAGGCAGCUGUUGGGUACGAGUUGUGAACAAAGCUUGGGCCUCUACACCAUCUCCGUGUUUGGGAUGGGAGGUAUCGGCAAAACAACUCUUGCUCAACUAGCCUUUAACCACUAUGACGUGAAGGCUCAUUUUGAGAUAAGAAUCUGGGUCUGCGUUUCUGAUCCUUUUGUCCCAAUAAGAAUUUUGAGGGCUAUUCUUGAAGCCCUCCAAGGCCAGUCUUCUGAUCUCCAUGAUCCUGAAGCUCUACAACAAAAAAUUCAAAAAUCUAUUUAUGGGAAAAAGUUUCUCCUUGUGCUGGAUGAUGUGUGGACCGAAGACUAUCAGUUGUGGGAACAACUCAAGAAUUGUCUCAAGUGUGGAGGUGGUGGGAGUAGAAUUUUAGUGACCACUCACAAUGAGAGCGUUGCUAGGAUGAUGAGAAGCACAUACAUGCACUCCUUAGGAAGCUUACCAUUAGAGCAAAGUCAGGCAUUAUUUUCCCAAAUAGCUUUCUGCGGGAAGAGUACCGACAAAAUUGAAGAACUAGAGGAAAUUGGCAAAAAAAUAGCAGACAAGUGCAAGGGGUUACCUCUUGCCGUUAAAGCUUUAGGGAGUCUGAUGCAGUCCAAAAAUAAUAAAGAGGAUUGGGAGAAUGUUUUGAAUAGUAAAAUGUGGGAAUUGGAUGUUUUUGAGAAAAAACUGUCCCCUGCCUUGUUGUUGAGUUAUUAUGAUCUGCCCCCGCCAAUUAAACAGUGCUUCUCAUAUUGUGCUGUCUUUCCCAAAGAUCACUCAAUUGAAAGAGAUGACUUGAUUAAGUUAUGGAUGGCACAAAGCUACCUCAACUCUAAGGCAGGCAGAGAGAUGGAGACAGUUGGGAGAGAGUACUUUGAAAACUUAGCAGCUCGGUCUUUCUUCCAAGAUUUUGAGAAAGAUG
rnacentral:lncRNA from 1 species